CACAAGGUGGAGUGCAGAUAUAUAUUACAUAAUGGACCAUCUCAACAAAAUGACCAAACAACAUCAGUAAGUGUCUGCUCAUAUGCGCGCAAUCUAAUUCUACCAUAACUAUAACACCCACUUAGUUUCAUUCAUUGCUAGUUUUCAGCAUACACGAAACUUACUAAAAGGAAGCAGACAACCACAUCUAAACAACCUAGGGCACACGCUCCAGCGGAAUGUCAGUAAACAGGAAAGGCGGAAUGUCCAGCUAAUCUUCAUCUUCUUCUGUUUCCUCAUCAUCGGCGUUCUGGUUACCGUAUCUCCAGCCAUCUUGUACGUUGUUACCACCAGGAUCUUCCUCGGUCUCUUCGCUGUCAUCGUCAUACAUACCCUUGCCUGGCCACUGGUUCUUCACACCACUGGUAUCAACGCCCAUCCUGCUGGAAACCUUGACAUUGUAGGCGUUAGAUGGAGGGGCCCUGUGUGCUUGGUUUGUCUUGCUCCUUUUCGGGUUUGGCGCGAUGUCACCGGCGUCAGCAUAGUUAUACUCCGCUGCAGGUGUGGCGAUCCUACCAUUGCCUUCCUGAUUGUGUUCAGGGUGCUGAGUCUUGAAAUGGAGAUUGAGUUUGUAACCGUGGAUGUAGGCUUUCCCACAGCCUUCGUAGGGGCAGACAUAAGGGCGCUCAGAGGAAAAGCUUGGUGGUGUGGGUGCAGAAGGCUUUGGGGUUGCUUGUAUGGAAGGCUUUAUGGUGUUUUGUGGUUUUUCUGCUGGUGGUGUAUGCUGCACUGCAAUAGGAGAUCCAGUCUGCAUCAUGGUCACAAAAGAUACGGUAAGUAAAACAUAAGACUGACAAGAUUCAUAUACAUAACUGCAAACUGCGUCAUGCAGGUGUGGCACCAUGGGCAUUUUAAUAAAUGAUUAUGUAGUUGGGAUAGUAGGACACUAAUCUGAUAAACUAGAUCACGCUCCAACUUAAUGUAUUUGCGUCAUCCAUAGUUCCAAUCGGAAAACAGUUAACAAAGUUCCCUCAGUGGAUCAAAUAUGUCAGGGAUAAAACUGAACAUGUACCGCAGAACUUCAUGGAACUAGCAUGAAUAGAAGGAAAAGAUAAUCCAAAAGAUGAACAUGGAAGUCAAUGUGGUAUAGCAACAUACCUUUUCAUGUGUCUUAAUAUGGCAUUUUAAUUUGAAGUCGCUUGUAAAUCUUUUGCCACAUGCUGGAAAGGGGCAUAUAUGAUAAUUUUCCACAGCAUGUGUUUUGAGGUGUGCACGCAAGUUAAAAUCCAAUGAGAAGGCCUGCAAUUCAGAGGAUUUGUUUGUUAGAGCAGAUAAAAUGUACCAUAGUGAAACGAUUAACCAAUACGAAAGCAUAAGCCAACCAGACGCUUGUAAAUAUGCAAUUAGGAAGUUGUGGAGUUGUACAAAGUAGAAACCUCUAAAAUUAGCAACAGUUUAGGGCCGUAGCAAUUGAAUUUACAAGCAUUAAACUAGCUUGAGGGAUCAGGGAAAGUUCCAUUAAGUUCAUCAAAUCAAAUCAACAAAACAUCUUCAGUUAGAUAGAAGAACAGUGUAAUUUAAAAAUGUAAGUUGUAUGGUGAGAAAUAGAAGCAAAAAUGAGAAAGCCUGAAAUUCAGAGGAUUUGCUUGUUAGAACAUGUAAAACGCACCAUAGUGAAACGAUUCACCAAUAAGAAAGCAUAAACCAGCCACUCACUUGCAAAGAUGCAAACAGGAAGUUGUGGCGUAGUAGAAAGUAAACCUCUAAAAUUACCAACAGAUUAGGCACGUAGCAAUUGAAUUUACAAGCAUAAAACUAGCUUGAGGGGUCAGGGGAAGUUUCAUUAAGUUGAUUUAAUCAAAUCAGUGGAACAUCUUCAGUUUGAUAGAAUUGGUGCCACUCAACUUAGUUUUGCAUCACCAGAUAGAAGAACACUGUAACUACAAAUGUAAGGCUGUAUGGUGAGAAUUAGAAGCAAAGAAUGCUGCCGUCUAACAGAAACACUGUGAAUCCCUACCUUACCACAGCCUGGAUGUGGGCAAACGAAAUCCUUUUGUCCUGUGUGAGUAAGGUGGUGCCUCUUCAACUUUGAGCUGUCUACAAAUUUCUGCGAAACAAACAGAAAGAGGAUUCAUCAUUUCUGUCCAAAAAGAACAGUCAAGUAGUUAGGAAUUACAUUCUCCCAACAAGAGCAAGGACACAUAUAACAGUUUUUUUCCAUUUUACCAAUGCAGGACAUAACCAAACGUCUUAUAUGUAUAGUUGUACUGGAACAAAUACAUUGGGCCUUAAAUCCAUCAAUAACCAUGCACAGCACAGGAAGGUGCUUGUGGAUAAUAAGAAAGACAAAGAGCAUAAAACUAUGAGCCUGAAAUCACAGGGAAGUUUGCCGAUGCUGGUAAUCAGAUAAGUUUGCCAACGCUAGGAUAUGCACUGGUAAAGGCAUAAGGUAAUUUUCUUCUACUGGAGGUACCUUCCCACAGCCGGGCUCCUGACAAACAUACUGCCGCUCGCCGUGCACGUGGGCGUGCUUCCUCAAGGCCGCCACAUCGACGAAGGUCUUGCCGCAGUUGUCGUAGCUGCAGAGGAAGAGGAUCUCCGUGGCGGGCUCGACCUUGCGCGGCUGCGCCUCCAGCUCCUGCACCCCGCCCCCGCUCUCCUUCAGGUUCCUGUACACGUCCUCUGCACACGGGUUACGCGGAAGCCAACCGCCGAUGAUUAGUCGAUGCAGGAAAUCGCACAACCUGCUCAGCCUAGCGGGUGGCAACAACCAACUAUAUACAGAGGAUAAGGUAAAAUCUGCUCCAUGAUUCAGGAUAAGAUAGGCCAGAAUUUGCAUCGGCCGUUGCAGGCAAUCCCGCAAUCUGCUUCAAACUACAGCGAGUACGACAAGAUAAAACUCGCUAUGCUGUUCAUGAUAAGAUGAACAACAGAUGCAUCGGUCGCCAUCGCCGAUCCGUCUCGCCGCUAUCCCGCCACGGCGCUAUGAUCCACGAGGUGAGGUGAGGUGAGGAGAGGGGAGGGGAGGGGAGGAGGAUUCGGGGGGGUGGUGGGGGGCGCGAGGUACCUCUGACCCACUUGAAGAGGGCGCACUUGGAGCCGGGGGAGGCGAGAUCCUGCGGGAUCCUGCAACGCAACGGCGGUCAGUCGGGUCGGUCCGGCGCAGCGGCGAUAUCAGAGACGGACAUUAGCGUGGCGGGGGCGUACCACUGCUUGACCCAGCGGGCGGCGGGGCGCGGGCGGCGGCGGAGCGCCUGAGGCGGCGGCUGCGGCUGCGCGGGCGGGUAGUAGUAGUAGCCCCCGGCCCCCGCCACCGCCGCGUACUCCAUGCCUCCGGCUCGAUGCGGGCCGUCCCCUCUCCCUCCGCGCUGCGCGAUGCGGUGCGGCCGCCGGCGCCGCCGCUCUCUCUCCCUCUAGGGUUCUUCGGUUUCUCUGGGAAGGCCGCUCGCUCGCUGGCCCUUGGCCGGAAAAUGCCACACGACUUGGUUUUCUUUGUGUCCAAAAACAAUACUCCUACUAACAUUGUUUCUACUGAUUUUUUCCAGCAUCGUAUUCGAAAACCAUUAUAAAGCAUGGCUAUUAUUUUGAUUGCGAUUUGGUAACGACAAAUAGCCGUCUUGGUUUUUACGCGUCUUGUAAUUUGAUCUUUAAGAUACGGAUGCGACAUGUAUUACCAUGGAAAAAGUAAUGAUAACAAAUAAUAUCUGUAUUCAGAUAUAUCCAUUUUUAAUUGCUGGUAGGCAUUGUUUGCGGGAGUUGUUGUUCUGACCGGACCAAAUGUGACUUGGAUUUUCGAGACAAAAUGAGGGUGUAGGACGAGGAGAUGCGGCUCAGUUCCCCUUUAGGGGCAUCCACAGUUUAGCCUGAAGCUAGGCUCGGUUUAUAUAUUCAUCGGGGUUUAUUCCGGAUUUCUUUGGCUAGAAUGACAUAUUUUUUUGAACGAUCACGGAGGGGGGAGCUUCCCCAGGUGAACAUUAGUCAAAAAUAGGGCCCGAAGGCCUGAGUUACAUUAGAGGUUACAUUGAGAAGAGAGAGAGUGGCGCCAAGCGAUGGCGGCCUCCCUAGCAACCAGGUCUUUAAACCUAAUGACCCACAGAGUGAAACCAAAUGUUGCAUUACGUAUAGUGUUCAUAGCAGAGUGAUUCUCAUUGCGAAACACCUCGGCAUUACGAGAGUCACAUAGUUUUCAAGGAAUGGCGAGUGCCACCAUGGGCUAAAUGUUGAUGCUGAGGCCGGUCGGGGUGGCGGUGGUCCAGAUGAGACCGAUGUCGACGGCGGCUGAAGUUCGAGAAGAGCCCACACAUGGACUUCCCCAGGGCAACGAAGUGCCAGGUGUGACGUGUCUUCAAGCAGAUGAGCACGCCUCGGACAGCAGGAGUCGGGUGUGAUAGUCUUGCCGUGGAGGUUGGCCUUGGUGUUUAGCCUAUCUUUGAAAAGCAACCAGGCAAAAAUCUUGACCUUGAUGAUGGCCCUCGAGCUCCAAAUACAACCGAAGUGAGGGUCGAUCUCGUCGGGAUAACAUGAUGUGAUAUCCCUACUUUUUUUAUACUUAGUGUAUACGUUGUUUCGUAUGGGUUAACAAAUAUUUAUGUGUUGCUUUAAGUGCAUGUUGCUUCCAAUAGAAGAGUUCCUAACAUCACGUGGACCAAUCUCUCCUAACACCCGAGCCUACAUGGCCCACGGGGCAACAUGUUGAAAUUAUGUGUUGAUCACGCCCUUUAUAGAGCUCGAGGGUGACGCGUCAGGUCGUAAGGAGAAGGUGUGACUAGGACGGGAGAGCUGCCAAGGUGUGAUGGGUGAUAGGAGGAGGGUGGAGGGCAGUGGCGGAGCUUGGUAGGGGCCAACCUGGGCGGCUGGGUCAUCGCCCCACCCCUCUCAAAAAAAAUCAAGCCCAUAUAACUUUUUUAUUAGGAUUGUUUUUCAUUAAAAUCAACUGGAAUUAAUUAUGUUUCCCCCCCCCCCUCAUGUCUNNNNNNNNNNNNNNNNNNNNNNNNNNNNNNNNNNNNNNNNNNNNNNNNNNNNNNNNNNNNNNNNNNNNNNNNNNNNNNNNNNNNNNNNNNNNNNNNNNNNNNNNNNNNNNNNNNNNNNNNNNNNNNNNNNNNNNNNNNNNNNNNNNNNNNNNNNNNNNNNNNNNNNNNNNNNNNNNNNNNNNNNNNNNNNNNNNNNNNNNNNNNNNNNNNNNNNNNNNNNNNNNNNNNNNNNNNNNNNNNNNNNNNNNNNNNNNNNNNNNNNNNNNNNNNNNNNNNNNNNNNNNNNNNNNNNNNNNNNNNNNNNNNNNNNNNNNNNNNNNNNNNNNNNNNNNNNNNNNNCCCCCCCCCCUCAUGUCUUUGUCUCAAGCUCCGCCACUGGUGGAGGGGGCCGCCGCGUGGGAAGACUACCCCGAAGUGAAAGAAAAUUUUCACGCGCAUCAAUCAACCAUGAAAAAGGGAUGACUACUAAACAUGUGCAUGGGCUGCUCGGUCCAACAUCCCGGCCGAAAAUCUCUAGUAGAAUAGGGUCCUUAUCUUUUGGACCCUGGGAAGUGCCACAAGCGUGGCACGAAUACAUGGAAAUCUGAACAUUUUUAUGGUAAUUUUUGUGACAUGAGGAUUACAACUUCCUUUUCAAAUGGUAAGUUUCAGUUUUUUUUUCUUUUCAAAUGACAACUUUAUUUAUAAAAAGGCCAGAAUGCUCAUGCCACAAAUGUGACAUUUAUCAUUUCGGUAUAUUUUUCUCCAAUAUAAAUUAGGGUUCUUUCUUCUUUGUAGGGUACUUUUGUUUUUCUCACGUCUCUUAAGUUAUCUUUGGCAGAGAUGCACAAACGCAAAAAACUAUGUAAUUUUGUAAAUUCUUAAUAGAGUUCAACAUUUUAAAAAACACAGCACUUGAGCUUAGGGGCCAAAAGAAUCAACUAUAUAUGUCAUGUCUUUCAAGAGAAAUUUUCAAAAAACCUUCAAUUUUAUUUUUCAUAUGCAAACUAUCAAACACCAGUGUGUGCUUGAUAGUUUCACACAGAUAACCUCAGCUAGUAGUUGGCAUCACAAAACAUAUAACCAAACUAACUAACAUACAAAACACAACAAUCCCUGCAUAUGACCCCAGACAUAACAAAAUGAAUCUAGACAAGAAUCACACACAAAGGUGAAACUAGGUCUAGCUUUGCUUAUUCAUCACCACGUCCCAAACGGCUCAUCGCCGAUUAUUAUUCCAAAUAAUAAAUACAACAGGUGCUAAGUACGAGUAGAUACAGGUAGCUUUGCGUUGCCGGAUAGAAUAAAAUUACAGAUGGAGGGCGUGGAAAUCCCUAUGAUCCCACCCACAUUAUGUUCCUCCGCCGAGGAGCAUGAACACAAAAGAAGGAACCACAGCGUAAUGCCAAACAAGUCUCUAGGAAGAAAUAAACCCUUUGAAACAUAAUACAAUGAUGGACCGUGUGCUCCUUGCUUGCAAGCGCUUUGUUCUAGUCGGCGCGGGAUUGGCCGGCACGCGAGGAGAGGAUGAUGCCGACAAUGAGGCCGUACAGGGCAAGGGCUUCGGCAAAGAUGAGGAUGAGGAUCAUUCCGACGAACAGCUUGGGCUGCUGUGCGUUGGCCCUGCAGAGGAGGUAAAACAACAGAAUCAAAUCAGUACUUCAACAACUUCCAGACAAAAAGGUUGUUGUCCAUAGAAAGAUUGAUCUACCACUACCAGAAGGUACAUCCUAAUAAUAACAAAAGAGCAAAACCUAAUAAAACAUAUUGACAACCGAAAGAAAUAAAAAGUGAGCCACUGGCUACAACACGAUUGUACCGAUUCCCCCCUCCAGAACAUACCUGGUGUUCAACAAAGCUCAAAGUGCAAGGAAAACAGGAGUAAUAGAAGAUUCAGAAUGCAACCCUUGAUGAAUUUAUUAAAGCAGGGCCACUGGGGAAUCUAGUUAAGUGACAAGCAAAACCCUGUGUGAUGCAUGCAAACUAAAAUAACAUGACUUGUCAUAACUGAGACCAGAGGAUGGUCAUGGUAGUCAAAGCAGAUAUGGCCAGUGUCUCCAAAUAGAAGAAACCAGAAGUGUAACGCGGCCGUAACUCUUUAGGGCGCUUAAUCAAGGACUUCUGAUUAUGAGAAGUUAGCCCACAUCAGAAAGCCUCUCCAAAUACACUAACUAAAUCACCACUUCCAUGUUUGCUUUCAGAUUUGCACAUUUUCAAUCUCUAGGAACCUUGGACAAACAGUAUGCUAUCUGGAGGUCCUAAUGCAGGCCAAAUUCAGAGUGUAAUCAGCAUGGAACCAUUAUUUUGAUUUAUUCACAAUACUAGAAUUCAUUCAUGCCUCACUGACAUGACAUUAUCCAGUAGGUGUGGUUUGACAAGUGAGGCAGCAAUGGUUUCAUAUGUAAACUCAGAUCAAGCAUGUCCCAAGUAAGAGCACAGAAUCAAGUAGCAUGAUUUGCUUCCCUGCUGUACCCAUCCUCGUCAGAUUUAUGCUAGAGUAAGUUCUCAGUACCAAGUAGCACAAGAUUUACAUUGCGUACUCCCACGCAUUGGACAAACCUCGGAAAGGAGGGAGGGAGAAUAUAUGUGCGUAGGGGUAUACCUGACGCCGGCGUCGCCGACGAUGCCGAUGGCCAUGCCGGCGGCGAGGCCGGCGAGGCCGCAGGCGAGGCCGGAGGAGAGGUGGGCGUAGCCGUCGAAGAGGAAGUAGGGCUUGGCCUUGGGGUUGAUCCCGGUGGAGAUGAUGACGGCGAUGAUGAGGCCGUAGAUCCCGAGCACCCCGGCCAUGACGACGGGCACGAUGGACUUCAUCACCAGCUCCGGCCGCAUCACCCCCAUCGACGCCACCCCCACCCCGCUCUUGGCCGUCCCGUACGCCGCGCCCAUGCCUGCGUCAUCACACGCGCCGCGGUCAGAUCUGGAGGAGGGGAGGGGGAGGGGAGAUCUGGGGGAAGGGAGGUGGGCUUACAGGAGAAGACGAGGGCGGCCGCGGCGCCGAGGAAGCCGAAGAAGGGGGCGGUCUCGUCGCCGCUGAAGACGGAAGACAUGGCUGCCGGCGGGGGAGCGGCGGGGAUCUCGCCGGAGACUGGACGGCGACGGCGACGAGUGGAGGUGAGGGAGGGGAGAGAAGGAGGAGAGAGAUAUUAUGGGGGACGGACGUGUGGACCAGGAGGAGACAAGUAAUGGGAGACACGACUACUGCGCCUGCGUCGUGGGCCCACGGGCUGCGUGGGCCGGGCUGCCCCGAUGGGCCUGGGCUCCGGGCUGGUGAUUACCUCGUGGGCUUCUUAUGCAGCCCACCCGAACGCUACCUAGUGAGCCCGGCAAUUCAUUUGGAGUAUAUUAGUUACCGCUCAAACGGAUGUAUCUAAAUAUGUAUUUAGCAUUGAAAUAUCUAGAUAGCGCCAUCUAGGUACAUAUCUGUUCGAGCGGAAAAUUGACAUUCCAGUGCUAGAUACAUGGGUUGAUCCCAUCCCUCGCUCUAUCCCGGCAAGAGGCCGUUGUACUCCACGCCGCACUGGUUUUUGCCAAACUUAAGGUAGAUGGGGGGCUGUUUCGAGGAGCAGUGGUGCUUUAGGGUCAGUGUGUAGGGAUUCCCGUGGGGGUUACUUGGGAUCUUCUGACAUCGUGAGUAUGAGAAUCAUAGACCCAACAAUCUUGGAAGCUAUGGCGUUCGCAAAAGACCCCUCAAUGAACCACAUAUUUGUAGCUACAGAUUGCAAGGAGGUCAUGGAGAACAUCAGUUAUGGUGCUGGUGGAAUGAAUGGCAACAUAAUUCGCGAGAUUAUCAUAAGGGUUGCUGAGUUUGCAUCUUCUUCAUUUAUCUUCGAAGGAAGGGAGUUGAACGCCGACGCACGUAGCCUCGCUGAAUACGCUCUAGACCUGGCUGAAAGAACCCACUUCUAGCUUAUUCAGCCCUUUGAUCUCCAUUGUAUCCCUACACAAAAUGUUAUCAAUUAAUAAAGUGGAGUGUGUUUAAAGAAAGAGCGGAUCCCAUGGUUUAUAGUUGUUUUUUCUUGAAAAAACGUAUACAAAUGUCCGUGUGGGAUGCGGGACAAUUUCAAAGAAUUGUUCACGGAUCAACAAAUAUUUGUGAAUUCAAAAAAUGUUCAAGAAUCCAAAAAAUGUAUAUGAAUUAAAAAAAUAUCCGUGAAUUCAAAAAAAUGAUUGUACAAUUGAAAAAUUGUUCAUGGACCCAAAAGAAGUUCGUUAAUUCAUAAAAUGUUCAUGAAUUCCAAGAAACUUUAUGGAUUUGAAAAAAUGUUUGUGGAUUUAAAAAAUGUUAAUGGAUUCAGAAAACUUCCACAAAAGCGAAUUAAGGAUAAGGGCUAUAGUUAUGUUCCUUAUUGUGGAACCAGCCCAUCAAAAUUCAAAUCCUAGAGUUGACAUUGGUGUUCAUAUUUUCCUAGACGUAUUUUAGAUUUCCCGAGGGCUUUUCACCCCUAUGAAUUUUGAUUACACAAUGGUUGCUUCAACCAUGACUGUUUUUCACCUCUAUGAAUUUUGAUUUACACAAUGGUUGCUUCAACCAUGACUGCUUUUCACCCCUAUGAAUUUUGAUUUACACAAUGGUUGCUUCAACCAUGACUGCUUUCCACCCCUAUGAAUUUUGAUUACACAAUGGUCGCUUCGACUAUGACAGCUUUUCACCCCUAUGAAUUUUGAUUUACACAAUGGUUGCUUCAACCAUGACUGCUUUUCACCCCUAUGAAUUUUGAUUACACAAUGGUUGCUUCAACUAUGAGAGCUUUUCACCCCUAUGAAUUUUGAUUACACAAUGGUUGCUUCAACCAUGACUGCUUUCACCCCUAUGAAUUUUGAUUACACAAUGAUUGCUUCAACUAUGAUAGCUUUUCACCCAUAUGAAUUUUGAUUUACACAAUGAUUGCUUCAACCAUGACUGCUUUUCACCCCUAUGAAUUUUGAUUACACAAUGGUUGCUUCAACUAUGACGGCUUUUCAUCGGGGCAUUCGUCUAGCUGGACCUUAGCACAAUAACUUCCCAACCGCAAUAUACAAUGUUAGGGCAGAUCCGGCGACGCACCUUUGGCUCAUGCUCAGGAUGGAGAUUCAAUUUGUUUGGCUCUAUGAAAACCUGGUUGAAAUUUUCUUGUUUUUUUCCAGAAUGUUUUGAAUCGUUGAAAGUUUGUAACAUCAAGCCAGGUCCUUAUUCACAGAAAAUAUAAGUGCCUAGAAUUCCAGUUGAGUUAAGUAGACAAGGUUGGUAUCAGCCUUUAGAGUCUUGGUGAAUGAAAAAAAGAACUUGUAAAUUCCGACCAGUUUAAUCACUCUACUCUCUUUCUUUUAAAUCACAAAAAUACAAUGUAAACAAGCGGUAGGCAUGAAACUGCAUCAAAUUGUGGACAGUGCCCUCCAAAAAUGCUGUGAAAUUUCAAAUAACGAUGAAUCUAAGAGGGAGGUACUAAGACAAAAGCUACGGGAUAAUGAGAUGACUUCGACAUGAUUCAGCUGGCGUAUAGAUCCUGUAAGGUUACAAAGGUUGUGUUGGCAAGAACGGGAUUCAAAAAAGCAUAGUAUGGUAGAGAGAUAUGCAAGAUGCUUCAGCUGUGUUGAAAACUCGUCGAGAAAAGCAUGAUAAUGAAGGAACCGGUGCCCUGCAUCAAGUUUACAAACGACAGUAAGUAUAGAAAUGCUAGGUUGCAAUCUCCGAACCAGGAUCUGCAGUCGCAGCUCUCGCUUCAGCCAUGCAAAAAUAAAGCCACGUCACCAAAGUAACAUCAUCUUAUUCGGAUAAUCGAAGUACAGAAAAAGAUUUGGGAUAUCAGUUAACUAGCAAAGUGGUUUCUGUUUCUGAUUCGGCGUUUCCUUUUUCCCCCACAAUGCGCAAGGCAAAGACAGACUGAAGCAAGAUGUACCUGCCAACAGCACCAGCAGUCAGCAGCCAAAGCGCCUACUUCUACUUGCACACUACUCAUUCUGAACCAAAGUCGAGAGAUUUUCAAAUAUAAAUGCUACACCAAACAGAGUCUACCACGAUGUAAAGAAAGACAGCCUAUCCAAGAUUCCAAGUUCAGUAGCAAAAGAACUUGGAAGAUGAGCUAGUCAAUGAAACAAAGACAUCAUAUGUUCUUUUCCAGCAUCUUGUAGCUUAUUUUUUUAAAGAUUUAUUUGAACUGCCAAACCGAUUCCAAUUCAAAAUUCCUUCUUCACACAUCUCAUAGCGCUUCUUGGUGGCCCCCGUGUUGUGAUGACUUAUUUUCAACGAUGAUGAUGAUGACAGCAAGGCCGGCCGUUACAUUGCUCGGCAUUGAGAAAGAAGGUGGCAGCGAGGUAUAGCCGCAUGGGGAAGCAGAGUGUGUUUCAUGCGGUAUGGUAUGCCGAUGGUGGUAGAGAACUAGAGAUGGACGAUGUCGCGAUCUCCCACAUGGCAGUCAAGCACCGGUACAGCGCUGCUUGUUGAGGAGGCAGCACCGCACAGCAACGGCGCAGGUACAACAAAGACUCUGCCAUGUGACAGUAAACAAAACAUGCAGGCAGUAUCCACUGCUACUGCUAGAGUACCUCGCGUACCUGUCACAGAUGCCAAAAGACUCCUGCUGACAAGAGACCUUGUACGUCCAAACUAAGGGCGCGUUCGGACUCCUUCCGCUCCGCGACUCCGCGCCAGAGCGGAGUGGCAUCCAGUGCUAAAUCAGGGAGUUGCUAAAAGCCCGCUGCACACGCUCCGCUCCGCGGAGAGCUGCCAAACAGGUGCUAAGUGAAAAAUACCAAGUCCAAGCAAUGGUCACUAGCUGGAGAUGCAUGUCAGUUAGCCUUAAUAAGGGAGAAGAGAAGCAAGCAACCUUAUGCAGUUUCAACAUACUUCCCACAAGAAUUGGACGGUGGAAUACUAUCAAAUGGAUGCAUAAGGACUUGGACCUUCAUUCAAAAGUAGGAUGACAGGGUCAUGAUGGUUAACUACCAAGUCAACCAUACAGAAAGAGUCCACACAGCCAGGUUUGAACGGGACAGGGUUCAAGAGAAAAGGGGGACUCAGUGGGGUGAUUUCUUUAUUUUAUUUUAUUUUCCCCUUUAAUAGUGAAAAGGAAGAAAACGGCUCCUUAAAUAUUAGGGGCUCCUAAAGUAGGGUAAAACAAGCCAAAUAAAAGAUGGAAAUAUAAAUAAACGACUAAUAAUUAAGCCACGAACUAGAGAUAAGACUUACCACACUUUAUGACAUGAGAAUAUGGCAGUAUGCAAUAAAAUUAUGUACCUACUUGACCAGAUGAACAAUGAAUACAGCAGCAGUUCAGGCGACGAAACAAAGCUCUAGCUUUUACUAUUUAACUGUUAAGCAUUUAAAACAUGAACUAAUAAUGCACAAGAAUGAAUGGUUGUAUUUUCAUCACAAGGAAGUGCAUCAUAAUGCACAAGCAAAGCUAAGACAGUAAGACGAUAGAAACCAGCAGGGCAGGGUAAAAGAGUUAACGGCACCGCACAAAUAAAGAAUGACGAAAUGGGGCAACAUGGUUCGUACAAUCCCCAUGAUUCCAGCCAUAAGAAAGAAAGCAUGCUCUAACAUUAAUAUUAGGCAAAAAAGAGAUUACCUUGAUUCACAGCAGGAUACAACCAAUCAUGUAGCAGAACAAAAAGCACAAUACCCAAGACAAAAAAUAACAUUUCUGCUGCCAUGCCAUGCGUUUGGAAUCAUCAAGGCAAUUCACUACUAACUGGAAGGAAAUGUGACAAAAUAACUAGUCGCCAAACAAGUCAUCAUCACUAUCAUCAGCUGAAUUUGCCUUGCUAGACUUCUUUUCAUCAACAACUUUGACUUGCUCUGGCUGGCCAUCUGAUUUAUACGCCCAUGAUGAGCCCAGUUUUGCCGGAACAGAAUCCCCGUAAAGGUCAUCAUACAUACCGCCUCUUGUUGUGCUUUUUACUUUGUCAAGCAUCUGUUGCAGCUUAUCUGUUACCCCGGUACUGUGGGAGGCACUACUGUCCUUUUGUGAAGUUUGCUCCUUGCCUUUUGGUAUGACAGUAACCUGUACAAGAGACUCGUACUUCCCAACAAGACUGCCUUCCUUCACACCUACCGGGCCUGGUUCAGUUUCAACAUCUGCUCCAUCAGAAAUCCCAACCACCUGAAUAAGCUCUCCACCAACCUGAUCUCUAAAUGACACUCUCCGUUUUUUACUUCUCUUCCACGGUCUACCAAUCGCCUGGUUGUCGUCGUUUACAGCAGAAGCAGAAGCAUCCCCUGAAGAACCUUUUCUCCUCAAUGGCACAUCUGAUUUGCUAACACCAUAGCGAUUGAGUAUUGUAUUGUAUGCCACAACGGCAUCUUCAUCGUCAGAGUCUGGAGGAGACGGCAAACUCACAUCUGACGGGAGACUAUGAGUGGGGAAAAAAGUAGCUGUGUUCUUUCGUAGAACAUAUGCUCUGGUUGAUGCAGCAAAACGAAGUGACUGUCCAACUUCAAGCUCAACAGGGUUGUCCUUGGUUAAUCUCUCAUUCGCAACAAAUGUACCAUGAACAGAUCCUAAAUCGAUAACAUAGAUGCUGAAAGGAAACAAAGGUUAAUCUCUCAUUCGCAACAAAUGUACCAUGGAGCAGCUGUUAGUUAUGCACCUAAGACACAAUGAAGAUAAAAGAACAUUUUACAGGUAUAAUCCUGCCAUUUCUCUGGUAGAAAUUUCUGAAAGAAGCAUGUCUUAAUAAAGGUCAAAAGCAUAUAGGAGCACAAUAUUCCAUCACAGGCACAACCCGUUGUCUAUUGAGUUAAUAAAUUGAAAUCUAUUUGAUUUGAUAGCACGCUUAACAUUCAGGUUGCUAAAAAGAAGACUUGUUCAACCAUUUAAAACAAAAACUCAUACGUCCAACUGAAAGCAAGUGCAUCAAACAUCAGGAAGGUCUCUAACCUUCCAUUUUUGUGUGGAACGACAGCAGCAUGUUGGCGUGAGACAGACUGAUGGUCCAAGACAAUCUCGCAAGCAGGCACCUGCCUCCCAAAUAUAUGCCUCUUCUUGUCCAGAUUGAUCCUAUCGAUGGCAUUCCCAUCCUUCAUCACCUCAAGAUAGUAAACCCCAGGACGCGGCUCAAUUGCCCAGUCCGGCGGUUGCCAUGUCGACUGCCCACCACCAAACUGCGUCACGGCUGGUCUGGGAGCCCCAGCAGCCUCUUGCCCGGCGAUGCUUGAGCCAGCACUCUGCGUAGCAUGCUGACUCUGGCUGGGACCAAGAUGUGAGCUUUGCGGCGGCACCAAUGGAGCUGGCUGCACUUUAACCGCCGCGGGCACACUCUUUGUGCCGGAACCAGACUGCUGCACCGAGAAGGGCUCCAAGGCCUGAGCUUUCUUGAAGCGGUCAAGCCCACCACGGUACAUCUCCUCCAAGCUUACCACUACCACCUCUUCUGGUCUCUUAUCACUGAAUCACUCUUUAACAGCUGGUGAUGAUGAACCCCGCAGGACUGUCCGUACUCAAGCUCUGCAAGGAUCCCCUACAGACGGAUUACAAAAAGUCAGUACCAGCAAACAAAAUUACCCGCAGAGAACAUCCCACUGGCCGCCGCCUCGUGUCGCGAAUCAGAAAAGGCGAAACCAGUAACGGGCUAGAUGUUGGAUGAUAUAUCCUCCUGGACUUCAAAACGAGCUACUUUGAUUUGUUUCCGGCGAUAUAUGCCUGAGCGGAUGCCUCCUUUAACCGAAGGAGACGCAGCAACAAGAUAACAUCCCCAAUGCUGCGUGAUGGCUGGGCUGGGCUGGGCUGCUGUAGUCCCAAAGAAAGGAUUGGGAAGCCUUUGUUCACGGGAGACUGGACGGCGAAUUUGGCCGGCGAGCAUCCUGAAUCUGGCGCUGUUACACGUUUGAUUGAUGAAUUCNNNNNNNNNNNNNNNNNNNNNNNNNNNNNNNNNNNNNNNNNNNNNNNNNNNNNNNNNNNNNNNNNNNNNNNNNNNNNNNNNNNNNNNNNNNNNNNNNNNNAAUCUGGAAUUUUUUGAUGAGAAAUAUUAAUGUUUCUUCUACAUGCGUGCGGAUUUACAGAUUCAUGUAGGUGUGGGCAAAAAAAAAACAAAAUCGAUGGUCCAAUUUUACGCGUGUAGAAAACACAUCAAUAUUUCUCACCAAAAUAUUUCAUAAUUUUCUUAACUACUAUUUUUUUUAAAUGUACUGUUUAUCCGAGCUCAAAUGAGCUCGGGCUGAGAGGAGCACUUUCGAAAUUUUGCCCCUUAUUCAACCCGCAUUUUAGGUACAGAAAAUUUUGGGGAAAAUCUAUUCGCUUCUCUCUGUGUUUUUUUGGUUUCUUUUUCUUUAUUUGUUCUAUUCGCCUCUGAGAAAAUUUUGGGAGAAAUCUAUUCGCCUCUAGGAAAAUUUUGGGAACCUUCUUCCUUGCCGGGUUUUCCCGGUUUUGGACAAUUUCUAGAAGGUUCGGUGAACAGUUUUUUUGUUUUCUUUUUCUUUAUUUGUUCUGUUUCAUUUUUUCUUUUCUGUUUCUAUUUCAAAAAAUGUUCUGAAUUUUUAAAAGUUGUUCUUUAAACUCAUGCAAUAUUUUUUGCUUUUUCAAAAAAUCUUCUGCAUUUUCGGAAAAUGUUCUGUAUUUUCAACCAAUAUUCUCCAAAUUGGAAUAAAGUUUUUCCUAUUUAAAAAAAUGUUCUGUAUUAAUAAAUUUUUUAUAUCCAUAGUUGGGUCACACUUGACUGGUUUGCUCCUAGUUUCUUAAAACACGCGGUCUUGUCCAGCUCAUGUUGCUUCUCAUUCCGGUAUGGCUCCGUCCAGUCAACGCCUUUUGACACUAGAUUUUGGACACUGCUUGCCCCUAGUCAACCUAACCAGCACGUGCAAGCUCACUCUCUCGUUUCCCACUGUCUCUCUUACUCUCUCACGAACCCUAGCCCGAGCUUGCCGUGUUGAGCAACGAGGCGGGGCACAGCGUGGGAGCGGCCGGUGCGACAGAGCCGAUGCAUGUCCAGGCUCCCCUUCUCGCGCGCCCCAAGCCUCGGCCGCUCUCUGCUUCCUCUCCGGCCACGUCUGCGCGGAAGAGCGCCCGACUGUGCUCGGCCGGGCUGGAUGCGGCCUCACCAAACGCCAUCUAGAAGGUUGUCUGUUGGGCGGCGGCCCGCAACCUUGAUCCAGGUCCGUCUACUGCUUCCCCUCCUGACUUUUCUAUCACUAGUGGAAAAUGGACCUUUGACCGGGCCCCAAUUCUCAAUGCCUCCCUCGAGGUUUUUGUCCCGGCCCGUAAGGAGCCUUUAGUCCCGGUUCGUGUCCCAAACCGGGACUAAAGGGCUACACGAUGGGCAGCCCGCAUGUGCGCCACCUUUAGUCCCGGUUUGUGUCUCAAACCGGGACUAAAGUCAUCUGCCUAUAUAUAGCACAGCCCCCCUCUCCCCUCUUCCUUGCAUUUUUCUUGGAUGGAAGAGUGUGGGUGUGUGCUGGCUCUCCAUUUUUUUUGGAUGCACCAGAGGUGUUUGUUGAAAUGUGUGGUAGAGUGAUGCCGCUUCAGUUCACCGAACACAACUACGAUAUGAGAUGCCCGAGCCACGCUUAAACCUCUUCCUCUUUAUUUCUACUUAUUCUAAAAGGUUAGCAACUAUAUUUCCUCGUUUAGACCGUGUGGUACUAAUUUUUAGGAUCGUGAUUGUAUUUGAUAUACUGUCGUAUAACACAGAUGAGCCAUCCAUAGAUGUACGGUGAUCGACGCACAGCCGCUUACAGAGAAGGCGUGCAUUCUUUUCGAGAUGCAGCCGAUGCGAACAAGCAUGGUGGUGGCUAUAUGUUUUGUCCAUGUGUUGAAUAUCGGAAUGAGAAGGAUUACACUUCCUCAAGAGUCAUUCAGAGCCACCUGCUUCAGGCUCCUCCAGCCAUUUUCAGGCUCCUCCAGCCAUUUUNNNNNNNNNNNNNNNNNNNNNNNNNNNNNNNNNNNNNNNNNNNNNNNNNNNNNNNNNNNNNNNNNNNNNNNNNNNNNNNNNNNNNNNNNNNNNNNNNNNNUGCUAAAAUUGUAUUAACAGGAAACAGUAAUAAAUGUGUGAAUAAAUAGAUCACAAAGUGUCCCUAGCAAGCCUCUAGUUGGCUAGCUCGUUAGUCAAUAGAUGAUCAUGGUUUCCUGAUCAUGGGCAUUAGAUCUCAUUGAUAACGGGAUCACAUCAUUAGGAGAAUGAUGUGAUGGACAAGACCCAAUCCUAAGCAUAGCACUAGAUCGUAUUGUUCGUAUGCUAAAGCUUUUCUAAUGUCAAGUAUCUUUUCCUUCGACCGUGAGAUUGUGCAACUCCCGGAUAUCGUAGGAGUGCUUUGGGUGUAUCAAACGUCACAACGUAACUGGGUGACUAUAAAGGUGCACUACGGGUACCUCCGAAAGUGUCUGUUGGGUUGGUACGAAUCGAGAUCGGGAUUUGUCACUCCGUGUGACGGAGAGUAUUUCUGGGCCCAUUCGGUAGAACAUCAUCAUNCAAUACAAUUAUAGCAUGGAUAAUAAACGAUUAUCAUGAACUAAGAAAUAUAAUAAUAACUAAUUUAUUAUUGCCUCUAGGGCAUAUUUCCUACAAAUAAUUGUUAUUUAGUACCAGCUUUGAGCAUGAAUAUUGUAUCAGGGUCUUGCUUAAUGCGAGACGGCUACUCAUUUAAGUCAGAGAAUAAUGGUUGUUCUAUUUAUAUGAGUGAUAUGUUUUAUGGUCAUGCUCCGCUGGUGAAUGGUUUAUUCUUGAUGAAUCUCGAUCGUGAUGUUACACAUAUUCAUAGUGUCAGUACCAAAAGAUGUAAAGUUGAUAAUGAUGGUCCCACAUACCUGUGGCACUGCCGCCUUGGUCAUAUCGGCGUUAAGCGCAUGAAGAAGCUCCAUACCGAUGGACUAUUAGAGUCUCUUGACUUUGAAUCAUUUGACACAUGCGAACCGUGCCUCAUGGGCAAGAUGACCGAGACUCCAUUCUCAGGAAUAAUGGAGAGAGCUACCGACUUAUUGGAAAUAAUACAUACUGAUGUGUGUGGUCCAAUGAAUGUUGAAGCUCGCGGUGGCUAUUGUUAUGUUCUCACUCUCACCGAUGAUUUGAGUAGGUAUGGGUAUAUCUACUUGAUGAAGCACAAAUCUGAGAGAUUUGAAAAGUUCAAGGAAUUUCAGAGUGAAGUCGCGAAUCAACGUGACAGAAAAAUUAAGUGUCUACGAUCUGAUCGUGGAGGAGAGUAUUUGAGUCACGAGUUUGGCACACACCUAAGAAAGUGUGGAAUCGUUUCACAACUGACGCCCCCUGGCACACCGCAACGCAACGGAGUGUAUGAACGUCGUAAUCGCACUUUAUUAGAUAUGGUACGAUCUAUGAUGUCUCUUACCAACCUACCGCUAUCAUUUUGGGGAUACGCAUUAGAAACUGCAGCAUUCACUUUAAAUAGGGCACCGUCUAAAUCUGUUGAGACGACACCGUAUGAAAUAUGGUUUGGCAAGAAACCUAAGUUGUCGUUUCUUAAAGUUUGGGGCUGCGAUGCUUAUGUGAAGAAACUUCAACCAAAAAAGCUCGAACCCAAAGCGGAUAAAUGCGUAUUCAUAGGAUACCCUAAAGAAACUAUUGGGUAUACCCUCUAUCUUAGAUCCGAAGGUAAAACCUUUGUUGCCAAGAACGGAUCCUUUCUAGAGAAAGAGUUUCUCUCGAAAGAAGUAAGUGGGAGGAAGGUAGAACUUGAUGAGGUAAUUACACCCCCUCUCGAACAGGAUAGUAGCACAACGCGGGAAGUUGUUCCUGUGGCGCCUACACCAACUGAAGAGGAAGUUAAUUAUGAUGAUCAUGAAGCUUCGGAUCAAGUUACUACUGAACCGCGAAGGUCCACAAGGGCACGCUCCGCACCAGAGUGGUACGGCAACCCUGUGAUGGAAAUCAUGUUGUUAGACAACGGUGAACCUUCGAACAAUGAAGAAGCGAUGGCGGGCCCGGAUUCCAACAAAUGGCUUGAAGCUAUGAAAUCCAAGAUAGGAUCCAUGUAUGAGAACAAAGUAUGGACUUUGGUGGACUUGCCCGAUGACCGGCGAGCCAUAUAAAAUAAAUGGAUCUUCAAGAAGAAGACUGAUGCAAACGGUAAUCGUUUACAAAGCUCGACUUGUCGCAAAGGGUUUUCGAAAAAUUCAAGGAGUUGACUACGAAGAGACUUUCUCUCCCAUAUCAAAGCUAAAAUUAGUCCGAAUCAUGUUAGCAACUGCCGCCUUUUAUGAUUAUGAAAUUUGGCAAAUGGACGUCAAAACAGCGUUCCUUAACGGGAACCUUAAGGAAGAGUUGUAUAUGAUGCAACCAGAAGGUUUUGUCGACCCUAAGGGUGCUAAAAAAGUGUGCAAGCUCCAGCGCUCCAUCUAUGGGCUGGUGCAAGCAUCUCGGAGUUGGAACAUUCGCUUUAAUGAGGUGAUUGAAGCGUUUGGGUUCAUACAGGUUUACGGAGAAGCCUGUCUGUACAAGAAAGUGAGUGGGAGCUCUGUAGCUUUCCUCAUACUGUAUGUGGAUGACAUAUUAUUGACGGGGAACAAUACAGAAAUGUUGGAGAGCAUAAAGGCUUAUUUGAACAAGAGUUUUUCAAUGAAGGACCUUGGAGAAGCUGCAUACAUAUUAGGCAUCAAGAUCUAUAGAGAUAGAUCAAGACGCCUCAUAGGUCUUUCGCAAAGUACAUACCUUGAAAAGAUAUUGAAGAAGUUCAAUAUGGAAAACUCAAAGAAAGGGUUCUUGCCAGUGUUGCAAGGUAUGAGAUUGACUAAGACUCAGUCGCCGACCACGGCAGUAGAAAAAGAGAAGAUGAGUUCUGUCCCCUACGCUUCAGCCUUGGGCUCUCUAAUGUAUGCCAUGCUGUGUACCAGACCUGAUAUAAACCUUGCCAUAAGUUUGGUAGGGAGGCACCAAAGUGAUCCCGGUAUGGAACACUGGACAUCGGUCAAGAAUAUCCUUAAGUACCUGAAAAGGACUAAGGAAAUGUUUCUCAUUUAUGAAGGUGGCGAAGAGCUCGUCGUAAAGGGUUACGUCGACGCUAGCUUCACAAAGAUCCGGAUGACUCUAAGUCACAGACCGGACACGUAUAUGUGUUGAAUGGUGGGGCAGUGAGCUGGUGCAGCAGCAAGCAAGAAGUCAUGGCAGCAUCUACAUGUGAAGCGGAGUACAUAGCUGCUUCAGAAGCAGCUCAUGAAGGAAUUUGGAUGAAGGAGCUCAUCACCGACCUUGGAGUGGUUCCAAGCAGGUUGGGUCCAAUGACACUCUUCUGUGAUAACACUGGGGCCAUUGCCAUAGCCAAGGAGCCCAGGUUUCACCGGAAGACGAAGCACAUCAAACGCCGCUACAACUCCAUCCAGGACCAUGUCCAGAGUGGAGUGAUAGAUAUUUGUAAAGUACACACGGAUCUGAAUGUUGCAGACCAGUUGACUAAACCUCUUCCACGAGCAAAACAUGAUCAACACCAUAAUGCUAUGGGUGUUCGAUACAUCACAAUGUAACUAGAUUAUUGACUCUAGUGCAAGUGGGAGACUGUUGGAAAUAUGCCCUAGAGGCAAUAAUAAAAUGGUUAUUAUCAUAUUUCCUUGUUCAUGAUAAUCGUCUAUUGUUCAUGCUAUAAUUGUAUUAACAGGAAACAGUAAUACAUGUGUGAAUAAANNNNNNNNNNNNNNNNNNNNNNNNNNNNNNNNNNNNNNNNNNNNNNNNNNNNNNNNNNNNNNNNNNNNNNNNNNNNNNNNNNNNNNNNNNNNNNNNNNNNCAUAGGGUUGUCUUUAUAACUAACGCUUGUGCUUGCAGAUGCGUUUACUAUUUUGCUAGGAUGUAGCUUUAGUAGUAAUAGCAUGAGUAGCACGACAACCCCGAUGGCGACGCGUUGAUGGAGAUCAUGGUGUGGCGCCGGUGACAAGAAGAUCGUGCCGGUGCUUUGGUGAUGGAGAUCAAGAAGCACGUAAUGAUGGCCAUAUCAUGUCACUUAUUAAUUGCAUGUGAUGUUAAUCCUUUUAUGCACCUUAUUAUGCUUAGAACGACGGUAGCAUUAUGAGGUGAUCUCUCACUAAAAUUUCAAGACGAAAUUGUGUUCUCCCCGACUGUGCACCGUUGCUACAGUUCGUCGUUUCGAGACACCACGUGAUGAUCGGGUGUGAUAGACUCAACGUUCACAUACAAUGGGUGCAAAACAGUUGCGCACGCGGAACACUCGGGUUAAGCUUGACGAGCCUAGCAUGUGCAGACAUGGCCUCGGAACACAUGAGACCGAAAGGUCGAUCAUGAAUCAUAUAGAUGAUAUGAUUAGCAUAGGGAUGCUUACCACUGAAACUAUGCUCAACUCACGUGAUGAUCGGACUUGAGCUAGUGUAAGUGGAUCAUGAACCACUCAAAUGACUAGAGAGAUGUACUUUUUGAGUGGGANNNNNNNNNNNNNNNNNNNNNNNNNNNNNNNNNNNNNNNNNNNNNNNNNNNNNNNNNNNNNNNNNNNNNNNNNNNNNNNNNNNNNNNNNNNNNNNNNNNNUAAUUGAAGUGAAACUAGUGCCGACAGCGAUUGCAUCAACCUUGGAACCAUUUCCUACGCGCAUCGUCACUUCAUCUUUCGCCAGCCUUCGUCUAUUCCGCAGUUUCUGUUUCGAGUUGCAAAUAUGAGCAACAGAACCGGUAUCGAAUACCCAGGCACUACUACGAGAUCCGGUUAAGUACACAUCAAUAACAUGUAUAUCAAAUAUACCUAAUUUUUCUUUGGCCGCCUUCUUAUCAGCCAGAUACUUGGGGCAAUUGCGCUUCCAGUGACCCAUACCCUUGCAAUAGUAACACUCUGUUUCAGGCUUAGGUCCAGCUUUGGGUUUCUUCUUCGGAUUGGCAACAGGCUUGCCGCUCUUCUUUGAAUUACCCUUCUUGCCUUUGCCAUUUCUCUUGAAACUAGUGGUCUUAUUCACCAUCAACACUUGAUGCUCUUUACGGAGUUCAGACUCUGCGACUUUCAGCAUUGCAAACAACUCGCCGGGUGACUUGUUCAUCCCUUGUAUGUUGCAGUUCAACACAAAGCCUUUAUAGCUUGGCGGCACUGAUUGAAGGAUUCUGUCAGUGAUAGCCUCUUGCGGGAGUUCAAUCCCCAGCUCAGCUAGACGGUUUGAGUACCCAGACAUUUUGAGCACAUGUUCACUGACAGACGAGUUCUCCUCCAUCUUGCAAGCAUAUAAUUUAUCGGAGGUCUCAUACCUCUCGAUCGGAGGCGUUCUUCUGAAACAUAAACUUCAACUCCUGGAACAUCUCAAAUGCUCCAUGACGCUCAAAGCGACGUUGAAGUCCCGGUUCUAAGCCAUACAAGACUGCACAUUGAACUACUGAGUAGUCCUCCUUACGUGCUAACCAAGCGUUCUUAACAUCCUGAUCAGCCGUAGCGGGUGGUUCAUCUCCUAGCGCAGCAUUAAGGACAUAAUCCUUCUUCAAAGCUUGUAAGAUUAGCUUAAGAUUACGAGCCCAGUCUACAAAGUUGCUUCCAUCAUCUUUCAACUUAGCUUUCUCUAGGAACGUAUUAAAAUUCAGGGUGACUGUCGCGUGAGCCAUGAUCUACAACACAAAUAUAUUCAAAGUGGACUUAGACUCUGUUCAAGAUAAUUAGAGUUUAACUUAAUCAAAUUAUUCGCUAAAAUCCCACUCAAAAAGUACAUCUCUCUAGUCAUUUGAGUGGUUCAUGAUCCACUUACACUAGCUCAAGUCCGAUCAUCACGUGAGUUGAGCAUAGUUUCAGUGGUAAGCAUCCCUAUGCUAAUCAUAUCAUCUAUAUGAUUCAUGAUCGACCUUUCGGUCUCAUGUGUUCCGAGGCCAUGUCUGCACAUGCUAGGCUCGUCAAGCUUAACCCGAGUGUUCUGCGUGCGCAACUGUUUUGCACCCGUUGUAUGUGAACGUUGAGUCUAUCACACCCGAUCAUCACGUGGUGUCUCGAAACGACGAACUGUAGCAACGGUGCACAGUCGGGGAGAACACAAUUUCGUCUUGAAAUUUUAGUGAGAGAUCACCUCAUAAUGCUGCCGUCGUUCUAAGCAAAAUAAGGUGCAUAAAAGGAUUAACAUCACAUGCAAUUCAUAAGUGACAUGAUAUGGCCAUCAUCACGUGCUUCUUGAUCUCCAUCACCAAAGCAUUGGCACGAUCUUCUUGUCACCGGCGCCACACCAUGAUCUCCAUCAUCAUGAUCUCCAUCAACGUGUCGCCAUCGGGGUUGUCGUGCUACUUAUGCUAUCACUACUAAAGCUACAUCCUAGCCAAAAUAGUAAACGCAUCUGCAAGCACAAAUAUUAGUAUAAAGACAACCCUAUGGCUCCUGCCGGUUGCCGUACCAUCGACGUGCAAGUCGAUAUUAUCUAUUACAACAUGAUCAUCUCAUACAUCCAAUAUAUCACAUCACAUCGUUGGCCAUAUCACAUCACAAGCAUACCCUGCAAAAACAAGUUAGACGUCCUCUAAUUUUGUUGUUGCCGGUUUUACGUGGUGACCAUGGGUAUCUAGUAGGAUUGCAUCUUACUUACGCAAACACCACAACGGAGAUAUAUGAGUUGCUAUUUAACCUCAUCCAAGGACCUCCUCGGUCAAAUCCGAUUCAACUAAAGUUGGACAAACCGACACUUGCCAGUCAUCUUUGAGCAAUGGGGUUACUCGUAGCGAUGAAACCAGUCUCUCGUAAGCGUACGAGUAAUGUCGGUCCAAGCCGCUUCAAUCCAACAAUACCGCGGAAUCAAGAAAAGACUAAGGAGGGCAGCAAAAUGCACAUCACCGCCCACAAAAACUUUUGUGUUCUACUCGAGAAGACAUCUACGCAUGAACCUAGCUCAUGAUGCCACUGUUGGGGAACGCAUGGGAAACAAAAAAUUUCCUACGCGCACGAAGACCUAUCAUGGUGAUGUCCAUCUACGAGAGGGGAUGAGUGAUCUACGUACCCUUGUAGACCGUACAGCAGAAGCGUUAGUGAACGCGGUUGAUGUAGUGGAACGUCCUCACGUCCCUCGAUCCGCCCCGCGAACUAUCCCGCGAUCAGUCCCACGAUCUAGUGCCGAACGGACGGCACCUCCGCGUUCAGCACACGUACAACUCGACGAUGAUCUCGGCCUUCUUGAUCCAGGAAGAGAGACGGAGAGGUAGAAGAGUUCUCCGGCAGCGUGACGGCGCGCCGGAGGUUGGUGAUGAUCUUGUCUCAGCAGGGCUCCGCCCGAGCUCCGCAGAAACGCAAUCUAGAGGAAAAAUCGUGGAGGUAUGUGGUCGGGCUGCCGUGGAAAAGUCGUCUCAAAUCAGCCCUAAAACCUCCGUAUAUAUAGCUGGGAGAGGGGGGACCUUGCCUUGGGGCUCAAGGAGCCCCAAGGGGGUCGGCCGAGCCAAAGGGGGGAAGGACUCCCCCCCCAAACCGAGUCCUACUUGGUUUGGUGGGUGGAGUCCUUCUUUCCUUUCCCACCUCCUCCUUUUUUUUCUUUUCUCUUUGAUUUUUCUUCCAAUGCGCAUAGGCCCCUUUUGGGCUGUCCCACCAGCCCACUAAGGGCUGGUGCGCCACCCUCAAGGCCUAUGGGCUUCCCCGGGGUGGGUUGCCCCCCCCCGGUGAACUCCCGGAACCCAUUCGUCAUUCCCGGUACAUUCCCGGUAAUGCACGAAAACCUUCCGGUAACCAAAUGAGGUCAUCCUAUAUAUCAAUCUUCGUUUCCGGACCAUUCCGGAACCCUCGUGACGUCCGUGAUCUCAUCCGGAACUCCGAACAACAUUCGGUAACCAACCAUAUAACUCAAAUACGCAUAAAACAAUGUCAAACCUUAAGUGUGCAGACCCUGCGGGUUCGAGAACUAUGUAGACAUGACCCGAGAGACUCCUCGGUCAAUAUCCAAUAGCGGGACCUGGAUGCCCAUAUUGGAUCCUACAUAUUCUACGAAGAUCUUACCAUUUGAACCUCAGUGCCAAGGAUUCAUAUAAUCCCGUAUGUCAUUCCCUUUGUCCUUCGGUAUGUUACUUGCCCGACGAUUCGAUCGUCAGUAUCCGCAUACCUAUUUCAAUCUCGUUUACCGGCAAGUCUCUUUACUCGUUCCGUAAUACAAGAUCCCGCAACUUACACUAAGUUACAUUGCUUGCAAGGCUUGUGUGUGAUGUUGUAUUACCGAGUGGGCCCCGAGAUACCUCUCCGUCACACGGAGUGACAAAUCCCAGUCUUGAUCCAUACUAACUCAACUAACACCUUCGGAGAUACCUGUAGAGCAUCUUUAUAGUCACCCAGUUACGUUGCGACGUUUGAUACACACAAAGCAUUCCUCCGGUGUCAGUGAGUUAUAUGAUCUCAUGGUCAUAGGAAUAAAUACUUGACACGCAGAAAACAGUAGCAACAAAAUGACACGAUCAACAUGCUACGUCUAUUAGUUUGGGUCUAGUCCAUCACGUGAUUCUCCCAAUGACGUGAUCCAGUUAUCAAGCAACAACACCUUGUUCAUAAUCAGAAGACACUGACUAUCAUUGAUCAACUGGCUAGCCAACUAGAGGCAUGCUAGGGACGGUGUUUUGUCUAUGUAUCCACACAUGUAAAUGAGUCUUCAUUCAAUACAAUUAUAGCAUGGAUAAUAAACUAUUAUCUUGAUACAGGAAUUAUAAUAAUAACUAUAAAUUUAUUAUUGCCUCUAGGGCAUAAUUCCAACAGUCUCCCACUUGCACUAGAGUCAAUAAUCUAGCCCUCACAUCACCAUGUGAAUUACAUUGUAAUAAAUCUAACACCCAUACAGUUCUGGUGUCGAUCAUGUUUUGGCCGUGGAAGAGGUUUAGUCAGCGGGUCUGCUACAUUCAGAUCCGUGUGCACUUUGCAUAUAUUUACGUCCUCCUCCUCGACGUAGUCGCGGAUGAGGUUGAAGCGUCGUUUGAUGUGUCUGGUCUUCUUGUGAAACCUUGGUUCCUUUGCUAAGGCAAUGGCACCAGUGUUGUCACAGAACAAGGUUAUUGGAUCCAGUGCACUUGGCACCACUCCAAGAUCCGUCAUGAACUGCUUCAUCCAGACACCCUCCUUAGCCGCCUCCGAGGCAGCCAUGUACUCCGCUUCACAUGUAGAAUCUGCUACGACGCUUUGCUUGGAACUGCACCAGCUUACUGCACCCCCAUUAAGAAUAAAUACGUAUCCGGUUUGCGACUUAGAGUCGUCCGGAUCUGUGUCAAAGCUUGCGUCGACGUAACCUUUUACGGCGAGCUCUUCGUCACCUCCAUACACGAGAAACAUCUCCUUAGUCCUUUUCAGGUACUUCAGGAUAUUCUUGACCGCUGUCCAGUGAUCCACUCCUGGAUUACUCUGGAACCUGCCUGCCAUACUUAUGGCCAGGCUAACAUCCGGUCUAGUGCACAACAUCGCAUACAUGAUAGAGCCUAUGGCUGAAGCAUAGGGGACGGAGCACAUAUGCUCUCUAUCUUCAUCAGUUGCUGGGCACUGAGUCUUACUCAAUCUCGUACCUUGUAAAACUGGCAAGAACCCCUUCUUGGACUGUUCCAUUUUGAACCUCUUCAAAACUUUAUCAAGGUAUGUGCUUUGUGAAAGUCCUAUCAGGCGUUUUGAUCUAUCCCUAUAGAUCUUAAUGCCUAGAAUGUAAGCAGCUUCUCCUAGGUCCUUCAUAGAGAAACUUUUAUUCAAGUAAUCCUUUAUGCUCUCCAAAAACUCUACGUUGUUUCCAAUCAACAAUAUGUCAUCCACAUAUAAUAUUAGAAACGCCACAGAGCUCCCACUCACUUUCUUGUAAAUACAAGAUUCUCCAACCACUUGUAUAAACCCAAAUGCUUUGAUCACCUCAUCAAAGCGUUUGUUCCAACUCCGAGAUGCUUGCACCAAUCCAUAAAUGGAUCGUGGAGCUUGCACACCUUGUUAGCAUUCUUAGGAUCGACAAACCUUCGGGUUGCAUCAUAUACAAUUCUUCCUUAAGGAAACCGUUAAGGAACGCCGUUUUGACAUCCAUCUGCCAGAUUUCAUAAUCGAAAAAUGCAGCUAUUGCUAACAUGAUUCUGACGGACUUAAGCAUCGCUACGGGUGAGAAUGUCUCAUCGUAGUCAACUCCUUGAACUUGUGAAAAACCCUUUGCCACAAGUCGAGCUUUAUAAACGGUCACAUUGCCGUCAGCGUCCGUCUUCCUCUUAAAGAUCCAUUUGUUCUGAAUGGCCUUGCGGCCCUCAGGCAGUACCUCCAAAGUCCACACUUUGUUCUCAUACAUGGAUCCUAUCUCGGACUUCAUGGCUUCUAGCCAUUUGUUGGAAUCUGGGCCCACCAUUGCUUCUUCAUAAUUUGCAGGUUCAUUGUUGUCCAACAACAUGAUUGAUAAGACGGGAUUACCGUACCACUCUGGAGCAGCACGUGGUCUCGUCGACCUGCGUGGUUCGACAGAAACUUGAACCGGAGUUUCAUGAUCAUCAUCAUUAACUUCCUCCUCAACCGGCGUCGCAAUCACAGGGGUUUCCCCUUGCCCUGCGCCACCAUCCAGAGGGAUGAGAGGUUCGACAACCUCGUCAAGUUCUAUCUUCCUCCCACUCAAUUCUCUCGAGAGAAACUCCUUCUCGAGAAAAGUUCCGUUCUUAGCAACAAACACUUUGCCCUCGGAUUUGAGAUAGAAGGUGUACCCAACUGUCUCUUUUGGGUAGCCUAUGAAGACGCACUUUUCCGCUUUGGGUUCCAGCUUUUCAGGCUGAAGCUUUUUGUCAUAAGCAUCACAUCCCCAAUCUUUAAGAAACGACAACUUUGGCCUUUUGCCAUACCACAGUUCGUAUGGUGUCGUCUCAACGGAUUUUGAUGGUGCCCUAUUUAAAGUGAAUGCAGCUGUUUCUAAUGCAACCCCAAAACGAUAACGGCAAAUCGGUAAGAGACAUCAUAGAUCGCACCAUCUCUAAUAAAGUACGAUUACGACGUUCGAACACACCAUUACGCUGUGGUGUUCCAGGAGGUGUUAACUGUGAAACAAUUCCACAUUGUCUUAAGUGAGCACAAACUCGAAACUCAGAUAUUCACCCCCACGAUCAGACCGUAGGAACUUGAUAUUCUUGUUACGAUGAUUUUCAACUUCACUCUGAAAUUGCUUGAACUUUUCAAAUGUUUCAGACUUGUGCUUCAUUAAGUAUACAUAACCAUAUCUACUCAAAUCGUUAGUGAAGGUGAGAAAAUAACGAUAUCCGCCGCGUGCCUCUACGCUCAUCGGACCACACACAUCGGUAUGUAUGAUUUCCAACAAGUCACUUGCACGCUCCAUUGUUCCGGAGAACGGAGUUUUAGUCAUCUUGCCCAUGAGGCAUGGUUCGCAUGUGUCAAGUGAAUCAAAGUCAAGUGACUCCAAAAGUCCAUCAGCAUGGAGUUUCUUCAUGCGCUUUACACCAAUAUGACCCAAGCGGCAGUGCCACAAAAAUAUGGCGCUAUCAUUGUUUACUCUAACUCUUUUGGUCUCAAUGUUAUGUAUAUGCGUAUCGCUAUCRAGAUUCAAUAUGAACAAUCCUCUCACAUUCGGUGCAUGACCAUAAAAGAUGUUACUCAUAGAAAUAGAACAACCAUUAUUCUCUGACUUAAAAGAGUAACCGUCUCGCAAUAAACAAGAUCCAGAUAUAAUGUUCAUGCUCAACGCAGGCACUAAAUAACAAUGAUUCAAGUUCAUAACUAAUCCUGAUGGUAAUUGAAGUGAAACUGUGCCGACGGCGAUUGCAUCAACCUUGGAACCAUUUCCUACGCGCAUCGUCACUUCAUCUUUCGCCAGCCUUCGUCUAUUCCGCAGUUCCUGUUUCGAGUUGCAAAUAUGAGCAACAGAACCGGUAUCGAAUACCCAGGCACUACUACGAGAGCCGGUUAAGUACACAUCAAUAACAUGUAUAUCAAAUAUACCUGAUUUUUCUUUGGCCGCCAUCUUAUCUGCCAGAUACUUGGGGCAAUUGCGCUUCCAGUGACCCAUACCCUUGCAAUAGAAGCACUCUGUUUCAGGCUUAGGUCCAACCUUGGGUUUCUUCGUUGGAUUGGCAACAGGCUUGCCUCUCUUCUUUGAAUUACCCUUCUUGACUUUGUCGUUUCUCUUGAAACUAGUGGUCUUAUUCACCAUCAACACUUGAUGCUCUUUACGGAGUUCAGACUCUGCGACUUUCAGCAUCGCAAACAACUCACCGGGAGACUUGUUCAUCCCUUGCAUGUUGUAGUUCAACACAAAGCUUUUAUAGCUUGGCGGCAGUGAUUGGAGGAUUCUGUCAGUGAUAGCUUCUUGCGGGAGUUCAAUCCCCAGUUCAGCUAGACGGUUUGAGUACCCAGACAUUUUGAGCACAUGUUCACUGACAGACGAGUUUUCCUCCAUCUUGCAAGCAUAGAAUUUAUCGGAGGUCUCAUACCUCUCGAUCCGGGAGUUCUUCUGAAAGAUGAACUUCAACUCUUGGAACAUCUCAAAUGCUCCAUGACGCUCAAAGCGACGUUGAAGUCCCGGUUCUAAGCCAUACAAGACUGCACAUUGAACUAUUGAGUAGUCCUCCUUACGCGCUAACCAAGCGUUCUUAACAUCCUGAUCAGCCGUAGCGGGUGGUUCAUCUCCUAGCGCAGCAUUAAGGACAUAAUCCUUCUUUCCAGCUUGUAAGAUUAGCUUAAGAUUACGAGCCCAGUCUACAAAGUUGCUUCCAUCAUCUUUCAACUUAGCUUUCUCUAGGAACGUAUUAAAAUUGAGGAUGACACUUGCGUGAGCCAUGAUCUACAACACAAAUAUAUUCAAAGUGGACUUAGACUAUGUUCAAGAUAAUUAGAGUUCAACUUAAUCAAAUUAAAUGCUAAACUCCCACUCAAAAAGUACAUCUCUCUAGUCAUUUGAGUGGUUCAUGAUCCACCUACACUAUCCCAAGUCCGAUCAUCACGUGAGUCGGGAGUAGUUUCAGUGGUAAGCAUCCCUAUGCUAAUCAUAUCAUCUAUAUGAUUCAUGAUCGACCUUUCGGUCUCAUGUGUUCCGAGGCCAUGUCUGCACAUGCUAGGCUCGUCAAGCUUAACCCGAGUGUUCCGCGUGCGCAACUGUUUUGCACCCGUUGUAUGUGAACGUUGAGUCUAUCACACCCGAUCAUCACGUGGUGUCUCGAAACGACGAACUGUAGCAACGGUGCACAGUCGGGGAGAACACAAUUUUGUCUUGAAAUUUUAGCGAGAGAUCACCUCAUAAUGCUACCGUCGUUCUAAGCAAAAUAAGGUGCAUAAAAGGAUUAACAUCACAUGCAAUUCAUAAGUGACAUGAUAUGGCCAUCAUCACGUGUCUUCUUUGACUCUCCAUCCAACCAAAAGCUAGUUGGCACGAUCUUUNNNNNNNNNNNNNNNNNNNNNNNNNNNNNNNNNNNNNNNNNNNNNNNNNNNNNNNNNNNNNNNNNNNNNNNNNNNNNNNNNNNNNNNNNNNNNNNNNNNNUAUUACACCUGGCCGUUNUAAAAAUUUUAAUUUCUAUCUGGCUUAAUUUUGGUUUUCUUCAAACCAUUAAAAAGCUCUAUUGUAUCCGCGCUACGGAAAUGUAUGGCAGAACCAGUGGACAACACCGAAAGCAAUUUGACAGUUCUACACAAAAAAUCAACAAGUAUAAUUCAUUUAUCUUUACUAAACCAUCAUCGGGGUCUAAUUCUCUUUUUUGGUAUUUGCAGGUUCCCGUAUCAAAGUCAUUGCAGGUACUACUCUGACUGCAGUCAUUUUCAUUACAAAAAUUUUAUUAUGCAAAUCUCUAUUGUUGCACGUCUAGUUACAAAAUUUAAUUCCCAAUGCAAUAUGCUGAUGUCAUAUUGUUUGUUUAUUCAGCUACAUCAUCGGUGGCCGCAUUUGUUGUUCUUUUGUUAACGGUGGCCACUGUGCUUUAUCUUUCACUCAAGACAAGAUAUAACGCGGAGAUACAUUUGAAGGUUGAAAUGUUUCUCAAGACAUAUGGAACAUCGAAACCCACGAGGUACACUUUCUCUCAAGUUAAGAAGAUGGCAAGACGGUUUAAGGAAAAAGUAGGGCAGGGAGGAUUUGGAAGUGUCUACAAAGGCGAGCUGCCAAAUGGAGUGCCCGUGGCAGUCAAGAUGCUAGAGAACUCUAGAGGAGAGGGAGAAGUAUUCAUCAACGAAGUUGCAACCAUCGGACUAAUCCACCAUGCCAAUAUUGUCCGUCUCCUAGGAUUCUGCUCUGAAGGAAUGAGACGGGCUCUUAUUUACGAAUUCAUGCCUAACGAGUCACUGGAGAAAUACAUAUUCUCUGAUGACCCUAACAUUUUUCAGAACCUUCUGGUACCAGACAAGCUGCUAGAUAUUGCUUUAGGCAUCGCCAGAGGAAUGGAGUACCUGCAUCAAGGGUGCAACCAGCGCAUCCUCCACUUUGACAUCAAGCCUCACAAUAUCCUUCUCGACUACAACUUCAACCCAAAGAUCUCAGACUUUGGCCUUGCAAAGUUGUGCGCGAGGGACCAAAGCAUCGUCACCUUAACCGCAGCAAGAGGCACGAUGGGCUACAUUGCACCAGAGCUAUACUCUCGCAACUUUGGGGGAGGUAUCGUACAAGUCAGACGUGUUCAGUUUCGGCAUGCUGGUGCUAGAGAUGGUGAGCGGAAGGAGGAACUCAGAUCCAAGUACUAAGAGUCGGAACGAUGUUUACCUCCCGGAGUGGAUCUACGAGAAAGUGAUCAAUGGGGAGGGUUGGCGCUUACUCUGGAAGCGACUCAAGAAGAGAAAGAGAAGGUGAGGCAGCUGGCGAUGGUGGCACUGUGGUGCAUCCAGUGGAACCCGAGAAACCGGCCGUCUAUGACAAAGGUUGUUAACAUGCUAACAGGGAGGCUGCAGAGUCUGCAGAUGCCACCAAAGCCGUUCGUCUCAUACGAAAACGAGCCUGUGUCGUAAUAAAUCAGAGGAGGGACUACAAUACUCUGUCAGCAUUCAGGGACUGGUAUAUAUACUCUGCCAACACUGCAUCUGGAGGUGUAUGAAUAAUCACUGGUCAGCGGUCACUACCACUGUAAUAGUAGUACGGUACAAUGCAAGAUACAGGAUUUGUAGUUGGACUUGUAUUUUAACAGCUACUCCCAUAUUUAUCUCUACAUAAGUUGCGAAUAGCUCGUGUAAAAUUCGAUACUCUGCUGAUUACCUUAAUUAUCGCUGCAUUGCAGUCCGUCCACAUCCGACAGUUAGUGACGGAACUUUUCCUUCCCAGCACAAAGUGAAUGUGAUCCACAUUCACACAUUUUCACUUGCACAUCAGGUAAAAUGCCACCAUUGAAUCGGAAUUCCACACCAAUUCGAGCUUCGAUCAUUUGAGUAUGAUAACAGACUAGUAAAUCAGAAACUGUGGGAGGGAGAGGAGUGAUGUACCUCUUGAUAUUAUUGGAAUAUGAGAGGAAUCGAAGCUCGGCUAGCUGCUGCUUGCUGCCGUUGGGAUUGGGGGGACGUGCUGCUGCGGUGAAGCCUACUUCUAACAACAAGGCCAGAGCCCAUCACCUUUCCCGGGCCGAUCGAGGUCCAACAUUGCUCACUUCUCUUUUUUUUAAAUGUUUUUUUUAACUCGUUGUGUCGAAUAGUUUGAGGAAACAAACAUCUUCUUCCCACCCCCAACAUCUAUGUUUGCCCUGAUCACUGCCGCCAUCCACCUCAAAUGAUCCAUCGAACCAGCAUCGGCCGGACCGUCGUCUCUCUCCACCCAUGACUGAUGUUUGAUGUCACCUUGUCCUCUCGGUCUCGAAUGGCCCUUUGCCAUUGCCUUCGUUCGUUUGCCCCCACCCCGGCCUUCCCUCUUACCUCGCCUUCUCAUAUUCUAAUGAGCCACUCCGCACCCGCAUUCACCGCCAAUUUUGCGUCAUCGCAUUUAUUUACGUUGUUGGGUCAUCACCGACUCGGCUUCACUCCUUUUGUUGCAUCAUCCCCACCACCACCAAUCGUCCACCGCCCCCUCACCUCCUAUCAGCCCCCAUGAGGCACUCUACCUCCACCUCGGCGGUGUCACUCUAGCUUCUUUUGUAUGGCCCAGGACGACACGCCAAUGCAUGUUUGAUAGACAAUUCGACACAGUGAGACUUGAAAAGGGUUUACAACCCCCCCCCCUCCCCCCCUUAAAAAAAGAGUUUACCACAUGGGAAGAAAACAUUCGGACACAUGGGACUUAAAUGGAUCGUNNNNNNNNNNNNNNNNNNNNNNNNNNNNNNNNNNNNNNNNNNNNNNNNNNNNNNNNNNNNNNNNNNNNNNNNNNNNNNNNNNNNNNNNNNNNNNNNNNNNCCAAUCACUUUCUCCUCUAUGUGAGGGGAGCCCCUUGGAUCUAGACCUUGUAGUUCUUUGUGAGCUCCUUGUUCUUCCUCUUAUAUUUCUCCAUAGCUUUUGUUGUUGUGGAGGGAUUUGAGUGUGAGGGACUUGUCCACUUCGUGUGUUCUUGCCAUUGCAUUAGUUGCAUCAGUUGAGUUUUCCACGGUGAUACGUGGAAAUGAAGUUUGAGAAGCUUAUUACCUUUGGUACUUAGUGUUGGAAAUAUGCCCUAGAGGCAAUAAUAAAUUAGUUAUUAUUAUAUUUCUUUGUUCAUGAUAAUCGUUUAUUAUCCAUGCUAUAAUUGCAUUGAUUGGAAACACAAUACUUGUGUGGAUACAUAGACAAAACACUAUCCCUAGUAAGCCUCUAGUUGACUAGCUCGUUGAUCAAAGAUGGCCAAGGUUUCCUGGCCAUAGGCAAGUGUUGUUACUUGAUAACGGGAUCACAUCAUUAGGAGAAUCAUGUGAUGGACUAGACCCAAACUAAUAGACGUAGCAUGUUGAUCGUGUCAUUUUGUUGCUACUGUUUUCUGCGUGUCAAGUAUUUGUUCCUAUGACCAUGAGAUCAUAUAACUCACUGACACCGGACCAAUACUUUGUGUGUAUCAAACGUCGCAACGUAACUGGGUGACUAUAAAGAUGCUCUACAGGUAUCUCCGAAGGUGUUCGUUGAGUUAGUAUGGAUCAAGACUGGGAUUUGUCACUCCGUGUGACGGAGAGGUAUCUCGGGGCCCACUCGGUAAUACAACAUCACACACAAGCCUUGCAAGCAAUGUGACUUAGUGUAAGUUGCGGGAUCUUGUAUUACGGAACGAGUAAAGAGACUUGCCGGCAAACGAGAUUGAAAUAGGUAUGCGGAUACUGACGAUCGAAUCUCGGGCAAGUAACAUACCGAAGGACAAAGGGAAUGACAUACGGGAUUAUAUGAAUCCUUGGCACUGAGGUUCAAACGAUAAGAUCUUCGUAGAAUAUGUAGGAUCCAAUAUGGGCAUCCAGGUCCCGCUAUUGGAUAUUGACCGAGGAGUCUCUCGGGUCAUGUCUACAUAGUUCUCGAACCCGCAGGGUCUGCACACUUAAGGUUCGACGUUGUUUUAUGCGUAUUAAAGUUAUAUGGUUGGUUACCGAAUGUUGUUCGGAGUCCCGGAUGAGAUCACGGACGUCACGAGGGUUUCCGGAAUGGUCCGGAAACGAAGAUUGAUAUAUAGGAUGACCUCAUUUGGUUACCGGAAGGUUUUCGUGCAUUACCGGAAAAGUUUCGGGCUCAUCGGUAGUGUACCGGGAGUGCCGGGAGGAGUGCCGGGGACCAUCGGGAGGGGUGUCACGCCCCAAAGGGUCUCAUGGGCUAUGGGAAGAGAUAAACCAGCCCCUAGUGGGCUGGAUAAGUUCCCACUAAGGCCCAUAAGGUUUGAGAAGGAAAAAACACAAGGUGGAAAGAGUUUCCAAGUGGGAAGGUGGAAUCCUACUCCAAGUAGGAUUGGAGUAGGACUCCUCCACCUCCAAUUUCGGCCAAACCUUUAGGUUUUGAGGCUGCCUCCUCCCCUCCCUCCCACCUAUAUAUACGGAGGUUUUAGGGCUGAUUUGAGACGACUUUCUCACGGCUGCCCGACCACAUACCUCCAUAGUUUUUCCUCUAGAUCGUGUUUCUGCGGAGCUCGGGCGGAGCCCUGCUGAGACAAGAUCAUCACCAACCUCCGGAGCGCCGUCACGCUGCCGGAGAACUCUUCUACCUCUCCGUCUCUCUUGCUGGAUCAAGAAGGCCGAGAUCAUCGUCGAGCCGUACGUGUGCUGAACGCGGAGGUGCCGUCCGUUCGGUACUAGAUCGUGGGACUGAUCGCGGGAUUGUUCGCGGGGCGGAUCGAGGGACGUGAGGACGUUCCGCUACAUCAACCGCGAUCUCUAAUCGCUUCUGCUGUACGAUCUACAAGGGUACGUAGAUCACUCAUCCCCUCUCGUAGAUGGACAUCACCAUGAUAGGUCUUCGUGCGCGUAGGAAAUUUUUUGUUUCCCAUGCGACGUUCCCCAACAGUGGCAUCAUGAGCUAGGUUCAUGCGUAGAUGUCUUCUCGAGUAGAACACAAAAGGUUUUGUGGGCGGUGAUGUGCGUUUUGCUGCCCUCCUUAGUCUUUUCUUGAUUCCGCGGUAUUGUUGGAUUGAAGCGGCUUGGACCGACAUUACUCGUACGCUUACGAGAGACUGGUUUCAUCGUUACGAGUAACCCCCUUUGCUCAAAGAUGACUGGCAAGUGACGGUUUCUCCAACUUUAGUUGAAUCGGAUUUGACCGAGGAGGUCCUUGGAUGAGGUUAAAUAGCAACUCAUAUAUCUCCGUUGUGGUGUUUGCGUAAGUAAGAUGCGAUCCUACUAGAUACCCUUGGUCACCACGUAAAACAUGCAAGAACAAAAUUAGAGGACGUCUAACUUGUUUUGCAGGGUAUGGAUGUGAUGUGAUAUGGCCAAUGAUGUGAUGUGAUAUAUUGGAUGUAUGAGAUGAUCAUGUUGUAAUAGAAAUAUCGACUUGCACGUCGAUGGUACGGCAACCGGCAGGAGCCAUAGGGUUGUCUUUAUACUAACAUAUGUGCUUGCAGAUGCGUUUACUAUUUUGCUAGGAUGUAGCUUUAGUAGUGAUAGCAUAAGUAGCACGACAACCCCGAUGGCGACACGUUGAUGGAGAUCNNNNNNNNNNNNNNNNNNNNNNNNNNNNNNNNNNNNNNNNNNNNNNNNNNNNNNNNNNNNNNNNNNNNNNNNNNNNNNNNNNNNNNNNNNNNNNNNNNNNACGUACACUGUAGACCUCAUCUGAAUACACCAUAAUCCGACAACACACAGCUUCUUCUCCAGCUCGUGCAUGUCGGCAGCAACUGGAGAUAUCUCGCCCGCUUCUUCCCGAGUCAGCUGGUCGUACACCCAUGACGGAUAGUACGCCUGGCUUGAGGACCCCAUGUUUGGAUCAGCGUUCCUUCUCCCGCCAGCCAUCUCCAGCAGCAGCAUCCCGAAGUUGUACACGUCGGACUUGCUGGAUAUGACGCCGAAGCUCCGGGAUAUCAUCUCGGGGGCUAUGUAGCCGAUGGUUCCCCGCAUGGCGCUCAAAGGCACGAAACUGUCACCCCUCGGGUACAGUUUGGCGAGCCCGAAAUCUGCGACCUUUGGGACGAAAUUGCUGUCGAGAAGGAUGUUGUGUGGCUUGAUGUCAAAGUGCAGAAUCUGCAUGUCGCACCCCUGGUGUAGGUAGUUGAUCCCCCUGGCAAUGCCCAGAGCGAUCUUGUUGAGCUUGUCCCAUGAGAAGCUCUUCUCAGUAGAGAAGAUGUACUUGUCCAGAGAACCAUGGGGCAUGUACUCGUAGACUAAGGCCCUUCUCAUUUCCUCCGAGCAGAAGCCCACUAAACGCACCACGUUGACGUGGUGGAUCCUGCCGAUGGUGGAGACCUCGCUGAUGAAAUCUUCUCCAUUGAUGUUUGAGUUGCCCUCUAACAUCUUCACGGCAACAUGGACACCGCCUGGRAGUAAGSAYRCCCUUGUACACAGUGCCGUAGCCCCCUUGGCCCAAUUUAUCUCUGAAAUGGCUUGUGACUGCAACUAUAUCUGUGUACGAGUACCUCAUCGGGCCAAUCAUUUGUUGAAUCCUGAGGAACUUCUCAACUGCAUCAAUUAUGAUCCUUGUUUUCAUGUACUUGUAGGCUAGGAAUAUCCAUACAGCCAGGGGUGCCAACAACAGCCUGCAUAGUACUGCCCAACAAGUCGGCAGAUAUGGAUGUAAGUUAGAUAACCGUGUAGGCAUAUGCUUAUGUCCAAGAAUGUGGCCAUGAUGAUUAAAAAUAUGAAAAUUCAAUUUCGUAAGUAUAAGGCAUAUAAUUCUCACGUACCGAAAAAGAACUUGGGGAUGGCAAUCGCCGAAAAUAUGGUCACAACAACCAAAACAAACUGUGUUGUGUAGUAGUGAUCUUCAGAGCUUUGAGUCACGCAUUCUAAGAAGUGCACUUCACUCCAGAAAAAAGCAUGAGCCCAAUUCACAAUGCUCGCACCACAUGAUUGCUCCUUGAAGUAGCUGCAAAUCAUACCAUUUUAAAGAAAUGGAUUUAGAAGGGACCACGGUUCUUAGACAGGGUAAAUUCCAUUUGUACACUAAUUCAAUCCCAUUUGCGCAAAACAACAGUGUUUGACUUCGCCACCAUGUAAUUCGCUAUGUGUUGUAUUUUGGACUCUUGCUUUUAAAUUUGACAUAAUCUGAUCCGUGCCCGACAUGGAUGGAGUAGUGCAAUUGAUUAACAAACCUUUGCUACCAAUUAGCAUUAAGUGUGUAAGUACAAGAUGAAUUAAUGACGAGUGUGGAUGUGCUCUAGUAAAGAUGGGCUUAACAGCCCCACAUUAAUUCUUGAGAAAAGUAGAGAACAGAGAAACUAAAUUAGGGAGGAAACUGAACCAGAGGGUAUCACCUAAUUGAAUUGUUGAGGCAUAUAUUGAUGUUCUUUCUUAACUUCACAGAGGCAGAAGGCCCCAUGAUGUCCACAGGAAAUUGGACAGUAAACCCCUUACCUAUGAAUUGUGUGAUAUCUGCAUAACUUGCAUUCUGCCAAUAAGGAGUAUAAUCCUUACCAAAUGGAAUCUUGGCCAGAUAUCCACAAUAAGGUUCAAAAUCUUCAACCACACAACUGUAGUGAGACACCCAGACAUAAACAUGUGAAUUGUUGGCACUCAGGCAAGAAACGGGCUUGUAUGAACUACUAUCCGUCACUGCUUGCGAACAAUUAGCAAAACAAGCUAUGUCGUAGCUUUGAGAGACCAAAUACAGAAAGCCAGGUGGUGAAACUGAAUUAAUUCCGUCCAAGUAUCGACCGUAAGGAACGUGAUUCCACAGUGGAAGAGGGCAGCUGCUGAUGGUAUCGAAGUUGGUGUCGAUGACCCAGAAGUAGGAACCAGUGUAGUUGAUGGCAGUCACAUAGUAUGUUCCUGUGCUGAUGUGAAUGGUAGCCUUGCUACUGGUACAACUCAGCUCGUAUGCUUCAACACCACACUCAAGAGGAUCACCUUGCCGACGGAAAGGAGGCCGUAUAUCUUGCAGAUGCCCACAGGAGAAAGGUGCGCACCCAUCGUCUCGUCCCUGGACAUGAUCUGCUGCAAGAACUGCAACUAGGGAGAAGACAGUUAAGGAUUGCAGGGUAAUAGAAUGAUGAAAUGCACCAGGGUUCCCCAUGAAAGCUUUCUCACAGAUGCACUAGGGACUUGAUAUCCUAGUUUAGUUCUGUUAAGAGUACUGAGGGGGGCAAGGGAUCGACAUCAACUAGUUGAUGAUAUCCAGCUGUGUAUACCAAUUAAUAGUGUGGUUGGGUUAUUGAUUAUGAUUUCACUGGUAUAUACACGACGAACAAAAGAGGAAGAUAUUCUCUCGAUUUUUUCCAGAUUUCCACACUGUGGACUGGAUUUUCCAGAGAUUUUCCACAGCUAGGACUAGAAGACGACCCAAGCCUUGGGUCUUCUGUCCUAUCAAUUUUUCCAGAGAUUUUUCAUAAUGUGGACUAGAUUUUCCACACUAUGACAGCUGCCAAUAGACUGGACAGUAGGCUGAACCAAGUCUGCAAUCAUACAAAGUCCACAAGAGCAUGGCAUGGACUAUCAAUUUAAACACUAUCCUCAUCAUCAGGCCUAACUAUCAGUAUAGCAUGACUGUGACUGCUUACCUAUAGACAACAGGGAAUAAGUGCUUUUUUUGUCACUUGCUACUCCACUUCUUCUUCCUCUUGCUCACCAUCUUGGUGGAGUAGUAAAGAAAGAUGAGUAAAUUUCUUGCCAUAGGCCUCCUGCUGCUGCAUCUUAUCAACCAUGGAAUCUACUUGGCGAAAGCAUGGGAUGAUAAAGAUUUCUUCAAAUACUGCCCACCGUCCCAGUGCAGCCAACAUGGCCCAGAGAUCAGGUUCCCUUUCUGCCUUGAAUCCAGCAAUAAAUCGUCGUCGUCAUCAUCAUCAUCAUCAUGUGGAUGUGACGGCAGAUCAAUCAGGAAGUUGGCAUGCUCUGGUCAAGACACCAUCCUAGUUCACCCAUUUCUUGGCCCAUACAGUGUCAGCGCCAUAGAUUACAGGCAUUCUUCCAUGAAGGUCAUCCCGCUUGUAGACCCCUGUUUGAUGCUAAACCAGAAUCUCAUCAUCUCCAGAAACUCAUCAUCUCUACAGAUUGAUGUUAUCAACGAUUAUAAGACAAAGUUUGACCAAGAUUUCUUUUGGCCUUCAUCUGCAGCCGUAGUACGCUGUUCAAGAGAGUUCUCACCUGGUGCUGACGAUAGAAUUGUUGGCCCAGUAUCCUGCCUUAGCAACGCAACCCACUUCUUCUAUUUCGUGGCUAGCUUUGCAGACAUGUCUAUUCUUCCGUUGGACUGCAAGGCCGCCCCACUCUCACAUGGUGUCAGUGGCAGUCUGAUACCUAUGUAUUGGAGUUGCAGCCUAUACAGCUCAGGGUCCUUCAAGGAGGGUGCAGAAACAUUCCUCAGUUCUGCUGAGACCACAGUAUGUUGGCUUGGUUCUGAAUGCAGAAAAUGUGAGCUCAUUGGGGGACGCUGCGCGUUCAGCUCAGAACGGAAUCUAGCAUUCUGUAUGCCUGGCGGUAUGAUCAACUCUAACUCUCUAGAACCAUGUUUAAUUGCAUCAUCCUAUUUUAUUUGUAAUGAAGUUUUAAAGUAUAUUAAAAUUUCACUUCAUAAUUUCAGGUGUUUGAAUCUCCACGAGUCUUUCUUUCAAUUAUUUUUCUUUCAAAAUAGCACCACAAAUGCUUUUAGUAGCCUUCUUGAGCAAUCACAUUGACCUAAGCACCUGAACUCAUAAAAAUUCUGAAAAAUUGUCGACAGGAAAGAAAUAUGUUUUGUUUAUCUAAUAUACACUGGCCUUAUAAAAUUUAUUCAUCUGCUUAUUUGUUUCUCAAACAUUAAAAGCUCUAUUGUAUCCGCGCUACGGAAAUGUAUGGCAGAACCAGUGGACAACACCGAAAGCAAUUUGACAGUUCUACAAAAACAAUCAACAAGUAUAAUUCAUUUAUGUUAACUAAACCAUCAUCGGAGUCUAAUUCUCUUUUUUGGUAUUUGCAGGUUCCCGUAUCAAAGUCAUCGCAGGUUAUUACUCUGACUGCAGUCUAUUUUCAUUACAAAAUUUAUAUUAUGACAAAUCCCUAUAGUUGCACGUCUAAUUACAAAAUUUANGGAAUAUGCUGAUGUCACAUUGUUUGUUUAUCAGCUACAUCAGUCGGGUGGCCGCUAUUUUGGUUGUUUCUUUUAGUAACGGUGGNNNNNNNNNNNNNNNNNNNNNNNNNNNNNNNNNNNNNNNNNNNNNNNNNNNNNNNNNNNNNNNNNNNNNNNNNNNNNNNNNNNNNNNNNNNNNNNNNNNNUGGAACUAGGCGGCGAGUCAGCAGCCUCACGAGACAAGACCGAUCCCCUCUUCUUCAAGAAAAUGGACUUCACCUUGCAUAGGAUAGGAUGUACUCCAGGCAAGCCGCGAAGGCUAUAUCGAGGAUGGACAUGCAUGGAAAGCAUCAUGAUCGUGGCAUCGACGACGGCUUCCUGUGUCUUCACCAUCCUGCAGAUCCUCCACGCCAAGAGGAACCCCGACGUGGCUCCGGCGACGUCGGUCACCAUGAUUGCCGUGCUCACCAUGGGGUAUCUCGCCCCCCUGGUGCUCAACUCUGAGGCCUUGUUCGCAAGCAGAAGGAGCGAGUACUAUAUAUGAGAUGCACUCCACGAGACGUUGGCCCGAGAUGAAGGAGGUCAAGAUGAGGGCGCCUACGCUGAUCGCCUUCUUGCUACAGCUGCGCCUUCUUCAGUUCGCGUGGUCCGGCCGUCGACGAGCAUCCGCCAUGUUCGAGAGGACUGUGCUCUGGAUAUGCCUGCCGUUGUACGCGCUCGGAGGAGUCUUGGCCGCGGUCGUCCAUGUGAUCAACGCCCGCGCCUGCCCGUUGGCCAUCAACAUGGGCAGAUGGCCGGCGAUGGUCUGGCAGGACCUUGUGUCGUACACCGGGCUAAUACUGGAUGGCUUCCUGCUCCCGCAGGUCAUCCUGAACGCAUCCUUGGGAGCGUCCAGAGCUCGAGCGAUCUCGCCGUGGUUUUACAUGGGGGGCACCGUGCUUCGCUUGAUGCCUCAUGUGUAUGAUGUAGUGAGGGCCCAUAUCAGCAAGCAGCCGAGCAUGCGCUCAUCCCUCGCGACGACCUCUUCGGCGGCGCGCGCUUGGGAUGCGGUUAUAGCGUGCGGCGCGGCGUUGCUGGCCUUGUUGUUGUUCUUGCAGCAGCGGCAGGCUUCCACGCACCACGUCGUCGCUUCCUUCGCAGAGGAGGAGAUCGGCUGGGUAUGAGAUGGUCUCCAACAUUUUACGUAAAACUUGGGAGUUUCAGGGGAAACAAAGGGUACCUCAUGUAUUGUUUUGUUGUUGAAAGCAAAGAUAUAUAGUGUACCUUCUUUUCACUUCAUGAGUCACACCUUCUACAUCAAUGAAAAACAACACUCGCUUUAUCCUCAAGGAAAAGUGUACCUUAUGUGUUGUUGAAGAUCUGUCCAUUUGCUCUUCGAUAUCUWUUUUUUUUUAAGCUAUAUGUGCCGAAUAUAUGUGUACAAGUAGUGCUAUACUCACCCCGUUUCUAAAUAUAAGUCUUUUUAGACAUUUAAAUAUGAGACUACGUACGGACCAAAAUGAGUGAAUCUACGCAUCAAAUUAUGUCUAUAUACAUCCGUAUAUGUCCAAUAGUGAAAUAUUUAAAAAGACUUAUAUUUAGAAACGGGGGAAGUAGUUGGAGUUUUAAUCAAUGGAGGGUUAGGUGUUUGAGUCAGAUACGUGUAACAUGGCCCUAUUAUAUAAAAUAUUUUUUGUGUUGAAGUUGUAUGUUUGAACGCUGCACUUUGAACUAUUUUCGAUGUGGUCAUAAGAGGGUAUGUUGUGUGAUAAUUUCAACAUAACCUGGUCAACAUAACCGCGGAGGAUGUAGUGCGGAGGAACUUGAGGCACUCACCGGAGGAGGAGAUCGUCGGGGAACGAGGGUCGCCGGAGACCACAUCAAUAGGAAAUAUGAAAUGGGGACGGGAGAGAUGAUGCUGCCAUUUGUCUACCAAACGACAAUGUCUUUUUUUAAUAGCGUCAAUUGUUAUUGUACUGCAAGUCGUUUGGGCCAAGCCCAAAAUUCAUAAAAUGUUCAAGAAAAAUAUUUAUUUUAAAAAGAUUUCCUUUUUGAACAAAAGCUGAAAAUUCAUAAAAACAAUACUUCUUAAAAAGUAUUACAAUUUUUAUGCAUACAUCAAAAAAAUUAAAAAAAAAUAACAUUUAACCUUAUCAUCGACAAUUAUUAAAAAUCCAUAUAAAAAAUGAUGCACGAUAACACAUGAAGCAAGUUUUGCAAAAAACAAAAAAAAAUUAUUCUAAUUUUUUUAUGGAAAAUAUGUUGUACACACAAAUGCCAUUUCCAAUCAAAAAAAAGUUAAUUAUCACACAAUAAAAAGAUCAUUUGURAAAAACAAAAAACAAUUAUCUUUACUAAANNNNNNNNNNNNNNNNNNNNNNNNNNNNNNNNNNNNNNNNNNNNNNNNNNNNNNNNNNNNNNNNNNNNNNNNNNNNNNNNNNNNNNNNNNNNNNNNNNNNUACGUAGGAAGAAAUAUAAGAGGAAGAAACGAAGGACGCUACACAAAGAACUACAAGGUCUAGAUCCGAAGGGGCCUCCCCUCACAUAGAGGAGAAGUGAUUGGUGGAGAUGUGGUUCUAGAUCUCCUCUCUCUUUUCCCUCAAGAACAAGCAAGAAUCAUUGGAGGGAUUGAGAGUAAGCAAGCUCUAAGAAGGUCAACAAUGGGGGUAGAACAUGAGCUUAACGGAUAGAUGAGGCCAAGGGGGAAGAAGACCCCCUUUAUAUAGUGGGGGAACGAAUCAUACCGUUACCCCCACUUACAGCCCGAGCACAGAAGUACUACCGCUGCCCCGAGCGGUACUACCGCUCAGGGAGGAGUGGUACUACUGCUAGCCCUGGCGGUACUACCGCUAGCCCCUUGCGGUACUACCGCUAGAGAAAGUCUUCGUAGAAAGUCUGACGGAGAACAACUGCUCAAAGAGAGGUACUACUGUCCCGAAGCGGUACUACCGCCCACCCAGAGCGGUACUACCGCUUCCCCUGGCGGUACUACCGCUAGGACUGGAGCGGUACUACCGCUCGCCACUAAAACAACCUUAACUUUCGCAUACGGACUCCGAAUUCAACAAAACCAAGUUUGUUGGAAAGCUAACGAUAUGGGAUAACACAAUCUUGAUAGAAAUAUAAAUAAGAAGCAAGUGAGAAAAGGCCCAUAAGAAAAUGGUGAGAACCCUUCCUCGAAUAAGACCGGUAAAAGCUCCCAACAUCAAAAACAUCAUAGAAGAUGCAUAUGGACUCCGUUUUCGAUGAACUCAAGCUUGUCAUGAAGAUGACCAUAAGCUCUAAAACUCACAAAGAGAAACACCAAACAAGAACCAAGAAGUAUGAUGCAAGGAUGCAAAUGAUUUGAGCUCUCAACGAACGAUACGAUCAAGCUACUCACUUGAGAGCCCCGCUUGACAGUACGACAAUCUAUCCUAAAACAGGAAACCUAUCAAGGGAAAACCUAUACCUUGCACCUAGUCCUCUUGAGCUAGAUGACGAUGAUCUUGGCUUCCUCAAGAUGGACCACCUUUCUUGAUUGCGUUGGCUUGAUGAAAACUAGUUGAUUGCUCCCCCAUACACACUAUGGGUGAGCCGCUCUUCAGCAUAUCUUCACAAGUCCAUUGCCACCAUCCUCCACCACUUGACAUCAUCCUCCAUGGGUUGUAUGAGAUCUUCCUCUUGACUCAAUCCCAUGGAAACACACCUAACCCCACAUAGAACGCUCACGAAGACCAUGGGUUAGUACAAAAAUACGUAAUGGACAAUGCUUACCAUACCAUGGGAUCACUUGAUCCCUCUCGGUACAUCUUGUACGCUUUGUGUGUUGAUCAUCUUGAUUUACUCUAUGUCUGACGAUCUUGAUCAACCUUGUGUCUCUAUGACCAUUCUUUCAAUAAUACCUCGAAUAACACCUUGGUCUUCAUAUAAACUCCUUGAAGCCAACAGAUGGACUUCAAGAAGUGCCUAUGAACAAAUCAUAUAAAUAUAACUUAAGGCAAACAUUAGUCCAUAGGAAUUGUCAUCAAUUACCAAAACCACAUAUGGAGAAAUAUGCUCUAACAAUCUCCCCCAUUUUGGUAAUUGAUGAAAACCACUUAAAGAGAGUUUAUAUAAGGAAAUAAGCAUAACCAAGCACACACAUGCAAAGCAGUAAUGCAUGCGUACAACAUGUAAAUGCUUAUGCAAUAAAAGCAAAACCCUCUAAGCAUAACCAAACUAAACUCUCUAAACUUCUCCCCAUUGGCAUCGAUUGCCAAAAUGGACAAAAAGUUUAGAAAGCCAAUAUAGUAGGUGGUCCUCCAAAAAGUGUGUACUUCUCAACAAAUGAGUGCAGAUAAAUACACAUAUAUAAUGAUAAGAAGUUAGAGGAAAACAAACUAUAUCGAGGACCCAAAGAUUGCUAAUAAAAGGAUCGUAUGCCACAAAGACAUACAAAAAUGGAGGCAAACAAUCAAAGAAUACCAGAUGGAACAAACAAUCAUAUGGUCCGUUCGACCACAUGAUAAAAGGUAAAGUUUAAUUGUAGUAAAAGGACGAACCGGGAANNNNNNNNNNNNNNNNNNNNNNNNNNNNNNNNNNNNNNNNNNNNNNNNNNNNNNNNNNNNNNNNNNNNNNNNNNNNNNNNNNNNNNNNNNNNNNNNNNNNCGUAGUCGGGCGUAAGGAAGGACCGGAGGACGUCCGUGGACCGUACGUCGACCGAAGUACUCCGGUUGGGUUACGGAGUAUUGACCUAACCUACGCUAUUCUAUACUUACUGUCGUUUAGUAACUUGAUGCAGGGGCCACCGGUUCCUUCAUUAUCAUGCUUUUCUCGACGAGUUUUCAACACAGCUGAAGCAUCUUGCAUAUCUCUCUACCAUACUAUGCUUUUUUGAAUCCCGUUCUUGCCAACACAACCUUUGUAACCUUACAGGAUCUAUACGCCAGCUGAAUCAUGUCGAAGUCAUCUCAUUAUCCCGUAGCUUUUGUCUUAGUACCUCCCUCUUAGAUUCAUCGUUAUUUGAAAUUUCACAGCAUUUUUGGAGGGCACUGUCCACAAUUUGAUGCAGUUUCAUGCCUACCGCUUGUUUACAUUGUAUUUUUGUGAUUUAAAAGAAAGAGAGUAGAGUGAUUAAACUGGUCGGAAUUUACAAGUCUUUUUUUCAUUCACCAAGACUCUAAAGGCUGAUACCAACCUUGUCUACUUAACUCAACUGGAAUUCUAGGCACUUAUAUUUUCUGUGAAUAAGGACCUGGCUUGAUGUUACAAACUUUCAACGAUUCAAAACAUUCUGGAAAAAAACAAGAAAAUUUCAACCAGGUUUUCAUAGAGCCAAACAAAUUGAAUCUCCAUCCUGAGCAUGAGCCAAAGGUGCGUCGCCGGAUCUGCCCUAACAUUGUAUAUUGCGGUUGGGAAGUUAUUGUGCUAAGGUCCAGCUAGACGAAUGCCCCGANNNNNNNNNNNNNNNNNNNNNNNNNNNNNNNNNNNNNNNNNNNNNNNNNNNNNNNNNNNNNNNNNNNNNNNNNNNNNNNNNNNNNNNNNNNNNNNNNNNNUGGAAAAAAUCAGUAGAAACAAUGUUAGUAGGAGUAUUGUUUUUGGACACAAAGAAAACCAAGUCGUGUGGCAUUUUCCGGCCAAGGGCCAGCGAGCGAGCGGCCUUCCCAGAGAAACCGAAGAACCCUAGAGGGAGAGAGAGCGGCGGCGCCGGCGGCCGCACCGCAUCGCGCAGCGCGGAGGGAGAGGGGACGGCCCGCAUCGAGCCGGAGGCAUGGAGUACGCGGCGGUGGCGGGGGCCGGGGGCUACUACUACUACCCGCCCGCGCAGCCGCAGCCGCCGCCUCAGGCGCUCCGCCGCCGCCCGCGCCCCGCCGCCCGCUGGGUCAAGCAGUGGUACGCCCCCGCCACGCUAAUGUCCGUCUCUGAUAUCGCCGCUGCGCCGGACCGACCCGACUGACCGCCGUUGCGUUGCAGGAUCCCGCAGGAUCUCGCCUCCCCCGGCUCCAAGUGCGCCCUCUCAAGUGGUCAGAGGUACCUCGCCGCCCCCCACCCACCCCCCGAACUNNNNNNNNNNNNNNNNNNNNNNNNNNNNNNNNNNNNNNNNNNNNNNNNNNNNNNNNNNNNNNNNNNNNNNNNNNNNNNNNNNNNNNNNNNNNNNNNNNNNUUAUAUGUGAAUCAUUUCUACUCAUGUUGAUCUUCCCUUAAAGGAAGUAAAGGUAGUCUUUAAAUUACCGUCCACCUACUUGAAAAAACUUAAUGAGGAACCCAACUUAUAGCUAAAGAAGAAAACAAUCAUUUGUWAMUAAUUUGUAUCCACGUUGUGCCCCCUGUUUAUCUUGAGAAAUCACCAUUUAAUGUUAGGAUUAGGGAACAUGCUAAAGUUGCAACUUUGGUUAAUAAGUCAAAACACAUAGACCCUCUGAAAAAAUAAAAAUAAAACCUAAAAUUGCAAUGGUUAAAGAUUUGGUAGUUGAUAAUACUGAUGAUCAUGUUAUAUAUUUCUGCGAUGAAGCAUCUCGUAUUGCUAAGCAGGAUUCUGAAGAUAAACAUAAACUUGUUGUUGUGAUGCCCCUUGUUUCUGUUAAAUUGAAGAUCAUCGUUAUGCAUUAUAUUGCACCUCUUGAGUUAGAAGAUAUUGAUGCUACUAUUAGGCUUGCAAACAAAGAGACUAUUUCACUGCUUGUGAUUGUUAGAGAUGUUGAAGUCUAGUGUGUUAAGAUCAAACACCCUAGUGAUAUCUUAGUUCUUGGAUCAUUACAAGAUAAUUUUCAUUGAAGUUCAUUCCUACAAGGUCAUCAGUUGCUACAUUUCUUUACACUAAUAAUGUUCACAUGAAUAUAAAGUGUUGUAUUUAUCUUUUCUAAACAAUACAAUUAAUAUAGUAGGUUUGCAAGUUGUCGGUAUAAACGAUCCUAAGAAACAAGAAUUUACUCCCAAUAGGAGGUGAAUAUGUUGGCCACAAAUUACACACCACCAAUUAGUCUUUACCACUGGCCUACCACCUGGUUCUCAAGGUCGUAGAGUAUAAUAUGCCUAGCUAUAUGAUUUCCAUAAUAUCACUUAAUGGUUUGGUAAGAUGUCUCCAUGAGAGACCGACGAGGUCAGUUGUAUCCUAUAUUAUCACUCUAUAAUAAAAACCAGAUGACUCUUCUCAUAGCUAGGUGGUAUGGAAGAAAGGAAAUGACCAAGCUCCAGUAGUUUUCAUGGACAAGUCACUAAACUAUUCUACGUACUAUUUCAGACGGCACAUGACAGGAGUAUUACGAAUAUUUGUUUGUGUGACAUGUAGGAAAAUUAUGAACAUUAUGAGUAGAUCCCAAAUGGUUAAUUUGCUAAAUCUAGGCCCACUCACAUACCACUUCUGCCUCCCUCUUUGAAAUUAGGAAUGGAGUUCUCUUUACAAAAACAUCAUUGCUCCGAGUUUCGGCCAUUUUGGAUUGAGGAAAUUUUAGAGGAAUUUUGGAGGAUUCCAUGUUACUUGGAAUCUCCCUAGUUUUUUCUAUUCCCCAAUUUUCAAAAUCCUGCAAUUCACAUAGGCCCUUGGAACAUCACACUGCUCAAUGCGCAGCCUGAAUUUAUUUGGGGUAGAGCAUGCAAAUACGCCAAUGGCAUGUGCGGUAGCAUCACCUAUUAUACUAUCCAUAAGACAUGAACUGAUUGCUCAAUGCUGGAAGGGUUGAUCAUAUAAGACAAUAUAUAUGGUAGUUUACCAAUUGAAGUACUUAGAAAAGCACACAAUAUCUAGGAGUCAUUCCAACUCCGUGCAUACAUGUGAAGGCGAAUAAGUAUAUGGUCUAGCUUAUCCAGUUAUGCCAAACCUAUUGUUACGAACGAAGGGAACCAUAUCAUUCAGAAAGAUUCAAUAUCAAUUGGAGUAUGACCUACCUUGAAUACCGCCAAAUGUAAUUGUAAUAAUGAAAGAUGGGGACAAGUUCGGCUGAAAAGAAUGGUAAGAUGUGAAGACCAGAUGCUUAGUCAUUUUAAUCCUUUUGUUUGACUUGCGUUGCAAGAACCACACGCUUCCACUUUUGACUUGUUAUAACUGAGUAGUUACCUAGCUAGAUCAUAUACUCACAUGAAGAAUGCACUUUCUAUAAUACCGAUUGAAGUUUCUUCACGUGGGUUCAGUUGCUAUGAUUUUUUAGACCCCCUUUGACACAAAUUAAUUGUUUUUCAUUCAUUACAACCUUCUUACAAAAUGUUCACAUGAAUAUACAAUGAAAAUGGAUCAAGUAGAAUGUAGUACCUACCACCUACUGACAAAUUGUUGGGUCAUUAGGUUCUCUCUUAAAAAUGGGUGGAUAUACAUAAUGUACCACAUUGGACAACAUGGUGCCUUUUUUAUAUUCAGCGGUCAUACUAAAGAAGUGCCCACAUACUUGAAGAGAGAUGAUGAAUCGACUUCACCAGAUAGAUUCUCGCUUUCAUGACCAUCUAACUCGGUGGCGUCUUAUAAUGUUACUUCCCCAAAAACAUGUCAUGGUUUUAGUUCAAAUUUAAACUAAAGCUGGACUAAAGUCACGACACUUUUUUUGGAGUGGAGGGAGUAGUAACUACAUAUUAUUCCCUCAGUUGCAAAGUACUUGAAGUUCUAGGUUUGUCCUAAGUCAAAUAUUGUUAAGUUUGAUCAAGUCAAUUAAAAAUAUAUCAAUAUCUACAAUACCAAAUUAGUUGCAUCAGAUUUAUCACGAAAUAUAUUUUCGUAUCAUAUGCAUCUGGUGUCUUAGAUGUUGGCGGCGUUGGGGUUGCGGUUUCACUCGGUCUGGUCCGACUGGUAUUUUCAGCAUAAAUAAGUUGUCUAAUAGGGGUAUCAUGUCAAAACAAAGUGUUUUCUUUUGAGGGACUUGCGAGAAUCGUCAGAAUUACCACAUUUUUGCGAUUCUAAAAUGCACAGGUGAUUCUCGGAUGGUUCUAGGCGAUUCCUGGGUAAGAAAUGAGUUCUUUUUUUAUUUUGAUUUUCUAGACCAUGAUUCACUAUUAUCGAGCCAAAAGAACUAGCCGAUGGAUUGCCGCGCUGGUGUCUGGGUCAUCUACAACAGUUUUGAGCAUCCUACAAGAGCUAACACUACCUAAUAAAAUAUAAGAUGAUGUUAACCCCUAAGUCUCACGGUAUGACAUAUGUUAUAACAAGAUAACAUGAUGGCAACCCUUAUGUUCUCAGUCAUGUUGGUUUGGGAAACCACAUUCCCUCUUUUCUUCGUAGAUCUAAUUAUUACUCAUGGAGUACUAGAUUUGAUCUAGCCUCUCUAUAUAUGGACCUAACAGGGGGUUAGGAUUAUCCCCUUGGUAUGCAAGUGGGACGUGCUAGCUUUGAGAGAUCUAGCUCAUGAUCUAGAUCGUGAUACUUAAAACAAGAACUCGAAAGAGAUGAAGAAUGUGAUGGAAAGGUUUGUGUUAUUUUCUUAUCGACCAGGUAAAAGAAGCAGAGAUAUAAGGAAUAUGAAGCAUAGUAUAUCACCAUGCUGUAUUUGUAGAUGAAAGAAGAGGACUUGAGUUCUUUAAAAAAAUAUUUACAUCAUAUAUGCAUCUUCGGUAUUAAUUACGAACUCUUUGCUUUGGUUAAGGUUCAUCUAGAUGGUUAUGUCUGUUCUUACAACUGACAACUAAAUUAAUUUUAAUAUCUUCAUGAAUAUUUUGCUUCCAUGGAUGUAGAAGAACUGCCUGACACAAGGAGAACUGUAUGCAUAUUGACGAUCAAGGCCUUUGCCUCCUUGAAAGGUGGAAAUGUUAGUAUUUAAGCUAUUUUUAAACUAAGACUACACAUCCUGAUGUUAGUUGAUUUGGCCACUAAUGCAAGCUAGAAUGUUUUUAUCAUAUUUGAAGACCUAAAUUUUAUUCUAUUUCGGAAAAAAUUACAACUUACGUAUAUGAUUUUUUAUAAAUCAUUUUUCUAGUUUUACUUGAUAUAUGCAGAACUAGGAUUGUAAUGUAUCUAACUAUGUUGCAAAAUUGCAGCUAUGAAAUUAUUUUUUAGCCAUGUCGUGUACGAACAACACACAAGUCUGAGCGAGAGAGAGAGGUACACAAAACAAGCUUCGGUUUAUAUAUAUUGAAGAACAAAGAGGCAAGUCACUACAACGGCCUUACGUAAAACGGCCUAACCGUAACGUUUUUACCCGGGUUUUUUUUUAACCUUUUACCCGUAAAACGGACCCUAAAGGUUUUACCGGGUUUAAACCCUAAACGGUUUUACGGGUUAAAACGGUAAAACCCGUAAAAACGUUUAAACGGUAAAAACCCCGGGNNNNNNNNNNNNNNNNNNNNNNNNNNNNNNNNNNNNNNNNNNNNNNNNNNNNNNNNNNNNNNNNNNNNNNNNNNNNNNNNNNNNNNNNNNNNNNNNNNNNUCUUGUCUCUGAGGCUGCUGAUCGCGCCAGUUCCAUGCUCCUGCUCCAUGGAAUCAAGGGAAAUGAACUGCAUCGUUACCAGGGUCUGGCAGUCCGUCGAGCCGUCGUGCUCCUGGCAGCCCACCAUGCACAGGACGCCCCUCUUCCGAUCAUAAACUCCCCUCUGCCCAGAUCUUUGGUUUCUCAAAGCUAUAUGAGUAGUUUGAGUAGUUGGUCACAUCGCUAGGACGUACCGGGUUCUUGUCACCGGGAAUAGAGUAGCGUAUUGAUAUUGUUUUUUUUUUCAGAUAGCAACCUUGCAUUUAUUUAUUUAUUUACACAGAGAAUUGUCAAAUGAAAUCUAUAUCUACUAAUAUAGAAAGGUGGUAUUCUUGAUUUUGUCCGGCUUAGAUAAUUUUCUACUAAUAUAGAAAGGUGAUACUAAUUCAGUGCUAUGCGCAAACAACCGACCAACUGGGCCACCCCUAUUCAACCCGCAGUUUAGGUACAGAAAAAAUUUGCGGACAUGGUGCUUUUGGUCUCGAGCUCAUUUGAGUUUGGUUGAACAGUAAAAUAAAUAAAAAAUAGUAAAAAGAGUUUAAAAAAAUCUGGAAUUUUUUGAUGAGAAAUAUUAAUUGUUUCUUCUACAUGCGUGCGGAUUUACAGAUUCAUGUAGGUGUGGGACAAAAAAAAAMACAAAUCGAUGGUCCAAUUUUACGCGUGUAGAAAACACAUCAAUAUUUCUCACCAAAAUAUUUCAUAAUAUUUCUUAACUACUAUUUUUUUAAAUGUACUGUUUAUCCGAGCUCAAAUGAGCUCGGGCUGAGAGGAGCACUUUCGAAAUUUUGCCCCUUAUUCAACCCGCAUUUUAGGUACAGAAAAUUUUGGGGAAAAUCUAUUCGCUUCUCUCUGUGUUUUUUUGGUUUCUUUUUCUUUAUUUGUUCUAUUCGCCUCUGAGAAAAUUUUGGGAGAAAUCUAUUCGCCUCUAGGAAAAUUUUGGGAACCUUCUUCCUUGCCGGGUUUUCCCGGUUUUGGACAAUUUCUAGAAGGUUCGGUGAACAGUUUUUUUGUUUUCUUUUUCUUUAUUUGUUCUGUUUCAUUUUUUCUUUUCUGUUUCUAUUUCAAAAAAUGUUCUGAAUUUUUAAAAGUUGUUCUUUAAACUCAUGCAAUAUUUUUUGCUUUUUCAAAAAAUCUUCUGCAUUUUCGGAAAAUGUUCUGUAUUUUCAACCAAUAUUCUCCAAAUUGGAAUAAAGUUUUUCCUAUUUAAAAAAAUGUUCUGUAUUAAUAAAUUUUUUAUAUCCAUAGUUGGGUCACACUUGACUGGUUUGCUCCUAGUUUCUUAAAACACGCGGUCUUGUCCAGCUCAUGUUGCUUCUCAUUCCGGUAUGGCUCCGUCCAGUCAACGCCUUUUGACACUAGAUUUUGGACACUGCUUGCCCCUAGUCAACCUAACCAGCACGUGCAAGCUCACUCUCUCGUUUCCCACUGUCUCUCUUACUCUCUCACGAACCCUAGCCCGAGCUUGCCGUGUUGAGCAACGAGGCGGGGCACAGCGUGGGAGCGGCCGGUGCGANNNNNNNNNNNNNNNNNNNNNNNNNNNNNNNNNNNNNNNNNNNNNNNNNNNNNNNNNNNNNNNNNNNNNNNNNNNNNNNNNNNNNNNNNNNNNNNNNNNNCUUGGUCCGGCCCUGUGGCCUACGUCGUCGUACCCUUACCUCUUCCGCCUACAAAUCUAGAAAAUUMMAAAACUGAAAGAGAGAUCCACGAAAAUACUUUUUCGCCGCCACAAGCUUCUGUCUCCGCAAGAUCCCAUCUGGGGCAUGUUCUGGUGCCCUGCCGGAGAGGGGAUUCGGAUACGGAGGGCUUCUUCAUCAACACCAUGACCUCUCCGAUGAUGCGUGAGUAGUUCACCAUAGAAUUUCGGGUCCAUAGCAAGUAGCUAGAUGGCUUCUUCUCUCUCUUAGAUCUUCAAUACAAUGUUCUCCAUGAUCUUCAUGGAGAUCUAUCCGAUGUAAUCUUCUUUUGCGGUGUGUUUGUCGAGAUCCGAUGAAUUGUGGAUUUAUGAUUAGAUUAUCUAUGAAUCUUAUUUGAGUUUCUUCUGAUCUCUUAUAUGCAUGAUUUCAUAUCCUUGUAAUUCUCUUCGAGUUGUGGGUUUUGUUUGGCCAACUUGAUCUAUGAUUCUUGCAAUGGGAGAAGUGGUUGGUUUUGGGUUCAUACCCUGCGGUGACCUCACCCAGUGACAGAAGGGGUAGCGAGGCACGCAUCAUGUUGUUGCCAUCAAGGGUAAAAAGAUGGGGUUUUCAUCAUUGGUUUGAGUUUAUCCCUCUACAUCAUGUCAUCUUGCUUAAGGCAUUACUCUGUUCGUCAUAGACUCAAUACACUAGAUGCAUGCUGGAUAACGGUCGAUGUGUGGAGUAAUAGUAGUAGAUGCAGAAAGUAUCGGUCUACUUGUCUCGGACGUGAUGCCUAUAUGUAUGAUCAUUGCCUUAGAUAUCGUCAUGACCUUGCGCGGUUCUAUCAAUUGCUCGAUAGUAAUUUGUUCACCCAUCGUAUUAUUUUCUAUUUUGAGAGAAGCCUCUAGUGAACACUAUGGCCCCCGGGUCUACUUCACACCAUAUUUUCAGCCUUCACUUUUACUUCGUUGCACUUUCCGCCUUCAUAUCUCACUUUGCAAUCAAUCUUGAAGGGAUUGACAACCCCUUUAUAGCGUUGGGUGCAAGCUCUUUUGUGUUUGUGCAGGUACUCUGGACUUGACGCGAUUCUCCUACUGGAUUGAUACCUUGGUUCUCAAACUGAGGGAAAUACUUACUGCUCCUGUGAUGCAUCGCCCUUUCCUCUUCAAGUAAAAAACCAACGCAAGCUCAAGGGGCGACAGGAAGAUUUCUGUCGCCGUAGCAAUAUCUUGUUUGUUCCUUCUUGUAACCAUUUCGUGUCCACAUCCUUCUUUGUGGAUAUAUAUCAUAAUGAUUGUCUUCUACUUAGAAUCUUUUACACAUGAGAUAAGUUACAUCUCUAAUUGAUAUCCUCUUUUCUUUCACGUCCACCGUUGCAUUUCCUUUUUCAGUUUUUGGUGGCUUCGUGAAAGGAUUUGUCUUGAGUGCGUAUCUUAUAUUCCUACAUCUUGAUGCACUCUUCGGUCGUAAAGAUUAUUUUUCUUCAUGCUUAUCUUGAUGAGGGUUUUGCCAUUUCGAUUGGUAUCCCUCCUCUUGACAAGGUUCUUAUUUCCUAUCUUCACCAUGGGUUGUCACAGGCGUUGGUUCUUAUUUUGUUUAUUAGUAAGCUUGUGAACCCAUUUUCUAGUGUGUGUGUGGGAAUGAUAUGUCUUGCACUUUGUUUCUCAUUUCAUCAAGACUAUGUUGAUGAGUAAUUCUCAUCCUUAUCUUAGUCUUCUCAAGUGCUUUGCCAUGACUCACACACAUUAUUUUGGUUGAGCCUAUUCUUAAGUUGCUUCUUUUACAUGUUGCUCAAUCAUUCGUUUUGUGCAAGUGAUAUGCUUAUUGUCUCAUCUAUCUUCUUGCACUCACUGUGUGUUUUUAUUAAUUUUGGGGGAGCAACGAUCCUAUUUUGUGCACUUGUAUCAAAUACAAAAAUCUCUUAUUAGAGCACAAAUCAUGGGGAGCUUCUCUAGUUUUGAUAAAACACUCCGUUGCCUUUAUCAUAAUACCUUUUAUUCAUGUGGUUCGAAGGACCAUAUGAUUGUUUGUUCCAUCUGGUAUCUUUUGAUUGUUUGCCUCCAUUUUUGUAUGUCUUUGUGGCAUACGAUCCUUUUAUAGCAAUCUUUGGGUCCUCGAUAUAGUUUUCGUUUCCUCUAACUUCUUANNNNNNNNNNNNNNNNNNNNNNNNNNNNNNNNNNNNNNNNNNNNNNNNNNNNNNNNNNNNNNNNNNNNNNNNNNNNNNNNNNNNNNNNNNNNNNNNNNNNCGAGUGUUUCUUCCGGAGUCUCACAGCGAACACCUUCGUGCGCCGUUAUUUGACACGUCUUCAAGCGUCGUCAGGUAUUGUCGUUAUUUACCGUUUUCUUCGUUAUUUCUUAUUUUUUUCUAUUCUUUCGCGUUAUUUUUGUACUUUUUAGUAUUUGUUUUCACCGAUCUUUCUUAGUCUUUUUGAUGGAAAAAAAUUCAACAAACACAACGAAAAAAUGUGUAUUAUUUUUUGUUUGUGAGAGGCACGGUUUUUAUUUCGCGAAGGAACGGCCAUGCCUCUCGCAAAUGAAAAAAACGUGUUUUCUAUUUUAUUUUCUUUACGAGAGGCACAGUUUUGCUUCUGCGAGAGGCAAGGCCGCGCCACAAGAAAGACGAUAGACCUACUGUGCAUACGGGGAGAGAGACAUGUACAAGUACAUUGCGACAGCACGAAUCUCUAACUCAGAACAAUGAUUUACUCUUUGUGUUUUUUGUUAUUCAACUUGCAAGUGUUGGCAAACAUGCAUGCAUGCAUAUACAUAUCAUGACCACCCACAAAGUUUGUCCAAUAAUGAAUCAAGGUUCUGUUAUCAAUCAUGACGGAUGGCGUCGCCGACGUCGGGCUUUGCGGCAGUGUCACAACAGCAUUCAUCGGUCACGGGCUGGCAGCGGGGUCUAUUGGGGUAAUUUUUCUUAGCACACGCAUCCUUGCAUAACGAUUGCACGCAUGGUCCGGGAAUAUCAAAGCAGUAAUCUACACGAGAAAAAAAAUAGUUAGCACACAACGUAUGGAUAUAUACAAUGGAUCAAUUGGUAGAUUGGUACAACCAAUAUCUUGUUGGUACGUGUGUACAAUGGGUUCAUAGGUAGAUUAUAGUACAAACAAUUAAUAUCUUGUUGGAUUAAUAGGUCACAUAUAAAAUACUACACUACAUAUGUAAACAAAUAUAAGACGUUUUAAAGACUCGUGUCAAGUGUUUUACAGAGGCAGUAGAUGAGAACGAAAACACAUCGAUCGCAUCUAUUCCCUCCGUUCCUAAAUAUAUAUUUUAGAAAUUUCAUUACGGACUACAUACAGAUGUACAUAAAUAUACUUUAGAGUAUAGCUUCACUUAUUUUACGCCGUAUAUAGUUUGUAGUGGAAUUUUUUUAGUAACUUUUAUAUGGAAAUGGAGAAAGUAUAUAUGUAUGCAAUUAUAACCUCCGGCAUCACAUGACAGCAUCAUGGUGGCCAUCACCACAAUGAGGGCGGGCCAAGCAUACGACGCUUGUGUUCCUCUUGGUAAACGCCAUGGCAAAAUGCCAAGCUAGCUACCUAUACUGAUCUCUUUUCUACGUUGUAUGUAUGUUUGAUCUCUUGUUGUCGAUUCACUGUAUGUAUGUUUGAUCUCUUUUCUACACUGUAUGUAUGUUUGAUCUCUCCUUUCGCUGGUGUUUAAAUAGGGGGAGUGAUCUGCGCCGGCGCGCCGGCCCAAACUUUCGGCCGGCUGCGCGCGAGCCGCAGGAUCCACCAACCCCGCGUCGUCCGCACCGUUGGAUCAGCAUGCAACAUCUCCCCCCCUAUGCAGCAAAAUUUAGAUGCGAUGCAACAAUUCUUUCAACGGUUGCAACAAAAACAAAAAUUGUAGCAAAAAAAAUAAUAUCUAGAUGAUCGUAGAAAAAAACGAAGCUGAGCGUGCGUGGUAGCAAAAGUCAAAUGCCGGUUGUAGCAAAUAUUUACGUGACGUGUAUGUAAUUUUUUUAGUGAACGGUUGCAACAAAACAUGAUGCCGAUUGUAGCAAAAAUUAACACAGUUGUAGCAAAAGUAAAAAACAUCGAUUGUAACGAAAUAUCCGAGGAAUUGGAGUUGCAACCAAACGUAUAUGCAGCUUUUUACUGGACAAAUGUAACAAAUUUACACGAGAAAAAAAAUUGCAUGAAAAACGUUUGUAUCAAAAAAAUACACGGUUGCAGCAAAUGUGACGAAAAAAUGCUGCAAGCAUCUGUCAACAGGGCGGGCGGGUGAAAAAAAUGUUGCAUGGGUCUGCGUUCGCGAGGGAUGACCGACGCGUCGGUNNNNNNNNNNNNNNNNNNNNNNNNNNNNNNNNNNNNNNNNNNNNNNNNNNNNNNNNNNNNNNNNNNNNNNNNNNNNNNNNNNNNNNNNNNNNNNNNNNNNCUCCCUUCACCUAUAAAUAUAGAUCCAUAGGAGCAUACCAAAAAUCAUCUUAGUUUUACGGGUUUAAAAUCAAUUCGUUUUUGGUUUAACUAGUAUUUAUUAAAAUAAAAAUAUUAUUUUCUCUUCGGCGGGAUUUCUCGAAGUCGUCUCCUCAUUGGAAUUAAUUCUUACUCUGCAUUCUAAAGGUAUUUUUCUUCUAUUUUUUUUACUCCCGUAGUUUAUUAUUUCUACACUAGUAUACGGUAGACUAAUUAGAUAUAUUAAUUAGUCUUCGUAUUUACACAUUAGUACUAGAAUUCUUUUAGACAUAGCACUUUUCUUCCGUAAAACAGCUUGGCCUUGAUUUUUCAAAUAGCCAUAACAUUUUACUCGUUUAUCCGAAUUAGAUGAAACCAACGCCUAGAGUUUCGUCUUGAUCCCACCUAUCCUGUGAACCUAUCAUAUCAACUUUUUGAAAUUUUCAAAUUUCGAAAUUUGUUCAUAUUCAUAUUCAAACUUCUUUUGAUCAUAUCUUUGUAUCCGUAUCUCCGUUUUAGAUGAAUCUAAUUGCGUCGGAUUCGUAUCAAAGUAAUCUUUCCGUUUGUAUCAUUAGUUUUAACUUUUCAACUUAUAAUUUUGAUCAAAUCAGAUUUAUCUAUUAGUGCUCAAAAGUGUUCACAUCGUUUUAAGCCGAUUCAAUGUUAUAUUGACGUAUUUGUAUCUUUUGAUCCGCUAGUUCAAAUCUAGUAAUUCUUUUUUCUACACGCUCAUAUUGAUCUCCUAUAUCCAGUAGCAUCAUUAGUUUCGACCUUUGAACCUUACAAAUUUGAGCGAUUCAAAUUUUUAUUCGAACAUUCAUUUGAUCUUAUCUUGCAAACCGUACCACCUUUUCAAUUGAUUCCUUUUACCCCUAAACACUCAUGUCAUAUAUUUUUGUACGUAACCAUCGUACUUCAGUUCAACUUCUCUUGACCUUUUGAAUGCAAAUUCAAUUCAUACUUCAAUUCGCUAUAACUUGCGUUGUAGUGCUUCAUUUCAAGAANNNNNNNNNNNNNNNNNNNNNNNNNNNNNNNNNNNNNNNNNNNNNNNNNNNNNNNNNNNNNNNNNNNNNNNNNNNNNNNNNNNNNNNNNNNNNNNNNNNNUUUUAGUUCGAGGUWRUUUUAGUAAAGUUUGUUCCUCCAGUAUUAACUAAAAAUCGUCCCUGCUAAGUUAAAAAUUGUUCGCUACUUACGUUAAUUUUUUUUUGGUUUUUUAAAUUGUUCCCGUCUCAAAUUUGUCUCAAGAUUCAAAAAAAUUUCGUACUUCUAAAUUUGUUCAGGAUUUUUCAAAAUUAUUCUAGGUUUCAAAAAAAUCUCAAGAUUCAGAAAAUGUUCGUGCUUUAAAAAUUUGUUGGCGAUUUCAAAUUGUUCAUGAUUUUUCAAAAUUGUUCAACUUUAAAAUUUGGUUCUAAGAUUCAAAAAAUUCCGUGCUUUAGUUUUUUUCGCGCUUUCAAAAAGUUUUCUCUCUUUUAUGAAAUGUUGAUGUUUUAUAAAAUGUUUACUAUUUUAAAAUUUGUUCAGAAUUUAGAAAAUGUUCAUAAACUUAUAGUUUUUUUCACAAAUUUGAAUUUUUUCGUAUUUGAAAAUUUGUUCUCAGUUCAAAAAAUGUUGGCAGUUUCAAAAUUUGUUCACAAUUCAAAAAACGUUCAUGGUUUCAUAAAUUUGUUCAAAAUUCAAAUUGUUUUCCAAGAAACAGUGAAACUCGUAGUAGCACUUUAUUAUGAAAUAGUGAAAUACCUGGUAGUAUUUUUGGAACAGCUGAACUAGCAAAAAACAGCAAGACAGUACAACAACAAUAGAACAAAUAGAAAAUGCACAGGAACAAAUGAACCUGCGUCAAUUGGCCCAGAAAGCCCGCUAGUAGGCUUCUCCUCUGUGUCUAUUGGAUGCGGAAUGCGUCCAAUAGGACCUCCCUUCUUCUCCUGUUGUUAAAGGCGACACAUAGGGGGGCCCAUGUCAAUGUAUACGCCAAUGUAUAUCCAUCUUAAAUUUGCAUCAUAUGAAUUUUUUUUGAAUCUUGAGAAUAAAAUUUUGAAAUAGAGGACAAUUUUGAAAAACACCAAACAAAUUUGCAAGCGCAAACAAUUUCGAACAUUUUUUUAAAACAGAGAACAAAUUUGCUACCACCUGUCCUAUUUAUUUCAUGCAUGCGGAAGGUUGUUGGACGUCCCAAAAUCCUCUUGCUACCAUUUAAAUGAAGCAAAUCAAUUUCCAGCUAAAAAAGAUCAGUGAGGGGAUCGGUACGUAUACGUCUAAUUUAUGGUAUGCAUUGAUUAGUACAUUAAUCCCAGCCUAAAAUUAGGACGAUAAUCAAUUAUCACCAUAAGCGCAUGCAGGAUCAUUCUUGGAUUGUGCGUCUCCACCCUCUAUUUAAACACCAGCGAAAGCAGCUGCGCAUCAGCGAAUCGCCAAGAAGAGAUCAAACAUACAUACAGCGUAGAAAAGAGAUCAGUAUAGGUAGCUAGCUUCGCAUUUUGCCAUGGCGUUUACCAAGAGGAACACAAGCGUCGUAUGCUUGGCCGCCCUCAUUGUGGUGAUGGCCACCAUGAUGCUGUCAUGUGAUGCCGGAGGUUAUAAUUGCAUGCAUGUUUGUCAACAAUUGCAUGUUGAAUAACAAAAAACACAAAGAGUAAAUCAUUGUUCUGAGUUAGAGAUUCGUGCUGUCGCAAUGUACUUGUACAUGUCUCUCUCCCCGUAUGCACAGUAGGUCUAUCGUUCUUUCUUGUGGCGCGGCCUUGCCUCUCGCAGAAGACUAAAACGNNNNNNNNNNNNNNNNNNNNNNNNNNNNNNNNNNNNNNNNNNNNNNNNNNNNNNNNNNNNNNNNNNNNNNNNNNNNNNNNNNNNNNNNNNNNNNNNNNNNAAAUAAGUGCNUAAARAAUUAACAUCACAUGCAAUUCAUAAGUGACAUGAUAUGGCCAUCAUCACGUGCUCCUUGAUCUCCAUCACCAAAGCACCGGCACGAUCUUCUUGUCACCGGCGCCACACCAUGAUCUCCAUCAACGUGUCGCCAUCGGGGUUGUCGUGCUACUCAUGCUAUUACUACUAAAGCUACAUCCUAGCAAAAAUAGUAAACGCAUCUGCAAGCACAAACAUUAGUAUAAAGACAACCCUAUGGCUCCUGCCGGUUGCCGUACCAUCGACGUGCAAGUCGAUAUUAUCUAUUACAACAUGAUCAUCUCAUACAUCCAAUAUAUCACAUCACAUCAUUGGCCAUAUCACAUCACAAGCAUACCCUGCAAAAACAAGUUAGACGUUCUCUAAUUUUGUUGUUGCAUGUUUUACGUGGUGACCAUGGGUAUCUAGUAGGAUCGCAUCUUACUUAUGCAAACACCACAACGGAGAUAUAUGAGUUGCUAUUUAACCUCAUCCAAGGACCUCCUCGGUCAAAUACGAUUCAACUAAAGUUGGAGAAACCGACACUUGCCAGUCAUCUUUGAGCAACGGGGUUACUCGUAGCGAUGAAAGGUUACUCGUAGCGAUGAAACCAGUCUCUCGUAAGCGUACGAGCAAUGUCGGUUCCAAGCCGCUUCAAUCCAACCAAUACCGCBGAAUCAAGAAAAGACUAAGGAGGGCAGCAAAACGACACACCGCCCACCAAAAACUUUUGUGUUCUACUCGAGAAGACAUCUACGCAUGAACCUAGCUCAUGAUGCCACUGUUGGGGAACGUCGCAUGGGAAACAAAAAAUUUCCUACGCGCACGAAGACCUAUCAUGGUGAUGUCCAUCUACGAGAGGGGAUGAGUGAUCUACGUACCAUUGUAGACCAUACAGCAGAAGCGUUCGUGAACGCGGUUGAUGUAGUGGAACGUCCUCACGUCCCUCGAUCCGCCCCGCGAACUAUCCCGCGAUCAGUCCCGCGAUCUAGUGCCGAACGGACGGCACCUCCGCGUUCAGCACACGUACAGCUCGACGAUGAUCUCGGCCUUCUUGAUCCAGCAAGAGAGACGGAGAGGUAGAAGAGUUCUCCGGCAGCGUGACGGCACUCCGGAGGUUGGUGAUGAUCUCGUCUCAUCAGGGCUCCGCCCGAGCUCCGCAGAAACGCGAUCUAGAGGAAAAACCGUGGAGGUAUGUGGUCGGGCUGCCAUGGAAAAGUCGUCUCAAAUCAGCCCUAAAACCUCCGUAUAUAUAGGUGGGAGAGGGGGGACCUUGCCUUGGGGCUCAAGGAGCCCCAAGGGGGUCGGCCGAGCCAAAGGGGGGAAGGACUCCCCCCCAAACCGAGUCCUACUUGGUUUGGURGGUGGAGUCCUUCUUUCCUUUCCCACCUCCUCCUUUUUUUUAUUUUCUCUUUGAUUUUUCUUCCAAUGCGCAUAGGCCCCUUUUGGGCUGUCCCACCAGCCCACUAAGGGCUGGUGCGCCACCCUCAAGGCCUAUGGGCUUCCCCGGGGUGGGUUGCCCCCCCGGUGAACUCCCGGAACCCAUUCGUCAUUCCCGGUACAUUCCCGGUAACUCCGAAAACCUUCCGGUAAUCAAAUGAGGUCAUCCUAUAUAACAAUCUUCGUUUCCGGACCAUUCCGGAAACCCUCGCGACGUCCGUGAUCUCAUCCGGGACUCCGAACAACAUUCGGUAACCAACCAUAUAACUCAAAUACGCAUAAAACAACGUCGAACCUUAAGUGUGCAGACCCUACGGGUUCGAGAACUAUGUAGACAUGACCCGAGAGACUCCUCGGUCAAUAUCCAAUAGCGGGACCUGGAUGCCCAUAUUGGAUCCUACAUAUUCUACGAAGAUCUUAUCGUUUGAACCUCAGUACCAAGGAUUCAUAUAAUCCCGUAUGUCAUUCCCUUUGUCCUUCGGUAUGUUACUUGCCCGAGAUUCGAUCGUCAGUAUCCGCAUACCUAUUUCAAUCUCGUUUGCCGGCAAGUCUCUUUACUCGUUCCGUAAUACAAGAUCCCGCAACUUACACUAAGUCACAUUGCUUGCAAGGCUUGUGUGUGAUGUUGUAUUACCGAGUGGGCCCCGAGAUACCUCUCCGUCAUACGGAGUGACAAAUCCCAGUCUUGAUCCAUACUAACUCAACGAACACCUUCGGAGAUACCUGUAGAGCAUCUUUAUAGUCACCCAGUUACGUUGCGACGUUUGAUACACACAAAGCAUUCCUCCGGUGUCAGUGAGUUAUAUGAUCUCAUGGUCAGAGGAACAAAUACUUGACACGCAGAAAACAGUAGCAACAAAAUGACACGAUCAACAUGCUACGUCUAUUAGUUUGGGUCUAGUCCAUCACGUGAUUCUCCUAAUGACGUGAUCCAGUUAUCAAGCAACAACACCUUGUUCAUAAUCAGAAGACACUGACUAUCUUUGAUCAACUGGCUAGCCAACUAGAGGCUUGCUAGGGACAGUGUUUUGUCUAUGUAUCCACACAUGUAAAUGAGUCUUCAUUCAAUACAAUUAUAGCAUGGAUAAUAAACUAUUAUCUUGAUACAGGAAUUAUAAUAAUAACUAUACAUUUAUUAUUGCCUCUAGGGCAUAAUUCCAACAACUGUACCUUAUUGUACUUGCUCUAACACUAACCGAUACAAUUUUAAUGAUGUUCGCCUCGUAGUACUAAUAAUGGAGGACAUUAAUCAUUUCUUGCAUGCAUGCGGAAGUGAGAUCAUUGGCUUGAUAUGCAUGAAAGGAAAAAAAUACACAUUAAUUUACACGACAAACAAGGAGACAAACUGUCUUGCAACAUUGACUUAGAAGACAUUAAAUUUUGUCUUGAUAUCUGUAACAUGGGUUUGUGUCCUUAUAUACAAAAAUAGAGGGAGUAGAUCAUCUUUUAAAUAUAACUUUAUGCAAUUGAAACAAUGUUCAUAUACAUUAGAAAUUAUCAAUGCAAUUUUCAAUUUGUUCAUGCCUUUUCUAGAAAAUAAAAAAUUACUUUGAAAAUGUGUUAACACGUCAUGCAUGUAGAUAACAAAAGUUGACCUGUUUGAAAAGGAUGUUCUUAUAAUUUUACAAAGUGUUCAUGUCCUUAAAACAUUCAUGUAAUUUAAAUCUUUGUUCAUGUAUUUUUAAAAAUAUUCAUGCAUUUCUCUAUAAAUGUGUAUAUUUCUUUUAUGCAAAAAAUAUAUAGAGAAAUAAAAUGGAAAAGGGAAGAAAAGAGGGAAAAGAAAAAAGAAAAUGAAAAACCCGGGGAAUGUAAUAAGAAAACACCGUAUAAUACUAGCAGGAUUAAACAAAAAAACAAACAGAAACCGAAAAUCAGGUACAUGGAUGGAGAACAAAAAAUAGCGCCUCAGUCCAACGUUAGGUUCGACUCUGUGGGCGGUCAAAUAACCGUUUGGUAGUCCACUCUUUGGUCUCUCUGUAUAAAAGGUUAAUUCAUGGUCAAAUUUAGUUAAAAAUNNNNNNNNNNNNNNNNNNNNNNNNNNNNNNNNNNNNNNNNNNNNNNNNNNNNNNNNNNNNNNNNNNNNNNNNNNNNNNNNNNNNNNNNNNNNNNNNNNNNUAAUAACAUGAUCAUCAGUAUUAUACAACUAACCUAAAACUUACCUUUUAAACCCUAGUUGACUAAGUUUUUAGGUUUUAUUUUUUAUUUUUUCAGAGGGUCUAUGUGUUUUUGAACUUAUUAAACCAAAGUUGCAACUUUAGCAUGUUCCCUAAUCCUAACAUUUAAAUGGUGAUUUCUCAAGAUAAACAGGGGGCGACAACUGGAUCAAUAUUACAAAUGAUUGUUUUCUCUUUAGCUAUAAUGGGUUCCUCAUAAGUUUUUUCAAUAGGUGGACGGAAUUUAAAGCACUUAUCCUUAGGAAGAUCAACAUGAGUAGAAAAUGAUUCACAUAUAUAAAGUAGCUACUAUCUCAGAGUCAAGUUUACCGUUAAAUAUGACUAUCAAUUAUUAAAAAUCUGUACAACAUCAUUCUACUUGUUACUUACAAAUUUGUCUAAUUAUUGUGAUUUUCAAUUAUCAUAUGAAAUGUUAUUUUAUCUGAUGAACAGUAAUAUUAUUCUUUGACUAAAAUCGUAGUUUGGGAAUAUAUCUUAUUGCUAUUUAAUUUUCCCUUAGUUCAAGAAAUAAUCGAGCAUCCCCGCUAUAUUGUAUGUUUUUUCAAGCAUGUCAUUAUGUGAAUGUUUCAGUUAUACAUUUGAGAAUUUACGUACAAACCCAUUUCUGUUAAUGUAUGAACUUUGCAUAUACUCCACACCAGGUACGAGGGAAUAUUGGCAUUUCUAAAGAGUUUGAGCAUUGUUGCAAAAUUUCCCAUUAAAGUGAUUGGCAAAUUUUACUUUGUAUUCAAUAGUGGCUUAAGCUAGCUCGUGCACUGACUAGCAUGCAUGUUCGUUCCAUAUCCUCAAGGACCAGCAAAUGUGUCGUUUUGUUUUGUUUCUUUUUGGCCGGUUUUCUGAUUUUGGAUAGACUAUACUUAUGGGGGUAUUGAUAAAUAAUUUUAUGUACAUAUUUUAUUGGGAGCGGCUGUCUUGUGAUGAGCAUUGUGAUUUAUUAGAAAUGAUGUGGUAUUUAAUAAUAAAUGUUUGUCUUCUUCUAUGCAAGUUAUUCAUGCAUGUACGUGAUGACUCCAUACUUGAUCUAUCUUGCAGAGACCGGAUGACAGAAACAUAUUUAUGAUGACGUCUACAUGGUUGGAGCAUAAGGCGAGGAAGGUUUUCUCCCUGCAUGAAUGGCGGUGUAAUUUCCUGAUAGGAUCUGCCCCACCCUUGGUUGGAUUGAUUUAUUUUAUCUGCAAAACAAUGUUUAUUUUUCGGUCGCUUGGACUUGUUGGCUAUGUGCAUCAUAUUAUGCAUAGGUAGGGCAUUUUUCGAUGCGGUUGUAUCAUCUUGAUAAAUCUWUUUUUUAUAUUUUUAGAAAAGUAGGUUAAGACCCGGCCUAUGCAUCAAUCGAUGCAUGCAUCCAUUCUUUAUUAAUUAUUACAUAGAGGUCUGACAAGAACAUACAUACAACUCCACAUAGAAGACACGACUCACUCCUAUAACUCGAUAUGUGGACUGCUCCUCACCUCCCCAUACUACCUUAAAACCGGUUCNNNNNNNNNNNNNNNNNNNNNNNNNNNNNNNNNNNNNNNNNNNNNNNNNNNNNNNNNNNNNNNNNNNNNNNNNNNNNNNNNNNNNNNNNNNNNNNNNNNNAUUAAACAAAAAAAACAAAACAGAAACCGAAAAAUCAGGUACAUGGAUGGAGAACAAAAAAUGCGCCUCAGUCCAAGUUGGUCACUCUGUGGGCGUCAAAUACCGUUUGGAGUCCAUCUUUGGCUCUCUGUAUAAAAGGUUAUCAUGGUCAAAUUUGUAAAAAUAUGAGUACAUCUAAGCUCCCAAACUUGUUGAAUUCUGGUAGGAACUACCGUCUUUUAUGUUGGAUAUUCUCUUUACACACAAUCCAACACAAAUAUGGUCACUAAAUUCAGUACCCAUCAUCCAACCAAACUCACUAAAUUUUGAUGGGCGUCUAAUAUGUGCAUAAUUAUACAUGCACUAGGACUGGUCCGAUCUUGCCUUCCAAACAAUAUACAUGCACACACAACCACAUAUAUACAUGCUUCUACCUAUCUUCUAAUCAACCUCAUGUCGAAUCCCAUGGACACGAGGUGCCCGUACAUCAUAUGGUUCCACGCGUCUGGCACACCCGGUAGGCACCAGUGGCUACAAUCCUCUGGCGCAUCCGAUGGCGUCUCAAGCUCCCGGUGCCGCGACGGGUGCCCGUCACUCCUCAAGCUCGUCAUGUAUGUUAUGUUCAAGAACACUGCACCCUUGGUUUAUGUUAUGUGCUACUUAUAUAACAUAAAUAUCUCUUGAGGUAAAUAUGUUAUGUGCCCUUUUUGCCAUCCAAAGUCUAGAUGAGUUCUUUGAAACGAUUGGCUGUCCAAUUUAAACCUAAUGUGUCUACUUACAUUGUUUUUACGGACGAAAAUGAUCAAUUUCAUGUCUUCAGUAGCUAUCACUUGUCUCAGAAUCAUCCCUCGAUUGAUUGGUAACUACCCGUAUGUACAAUUAACUGCAAUGAGAUAUUGAAGUGAAACAAGCAAGCUAGGUGUUUUCCGAUGCGAGCAGUGUGAAAGAGUUGAUCCUGCAAUGAAGGGAGAAUGGCAUGCCAUUCGAAUAAUCGAAUCCAUCCGUUGACAAUGGUGCAACAAACUCCAUACAUGGCCUGGGCUACCGUCACAUUCAGUUUUCAGUUAACAUAGGACUUGGUCUAUGUGAAAAUAGAUUGAAGCGUCUCAGCCCUCCGGAGGAAAGCAAGCAGGUUCAUAUCGAUGAUCAAGAGAACACUCGUGAGAAUUACAAGGUCGGUACAGAAGACAUGAUAGAAACUUAACGCAACUCAAUCUAUCUCUAGGAACCAAGUCAAUCUCUAUUUCUAUGAACAUAACUUGUAGUACUAUCUAGUAGUUUAAUUAGACAAAUAUAUCACACAUUGCAAUGGCAAAUUAUGACUAGUCGCAGGCAUUAAUGUGCACGGCUUCCACUGAAUAUAUAUUUCUCUCGGAAGAGUCUGAUAGAAGAACCAUAUCCAUUUCAAGCUUAUUACAUUUUCAAACCAUAUUAAAUACAAGAGAUUAGUCUAAUAGCGCCGGUAAAACCGUAAGUUACCGUCCAAGUCUCGGCGGANNNNNNNNNNNNNNNNNNNNNNNNNNNNNNNNNNNNNNNNNNNNNNNNNNNNNNNNNNNNNNNNNNNNNNNNNNNNNNNNNNNNNNNNNNNNNNNNNNNNUAUUUUUGUGGCACUGCCGCUUGGGUCAUAUUGGUGUAAAGCGCAUGAAGAAACUCCAUGCUGAUGGACUUUUGGAGUCACUUGACUUYGWWUCACUUGACACAUGCGAACCAUGCCUCAUGGGCAAGAUGACUAAAACUCCGUUCUCCGGAACAAUGGAGCGUGCAAGUGACUUGUUGGAAAUCAUACAUACCGAUGUGUGUGGUCCGAUGAGCGUGGAGGCACGCGGCGGAUAUCGUUAUUUUCUCACCUUCACUGACGAUUUAAGUAGAUAUGGUUAUGUCUACUUGAUGAAGCACAAAUCUGAAACAUUUGAAAAGUUCAAGCAAUUUCAGAGUGAAGUGGAAAAUCAUCGUAACAAGAAGAUCAAGUUCCUACGGUCUGAUCGUGGGGGUGAGUAUCUGAGUUUCGAGUUUGGUACUCACUUAAGACAAUGUGGAAUUGUUUCGCAAUUAACACCGCCUGGAACACCACAGCGUAAUGGUGUGUCCGAACGUCGUAAUCGUACUUUAUUAGAAAUGGUGCGAUCUAUGAUGUCUCUUACUGAUUUGCCGUUGUCGUUUUAGGGUUAUGCAUUAGAAACAGCUGCAUUCACUUUAAAUAGGGCACCAUCGAAAUCCGUUGAGACGACACCAUACGAGCUGUGGUAUGGCAAAAGGCCAAAGUUGUCGUUUCUUAAAGUUUGGGGAUGUGAUGCUUAUGWCAAAAAGCUUCAGCCUGAAAAGCUGGAACCCAAAGCGGAAAAGUGCGUCUUCAUAGGUUACCAAAAGAGACAGUUGGGUACACCUUCUAUCUAAAAUCCGAGGGCAAAGUGUUUCUUGCUAAAAACGGAGCUUUUCUCGAGAAGGAGUUUCUCUCGAGAGAAUUGAGUGGGAGGAAGAUAGAACUUGACGAGGUUGUCGAACCUCUCAUCCCUCUGGAUGGUGGCACAGGGCAAGGGGAAACCCCUGUGAUUGCGACGCCGGUUGAGGAGGAAGUUAAUGAUGAUGAUCAUGAAACUCCAGUUCAAGUUUCUGUUGAACCACGCAGGUCGACGAGAUCACGCGCUGCUCCAGAGUGGUACGGUAAUCCCGUCUUGACGAUCAUGUUGUUAGACAACAAUGAACCUGCAAAUUAUGAAGAAGCAAUGGUGGGCCCAGAUUCCAACAAAUGGCUAGAAGCCAUGAAAUCCGAGAUAGGAUCCAUGUAUGAGAACAAAGUAUGGUACUUUGGAGAUACUACCUGGACGGGCCCGNNNNNNNNNNNNNNNNNNNNNNNNNNNNNNNNNNNNNNNNNNNNNNNNNNNNNNNNNNNNNNNNNNNNNNNNNNNNNNNNNNNNNNNNNNNNNNNNNNNNGGGACGGGAAUGAAAAUAGGAUAGGAUCACGUGUGCGCAGCCCACCUUAUAACAACAAGGACCUGCUAGACAGAGCCCAUCACAUUCGCCGGCCCACGACCAAUGCUUUCCGUACGAGCUACAACUUUGCCCACUUCUCUUAAAAUGCUUCUUUUUAGCUUCUUGUGUCAAAUAGUCGUGGGCGCGCGCACGCCUCCCCCCUACCCCGGCGAGGCCGGUCAACACGGGUGGUUCGAGCGCUCCUGCUCGUCUCCUCCCGUGCCCGAGGCACGAGGUCUGGCCAUGGUGGCGGCGCACUGGCGGGGCCUGGGCGGCAGAGCAGGGGCGGCGGCCGGCCUAGGGCGCAAGACGGAGGCGAGGGGAGGAGGGCCCGGACCGGAUCUGGUCGAUGGGGCCUUGAGGCGGCGGCGAGGUCCCGCCGCUGUUGGAGGCCUCAUGCGGGCCGACGGCGGCGCCAGAUGGGCUUGGCGGGCCACGCACGGGCUCGGGCGGGCCUGGCGGCUGGGAGGAGGGAGACAGGGAGGUGGGAGGCUGCGCUAGGGUUUGGGGGCGGCGCGGAUUUUGAGGGAGAGAGAGAGUGAGGCUGUCUAAAUUGAUCUGGGGGUCUAUUUAUAACAAUGGGGGGCUAGGUUUAGCAGUUUUUCGUUUCGGUUCCAAUCACGCGAUCGGAAUCAAACGUUCUCGCAUGCGGGGAUGGGUAAGUGACUAUGUAGAGUAGGUUAGCCGGGGAAGAGAGGGAAAUGGGCGACCCGGCAACGAGUGUUAAAACACCGAUAAAACGUCCGACGAUAGACCGAAUACGGUGCCGUUACGGUCGAUCGUUCGGGUACCAGACGGACUCCGAUUGCGACGAAAUUUGACAGGCGGCCUAGCUACAACUAAUUAAGACCGCACGCCAAGUUUAGACUCAAUCAGAGAAUAUUUUACACACACUUUUAAAAACAGGUUUUUGACGAUGCUGCGGGCGCGUGCGCGUGUGAUCGGGCUCAGAAUGGACAACGACGAGAACCGGUAACUACUAACGGAUGCAAGUUUGAAAACUGACGGCAACGGGAUGCCGAUGCAAUGCGGAUGAUGCGCAUGAUGCGAUGAUGAUACGACAAAUAAAAAUAAUCACACGACGGAAACGGAAUAGAAGGGGAAUCUUCUGAAACGUCGGUCUCGGGUUGUCACAACACAUUGCGUCCCAUUAACAUAGGUACGUAUUUCUUUUUUGCUUUCUUGGAAUCGUGUUAAAACAUUCGUUUUUUUAAUAAAAAAGAGUAAAAAUAUCCGUUUAUUAUAAAAAUUAUUGAAACAUAAAAGAUACUCCCUUCAUUUUAUAUACAAGGCCACUAUUUAAAAUUAUAAUUUGCAGAAAUACAAGACCACUAAGAGCAUGGUUAAUACUAUAGCCAACUGCUAGCUAUAAGCUGUCUUAUAGUCCAUUUUAUAGCUAACUUGUACAAUAGUUAGCUAUAAAAGAGCAUUACUUUUAUCAUAUAUGGCCCAUCUUUCAUUCUCACAAAGCACCUAGGAACACGUGUUAGAGCUGGCUCUUCACGAAGAGUCCGCUUUCCUUCUCUCUCCUCUCUCUCUCAUCCAACUCAGACAAAUAAUUAGUUAAUUUUAAUUUACUUACUACGCCUCGUCGUCGACGUCGUUUNNNNNNNNNNNNNNNNNNNNNNNNNNNNNNNNNNNNNNNNNNNNNNNNNNNNNNNNNNNNNNNNNNNNNNNNNNNNNNNNNNNNNNNNNNNNNNNNNNNNGACCAUGGACAAGGACGAGAGGAAGAAGAAGAUGUGGGGAACAAAUUUAAGCAAAAAAAUCGAUUUACAGUUUAAAAAAUUUAAAGAGGUCUAUUCGGCCGCAGCUCGAACCGACCCGUAAAAGAGUACCUUCUACGAAUAUCCUAUUUUACGGGUCCGUUUUGCGGGGUCGUGACUCAGCCCUCGCCCGCGCCGGCCUGCAAAACCGUUUUUCCGCGAAUUGUAAACGCGUUUUGCGGGUCGACGUUAUAGGGUUCUGCUAGAGAUGCUCUACACUCAACUAAUCCUUUGGAGAUAUCAGUCCAAUACUGUGGCAGAAAUUCACAUACACAACUUCAAUACAAACAGAAUCCUAAAGCAUAAUAUUUCUGAACAACAAAAGAAAACAUAAAUGAUUGUACAAAUUACUAUUUUUGUAAAAAUAUAAUAAACCUUCCAUCCAAGAACCAACCCUUGCCAAGUUUCCAGGAAGCGCAUUACAGAGCCAAGCCAAAAGCAAGAAAACCAGCAAAAGACCAUCGACAACACAAUCUUCAACCGGUACCACAUCCUCUUAAACAUAACACAACCACCAAAGCAACUAAUCCUUUGGAGUAAUGUCCUUCUCUAAGUUCAGUGUAAAGCUUGGCCAGUACCACAGUGUGUUCAUGAUGUUCUCUUCUAGAUAUAAAGAGGCAUGGUUCUCCUCUAUGCUCUUMMAAAAUGAAAUAUGGUUGGUCAGUUGUGACGAAGUAUUUUUCUCUUUCAAGAAGGCCUAAAGUAUUACUGUCUUUAUUUGUUUCAGAAACAUUAAAGCUCUUANNNNNNNNNNNNNNNNNNNNNNNNNNNNNNNNNNNNNNNNNNNNNNNNNNNNNNNNNNNNNNNNNNNNNNNNNNNNNNNNNNNNNNNNNNNNNNNNNNNNACGAGGGGAGUYACGUUCGGUKRCGAGGAAGGACACGCCCGGUACGGGUUUAGGACGAAAGGGGAAGUACUUUUUCCCCUUAACUACAUUAUGUAAUUAAUCUUAACAAUUCUUCCCUAAUCUAUGCUUGACCAUGUAGAGUCACUUCACGAUUGUCUAGGUAGCGCUAUCAUCUCGAAAAGAUUCUCCUUCAAAAAGUUCUCCAUGAAAACUUGAUGAAAACCUACAAUAUAAACUCAAAAAGAUAUAACAUAAUGUGAUGUCAUUGAACAAGGAUAUGUCAAGAAGAGACUUCCCCUGAUGCCUGCAAGUCUCUAAGUCGUUGCAUACCAAUUCCAUGAACAUAUUUCUGAAAUGUUGACUUUGGUAGAGACUUAGUAAAUAAAUCAGCAAGGUUGUCGCAUGAUUUGACUUGCAAGAUGCUUAUUUCCCCGCUUUUCUGAAGAUUAUGGGAGAAAUAUGCUUAGUGAUAUUGCUCUUGAUGUAUCAUGUUUGCAUUUGUGCAACACAGGCCGCAUUAUCCGCAUAGAUGAUGAUGUGUGAUUCUAUCGAACCAAUUCCACACGACCGUUGAAUGUGGUUUAUCAUUAUGCGAAUCCAUACACAUUCACACGGUGCUUCAAAUAAUGAAAUUAUUUCAUAAUGAUUUGUAAAUGUUGCCACGAGAGUCUGUUUUGAAGACUUCCAUGAUAUAACAGUACCACCAUGUAGGAACACAAAACCGGACUAAGAUCUUCCAUCAUGAGGAUCAGACGAAUAGCCGGCAUCUGCAUAUCCAAUCAUAUCAGAGUCCUGAUUUCUUUGGAACUGGAAAAAUAGGCCAAGUUCCUUUGUGCCUUGGAGAUAUCGGAAGAUAUUCUUCACUCCGGACCAAUGACAUUUGGCGGGAGCUGCUCUAUGUCUAGCAAGUAGAUUCACUUCAAAUGCAAUAUCAGGUCUUGUGUAAUUUGCAAGAUACAUAAGCGCUCCGAUGUCACUGGGGAAAGGAACUUCAGGUCCCAACACCUCUUCUCCAUCAUCCUUUGGCCUGAACGGAUCUUUCUCUACGUCUAAAGAUCGAACCACCAUAGGAGUUUUAGAUGGAUAGGACUUGUCUCCAAUAUUUUCUGGAUAUAGGCAGCUUGGUGUACUAUGAUUCUUGAGGGAAGGUGCUCAAGUUGGAUCCCUAAAAAAAUUUGGUUUUAGCCAAAUCCUUCAUCUCAAAUUCCAUCUUUAGGUGAUUGUGUGCUUCAUCAAUAUCUUGGUGUNNNNNNNNNNNNNNNNNNNNNNNNNNNNNNNNNNNNNNNNNNNNNNNNNNNNNNNNNNNNNNNNNNNNNNNNNNNNNNNNNNNNNNNNNNNNNNNNNNNNUUUUUACUUCGUGAUUGGUUCGAGAACAGAUCUCAGGCUGUACACAUCCGUUCUACAUUGUACAUCUCAAGCACUGUUCUCUUCUUGCUCACACCAUUCUCCACUACACUUGCCUGUGUUUCCCUUGUGCUGCGCGUGUGUUUCUUCUGAGAGUUCCAAUGGCGGAGCUGGUGGCCGCCAUGGCCAUCCGGCCACUGGUGUCCAUGCUGAUGAGCAAGGCGUCCAACUCCCUCCUGGACCAGUACAAGGUGAUGGAGGGAAUGGAGGAGCAGCACAAGAUUCUCAAGCGCAAGCUUCCGGCCAUCCUCGAUGUCAUGACUGACGCCGAGGAGCAGGCGACGGAGCAUAGAGAUGGGGCCAAAGCCUGGCUCCUGGAGCUAAAGGCAGUGGCCUAUCAGGCAAAUGAAGUCUUCGACGAAUUCAAGUACGAAGCACUUCGCCGUGAAGCCAGGAAGAAGGGGCACUACAGAGAGCUUGGCUUCGAUGUAAUUAAACUCUUCCCUACUCAUAACCGUUUUGUGUUCCGUCACAGAAUGGGUCGCAAGCUUUCUAGGAUUCUGCAGGCCAUUGAGGUCCUCAUAGCAGAGAUGCAUGCCUUUAGGUUCAAGUACAGACCACAGCCGCAGGUGUCCAAGCAGUGGAGGCAGACGGAUCAUGUUAUCAUGGACCCACAAGAAAUUGCCAGCAGAUCCAGAGAGAAAGAUAAGAAGAAUAUUGUUGCUACACUACUUGGUCAAGCUAACAAUGCAGAUAUUGCAGUUGUUCCCAUCGUUGGAAUGGGCGGCCUUGGCAAGACCACAUUAACACAGCUCAUAUACAAUGAACCUGAAAUUCAGAAGCAUUUUCAGUUGUUGCUUUGGGUCUGUGUCUCUGAUACAUUUAAUGUAAACUCCCUGGCUAAGAGUAUAGUCGAAGCAUCUCCCAACAAGGAUGAUGAUACAAAUAAACCACCACUGGAUAGACUUCAAAAAUUGGUCAGCGGACAGAGGUAUCUCCUUGUAUUGGAUGACGUCUGGGACAACAGAGAGUUACGUAGGUGGGAAAGGCUGAAGGCCUAUCUUCAGCAUGGUGGCAGUGGGCAGUGUAGUGUUAGACAACACUCGUGAAUAACGUNNNNNNNNNNNNNNNNNNNNNNNNNNNNNNNNNNNNNNNNNNNNNNNNNNNNNNNNNNNNNNNNNNNNNNNNNNNNNNNNNNNNNNNNNNNNNNNNNNNNCAUGUAAAUGAGUCUUCAUUCAAUACAAUUAUAGCAUGGAUAAUAAACAAUUAUCUUGAUACAGGAAUUAUAAUAAUAACUAUAUUUAUUAUUGCCUCUAGGGCAUAAUUCCAACAGUCUCCCACUUGCACUAGAGUCAAUAAUCUAGCCCUCACAUCAUCAUGCGAAUUACAUUGUAAUAAAUCUAACACCCAUACAGUUCUGGUGUUGAUCAUGCUUUGGCCUGGAAGAGGUUUAGUCAGCGGGUCUGCUACAUUCAGAUCCGUGUGCACUUUGCAUAUAUUUACGUCCUCUCCUUCGACAUAGUCGCGGAUGAGGUUGAAGCGUCGUUUGAUGUGUGUGGACUUCUUGUGAAACCGUGGUUCCUUUGCUAAGGCAAUGGCACCCGUGUUGUCACAGAACAAGGUUAUUGGAUUCAGUGCGCUUGGCACCACUCCAAGAUCCGUCAUGAACUGCUUCAUCCAGACACCCUCCUUAGCCGCCUCCGAGGCAGCCAUGUACUCCGCUUCACAUGUAGAAUCUGCUACGACGCUUUGCUUGGAACUGCACCAGCUUACCACACCCCCAUUAAGAAUAAAUACGUAUCCGGUUUGCGACUUAGAGUCGUCCGGAUCUGUGUCAAAGCUUGCAUCGACGUAACCUUUUACGGCGAGCUCUUCGUCACCUCCAUACACGAGAAACAUCUCCUUAGUCCUUUUCAGGUACUUUAGGAUAUUCUUGACCGCCGUCCAGUGAUCCACUCCUGGAUUACUCUGGAACCUACCUGCCAUACUUAUGGCCAGGCUAACGUCCGGUCUAGUGCACAACAUUGCAUACAUGAUAGAGCCUAUGGCUGAAGCAUAGGGGACGGAGCGCAUAUGCUCUCUAUCUUCAUCAGUUGCUGGGCACUGAGUCUUACUCAAUCUCGUACCUUGUAAAACUGGCAAGAACCCCUUCUUGGACUGUUCCAUUUUGAACCUCUUCAAAACUUUAUCAAGGUAUGUGCUUUGUGAAAGUCCUAUCAGGCGUUUUGAUCUAUCCCUAUAGAUCUUAAUGCCUAGAAUGUAAGCAGCUUCUCCUAGGUCCUUCAUAGAGAAACUUUUAUUCAAGUAACCUUUUAUGCUCUCCAAAAGCUCUACGUUGUUUCCAAUCAGUAAUAUGUCAUCCACAUAUAGUAUUAGAAACGCCACAGAGCUCCCACUCACUUUCUUGUAAAUACAAGAUUCUCCAACCACUUGUAUAAACCCAAAAUAGCUUUGAUCACCUCAUCAAAGCGUUUGUUCCAACUCCGAGAUGCUUGCACCAGUCCAUAAAUGGAUCGCUGGAGCUUGCACACCUUGUCAGCAUUUUCAGGAUCGACAAAACCUUCGGGUUGCAUCAUAUACAACUCUUCCUUAAGGAAACCGUUAAGGAACGCCGUUUUGACAUCCAUCUGCCAAAUUUCAUAAUCGAAAAAUGCAGCUAUUGCUAACAUGAUUCUGACGGAUUUAAGCAUCGCUACGGGAGAGAAAGUCUCAUCGUAGUCAAUUCCUGGAACUUGUGAAAAACCCUUUGCCACAAGUCGAGCUUUAUAAACGGUCACAUUACCGUCAGCGUCCGUCUUCUUCUUAAAAAUCCAUUUGUUCUGAAUAGCCUUGCGGCCCUCAGGUAGUAUCUANNNNNNNNNNNNNNNNNNNNNNNNNNNNNNNNNNNNNNNNNNNNNNNNNNNNNNNNNNNNNNNNNNNNNNNNNNNNNNNNNNNNNNNNNNNNNNNNNNNNCGUUACUUACGUNUAAGUAAGUAAAUAGUUAGUGUUGUUAGUACUAAGUUAGUUAAGUUUAAGUUUAAGUUAAAGUUUAAACGUUGUUCGUUAGUGGAUUUUAAUAUAUUUUUUCUAGAUUUUAGAAAAUGUUCGUAAUUUUCAAAAAUUGUUCUACAAGUUGGAAAAUAUUUUUCCCUUUUCAAAAUAUGUUCUGGAUUUUAAUAAAAUGUUCUGCACUUUUCAAAAUGUGUUCUGGAUUUUAAAAAAAUUGAGAAAUGUUUGAAAAUUGUUUUGGAUUUAAAAAACAUUUCUCACUUUAAAAAUGUUUAAUAAAAUGUUCGUGCUUUCAAAUUUGUUCACAUUUUUUCAAAAUUGUUCUUAGUUUCAAAAUUUUAUAUCAAGAUUCAAAAAAAUUGUUUUUGGUUUCGAAAUUGUUCUUGGUUUUAAAAUUUGUUCUCAAGAUUCAAAAAAUUUGUUCUUGGUUGCAAAGUUUGUUCUCAAAAUUCAAAAUUGUUCUUGAUUUCAAAAAAUUUUCUCAAGAUUCAACAAAUUUAUCUGUGCUUUAAAAAUUCGUUUGUGCUUUCAAAUUAGUUNNNNNNNNNNNNNNNNNNNNNNNNNNNNNNNNNNNNNNNNNNNNNNNNNNNNNNNNNNNNNNNNNNNNNNNNNNNNNNNNNNNNNNNNNNNNNNNNNNNNUUUUGUAAAAAACAAAAAAMMAAAUUUAAUCUUUUACUAACAAAUUUAAAAAUUUAAAUUAAAAAAAAUUAAACUAAUUAUAAAAAGAAAUACAUCCAGUUUUAUUGUAAGCAGUACAAAUAUUUUAAAAGAAAAUAUUUAACAUUAUUAUACAUAUUUAUUUCAAUUAAUGUCGCAUAAUGGCACAACAAGCAGAUUAUAAAUUUGUCUUGCCCGGUGCAACGCACGGACAUUUGUACUAGUAUUUUAAAAGAAAACAUUUAACAUUAUUAUACACAUUUAUUUCAAUUAAUGUCGCAUAAUGGCUACAACAAGCAAAUUAUAUAUUUGUCUUAGUCCGGUGCAACGCACGGGCAUUUGUACUAGUUUUAUAAGUUUAUUCACAAAAGUAACUGCUGCAUGCAAUUCCAAUGUAUUUAUCUCUUUUUAAAAAAGCAAAUCAAUUCCAGCUAUAAAAAAGAUCAGUGAGGGGAUCGGUAUGUAUACGUCUAAUUUACGAGUAUGCAUUGAUUAAUACAUUAAUCCCAGCCUAAAAUUAGGACGAUAAUUAAUCAUCUCCAUAAAACGCAUGCUGGAUCACUCUUGGCGUGUGCGCCUCCGUCCUCUAUUUUAAAGGGAAUCGUUUCUACGCGGCGCCGCNNNNNNNNNNNNNNNNNNNNNNNNNNNNNNNNNNNNNNNNNNNNNNNNNNNNNNNNNNNNNNNNNNNNNNNNNNNNNNNNNNNNNNNNNNNNNNNNNNNNAUUGGUACAAACUUNUGGUGGGUCAUGAUAUGUAUAUGCAUGCAUGCAUGUUUKUSCCAACACUUGCAAGUUGAAUACAAAAAACACAAAGAGGCUCUCGCAAGUAAAUCAUUGUUCUGAGUUUGAGAUUCGUGCUAUCGCAAUGUACAUGUCUAUCUCCCCUUAUGCACCGUAGAUCUCUCGUCUUCCUCUCCAGUCACCGCACCCUCUCCUACCCUCUCGCCAUCGUCUCUUCUGGCACUGGUUUGUACACUUGACCGAUCCAGAGUAUUCAUGCCAUACCGUUGACAUCCCGACCCUCCCAUGAACAACAGGGCAUAUCCGUGGGCUAGCUACAUCGUCCAUGAUCUAUUUUGCCGGUCAAAUCUAUGGUUAAAAUUGGCACAAAAUAGAAAGAUGACUAAUAAACCCAAACAUAGGUAUUUUGUAUUUGUGAUAAUUAUCUAUUAAUUAAUGCAUUAAUUCCAUACUAAUAUUAGGGCGGUAAUUAAUAACUACCAUAGUAGGAAGGCAGGCUAGAUCGAUCUGCGUGAGUGAUUCUUGUUUUAGAUCAACAGUGAUCGAGUGUCAUUCAUCGAUGUUUACAUGGAGUAUAUAUAUCCCCUGGAGAGACGCGGCGAUCUGGAAGAGGCGCCGGUUCUAGGACGAGGGGAGUCACUUCGGUUGCAGGAAGGACACGCCCGACGGUUUAGGCAAGGGAAGAUUUUCCCCUUAACUACAUUAUGUAAUUAAUCUUNNNNNNNNNNNNNNNNNNNNNNNNNNNNNNNNNNNNNNNNNNNNNNNNNNNNNNNNNNNNNNNNNNNNNNNNNNNNNNNNNNNNNNNNNNNNNNNNNNNNUCACCGGACGGACAAAGUACCGACAACGGAGGAGGAAGGAACGACAAGAAGUUUUCUAGGCGGCACAAACACCUUCGCCGCGCGUACGGCUUUUCUGUUUUUCUUCUUGAGCACGAACUCAAGCUCUGCCAGCUGUACACAGGCAUGAAGAGGGUCUUAUACUCGCGCGCUCAGACACGCUGGGUCGCGCACCGACGCACCCACCUGCCACUCCCCCAAGAUCCGUGCGCUACAGCUCGCGCACGCGACGCGCUCCAACGUGAUCGCCACAGCCACUCCUAGCGCCAGACGCGGUUCCCUGGUGACUCGCUAACAACCCAUGCACACACGCACACACACACUCCCUCGGACACACGCACCUACGCACGCCCGAGCCCGCGACGCUCGAACCUGACGCGGUCACCGCACGCACAUGCACGCACCGCGCCUGACCCGUCCGAGUCGUGGCUUAUUGCCCGUCACAUACAAGUUGUGCUGUGAAUCUAUUCCAUCGUUUGUUUCCUCUUGUCAUCAAGGGCUCCAUCCAUUUGGACUUGGUCCUGCAUUCUCUCCUUUUUUUAACUCUAAAUUGUAUUGAAUAUAUUUAAACCUGAAUGUUUACAUUCUCUCGUUUUUGCAUCAUUAGUUUCCUUUUAUCCGUUAAAGUACUCAACUCANNNNNNNNNNNNNNNNNNNNNNNNNNNNNNNNNNNNNNNNNNNNNNNNNNNNNNNNNNNNNNNNNNNNNNNNNNNNNNNNNNNNNNNNNNNNNNNNNNNNCACGUGAUUGAGUAUAGUUUCAGUGGUAAGCAUCCCUAUGCUAAUCAUAUCAUCUAUAUGAUUCAUGAUCGACCUUUCGGUCUCAUGUGUUCCGAGGCCAUGUCUGCACAUGCUAGGCUCGUCAAGCUUAACCAGAGUGUUCCGCGUGCGCAACUAUUUUGCACCCGUUGUAUGUGAACGUUGAGUCUAUCACACCCGAUCAUCACGUGGUGUCUCGAAACGACGAACUGUAACAACAGUGCACAGUUGGGGAGAACACAAUUUCGUCUUGAAAUUUUAGUGAGAGAUCACCUCAUAAUGCUACCGUCGUUCUAAGCAAAAUAAGGUGCAUAAAAGGAUUAACAUCACAUGCAAUUCAUAAGUGACAUGAUAUGGCCAUCAUCACAUGCUUCUUGAUCUCCAUCACCAAAGCACCGGCACGAUCUUCUUGUCACCGGCGCCACACCAUGAUCUCCAUCAACGUGUUGCCAGUCGGGGUUGUCGUGCUACUCAUGCUAUUACUACUAAAGCUACAUYCUAGCAAAAAUAGUAAACGCAUCUGCAAGCACAAAUAUUAGUAUAAAGACAACCCUAUGGCUCCUGCCGGUUGCCGUACCAUCGACGUGCAAGUCGAUAUUAUCUAUUACAACAUGAUCAUCUCAUACAUCCAAUAUAUCACAUCACAUCGUUGGCCAUAUCACAUCACAAGCAUANNNNNNNNNNNNNNNNNNNNNNNNNNNNNNNNNNNNNNNNNNNNNNNNNNNNNNNNNNNNNNNNNNNNNNNNNNNNNNNNNNNNNNNNNNNNNNNNNNNNGGAUCUCCUAUUGCAGUGCCAAGCAUACACCACCAGCAGAAAAAACCACAAAAACACCAUAAAGCCUUCCAUACAAGCAACCCCAAAGCCUUCUGCACCCACACCACCAAGCUUUUCCUCUGAGCGCCCUUAUGUCUGCCCCUACGAAGGCUGUGGGAAAGCCUACAUCCACGGUUACAAACUCAAUCUCCAUUUCAAGACUCAGCACCCUGAACACAAUCAGGAAGGCAAUGGUAGGAUCGCCACACCUGCAGCGGAGUAUAACUAUGCUGACGCCGGUGACAUCGCGCCAAACCCGAAAAGGAGCAAGACAAACCAAGCACACAGGGCCCCUCCAUCUAACGCCUACAAUGUCAAGGUUUCCAGCAGGAUGGGCGGUUGAUUACCAGUGGUGUGAAGAACCAGUGGCCAGGCAAGGGUAUGUAUGACGAUGACAGCGAAGAGACCGAGGAAGAUCCUGGUGGUAACAACGUACAAGAUGGCUGGAGAUACGGUAACCAGAACGCCGAUGAUGAGGAAACAGAAGAAGAUGAAGAUUAGCUGGACAUUCCGCCUUUCCUGUUUACUGACAUUCCGCUGGAGCGUGUGCCCUAGGUUGUUUAGAUGUGGUUGUCUGCUUCCUUUUAGUAAGUUUCGUGUAUGCUAGAAAACUGCAAUGAAUGAAACUAGUGGGUGUUAUAGUUAUGGUAGAAUUAGAUUGCGCGCAUAUGAGCAGACACUUACUGAUGUUGUUGGCUAUUUGUGAGAUGGUCCAUUAUGUAAUAUAUAUCUGCACUCCNCUGUGUAGUAUCGUUCNNNNNNNNNNNNNNNNNNNNNNNNNNNNNNNNNNNNNNNNNNNNNNNNNNNNNNNNNNNNNNNNNNNNNNNNNNNNNNNNNNNNNNNNNNNNNNNNNNNNGCAUGCAAGCUUCCAAGUCCCGUGGACGAGGUUCAUGAAUAUCCCCAACAAAAGGCAAUUUGCAAACAUUGCAAAAAUCCUAGAGUGACAUGCGCUGGGGGAUAUCAUAAAGUUUGAACUCAACCCUGGAAGGAUUCUUCCUCGGAUAGAAGUUAAAGCUUUGUACGAAGAUAUUAGUGAGGAGGAGGGUAUUGCGGACACUUAUCUUCAACUAAGGCGGUAAGGCCUGCGUUAUCCACCAAGUGAUAAAAGUCCUCAUAAAUUCCAGUGACGCGUAAGAACACGUCGCUUGGCCACUCGCACGCUCGAACUUCUGCGACUCUAGGGACCAGAUACUUGGGCUUCUUCUCACUCCCAUCAUCCUUGGGGUCACGGCUUGAUGAGCCUCUUAAGAACCUCCUCAUCUUUUCCCUUUUCUAUCUCUGAAAAUUUCUGAAAUUUGUAGUGAUUCUAAGGAAAAGUGAAUAAGGCUCAACAAAACUCGUAGCAACUACUCCCACAAGUGCCUAGAGGUCAUAUUACGCAUCAAAACUACUUGGGACCAGCUAAAAUUAGCAUGCAAAGCUCAAGAACAUGGUCACCAAGGCAGCAAAAAUACGCGGAGUAUAAGGCACUAGAGCAAAAACUAAUUGGACCAAUGGAGGAGUCACUUACCAAGGAGUAAUUUCCCCAAAACAGUUCGGAGAAUGGUGAUUUGAGCAAAGAGAUCGAAAAUCCCAGCAAGAGGAGCAAGAACACGGGUUUGAGCUGCAAAACGAUUUUUUCUGGAGGUAGGAGAACCAGAUGAGAGCAAGAGUGAGUGGAGGGGGUGCCUGUGGGCCCCACAAGCCUGGGUGGCGCGGCGUAGGGGGUCGCCCGCGCCCAAGGCUUGGUCGGCCCACGUGGUGCACGCCCCCAGACAGCUCUUCGUCCCAGUUAUUUUNNNNNNNNNNNNNNNNNNNNNNNNNNNNNNNNNNNNNNNNNNNNNNNNNNNNNNNNNNNNNNNNNNNNNNNNNNNNNNNNNNNNNNNNNNNNNNNNNNNNGUCUGAGCGCGCGAGUAUAAGACCCCUCUUCAUGCCUGUGUACAGCUGGCAGAGCUUGAGUUCGUGCUCAAGAAGAAAAACAGAAAAGCCGUACGCGCGGCGAAGGUGUUUGUGCGCCCUGAAAACUUCUGUGUCCUUCCUCUCCUUGUCGGACUUUGUCUCCGGUGAUCGUCGGAGUGCAGAGGUUCCAUUUUUGCACAGACAGUAUGUGCCCAACGAUGCUGAUGCCAUGGCGUUGGUAGUACGCUUUCUAAUACGUAUACCAAAUGUCAUCACCAUGAACCCAGUGUCACGACUGACCAGAAUGGAAAACGAAUCGCUUUUCUUCCUCGUAUUGGGCGACAAGCAUGUGACUGCUCACGUGAUGCUUCAAACGUAUCUUAAACAAAAUUAAAUCUUCCUGCCUGCAACUCCAAGUUUUGUAAUGGCAGUGCACGCUGUCUCAGACGGUGUGGCUAUUCGWAUUUUUUAUAAAGCCUGCAUCGCUAAUUGCAAAAUUAAAUAUUUUUCUCGUGAUUGGUUCGAGAACAGAUCUCAGGCUGUACACAUCCGUUCUACCUAUUCGUACACUCUCNNNNNNNNNNNNNNNNNNNNNNNNNNNNNNNNNNNNNNNNNNNNNNNNNNNNNNNNNNNNNNNNNNNNNNNNNNNNNNNNNNNNNNNNNNNNNNNNNNNNCCUAAAUCCAACCAAAUAAACCGCCGGAAGUCAGAAAAGAACUAAGAGGGCGAGCAAAUAGCACAUCACCGCCNCAAAACUUUAGUGUUCUACUCGAGAAGACAUCUACGCAUGAACCUAGCUCAUGAUGCCACUGUUGGGGAACGGCAUGGGAACAAAAAAUUUACCUACGCGCACGAAGACCGUAAUCAUGGUGAUGUCCAUCUACGAGAGGGGAGUAAGUGAUCUACGUACCCUUGUAGACCGUACAGCAGAAGCGUUAGUGAACGCGGUUGAUGUAGUGGAACGUCCUCACGUCCCUCGAUCCGCCCCGCGAACUAUCCCGCGAUCAGUCCCAUGAUCUAGUGUCGAACGGACGGCACCUCCGCGUUCAGCACACGUACAUCUCGACGAUGAUCUCGGCCUUCUUGAUCCAGCAAGAGAGACGGAGAGGUAGAAGAGUUCUCCGGCAGCGUGACGGCGCUCCGGAGGUUGGUGAUGAUCUUGUCUCAGCAGGGCUCCGCCGAGCUCCGCAGAAACACGAUCUAGAAGGAAAACUGUGGAGGUAUGGUGGUCGGGCAGCCGUGAAGAAGUCGUCUACAAAUCACGACCCUAAAACCUCGUAUAUAGUAGGGUGGGGAGGGGAGGGGAGGAGGCACGGCCCUUAACCGAAAAAACCCGUUAAGGGUUUCGGGACCCGUAAAGUUCGGGAGGGUGGAANNNNNNNNNNNNNNNNNNNNNNNNNNNNNNNNNNNNNNNNNNNNNNNNNNNNNNNNNNNNNNNNNNNNNNNNNNNNNNNNNNNNNNNNNNNNNNNNNNNNAAUUUUGAAACUAAAGAAACAAUUUUUGAAAAAAUAGUGAACAAAUUUGAAAGCACGAACAUUUUAUUAAACAUUUUUAAAGUGAGAAAGUUUUUUAAAUCCAAAACAAUUUUCAAACAUUUCUCAAUUUUUUUAAAAUCCAGAACACAUUUUGAAAAGUGCAGAACAUUUUAUUAAAAUCCAGAACAUAUUUUGAAAAGGGAAAAAUAUUUUCCAACUUGUAGAACAAUUUUUGAAAAUUACGAACAUUUUCUAAAAUCUAGAAAAAAUAUAUUAAAAUCCAGAACACUUUUUUAAAAUCCAAAAUAUUUUUCCAGAAUCCAACACAUAUUUUUUUACAGCAAGAACGUUUUGGAAUAUGAAAAAUAUUUACUAAAAUCCGGAGAAUUUUUUGAAACAGAAAAAGGAAAUAAGAAAAACAGAAAAGUGUAAAAAAAGAAACAAGAAAAGUGUCAUUCGCCUGUGCAAAACGCUGACACCUCGCAAGCAAGAGAGGCCAGAAUAUCCUGUUUACAUAUUUUCAUUUUCCUUUUUCUGUUUUACUUUUAUUCAUAUACUUCAAAACACUUUAAAUGUAUAUAUAAGAAAAGUAAAUAGAUUAAAAUAUUUAAAAUGUAGAAAAAGUAUUUAAAAAAUGUGACAAGUAUUUGGAAAUUAUUAAAUAGGUAUUCGAAAAAUGAUGAAGAGUAUUUAGAAAAUCUUGAUCGUGUAUAUUAAUCUUUUAUUCAACCAUUUAAAAACAANNNNNNNNNNNNNNNNNNNNNNNNNNNNNNNNNNNNNNNNNNNNNNNNNNNNNNNNNNNNNNNNNNNNNNNNNNNNNNNNNNNNNNNNNNNNNNNNNNNNCUUCUAACAAAAAAAAAUGAGAGGGAWUAARAWSMYUUUUMCCUAAAAAAUUUUUUACUUAAUUUUUGUAAUCCCUUUUUCAAUUUUGAGUUUGAAUAUUUUCAAAACCCUUUGAUUAAAAAAAAUCAAACGAGAGGAGGAAAAUGACCCUCCAAAAUCAGAGACAAUGUCUUGAUUCAAAUUUUAAGUAUUUGCAAUUUAUUUGAAAUUCAAAUUCCUUUUUAAAGUUAUUGCAAAAAAAAAUAUUUUUUAAAAARGUAUUUCUUUUGGUUUUGAAAAUAUGUUCAUGUUUUAGAAAAUUUUAUUAUGAAAAUUUUGAUAUAUAAUAUGCCUAUAUAAAAUGUUCUCUCUAUUUUCAUUUUUUUAUGUUUUCUUCACUUUUUUUUAAAAAAAAACAUUGCUAAAGAAAAAACAAAAAAUAAAAUAAAAGGCACGGCUCCCAUGCAUCGCCUCUUGCGGCCAUGAGGCACCUUUUUACUUUUUUUUUCUAAUUUCCCUACAUUACGUAUAUAUUUAGUCCCACAUCGCCUAUCUAUGGACUAUUAGACCUCCCUUUCACCUAUAAAUAUAGAUCCAUAGGAGCAUCCAAAAAUCAUCUAUUUCGGGUUAAAUCAAUCUUUUGGUUUAACUAGAUUUAUUAAAUAAAAAUAUUAUUUUCUCUUCGGCGGGAUUUCUCGAAGGUCGUCGUCCUCACUUGGGAAUUAAUUCUUACUCNNNNNNNNNNNNNNNNNNNNNNNNNNNNNNNNNNNNNNNNNNNNNNNNNNNNNNNNNNNNNNNNNNNNNNNNNNNNNNNNNNNNNNNNNNNNNNNNNNNNACUAGAUACAUAGGGACUGAUCGCGGGAGUAGUUCGCGGGGCGGGAUCGAGGGACGUGAGGUACGUUCCACCUACNUCACCGCGUCACUAACGCUUCUGCUGUACGGUCUACAAGGGUACGUAGAUCACUUAUCCCCUCUCGUUAGAUGGACAUCACCAUGAUAGGUCUUCGUGCGCGUAGGAAAAUUUUUGUUUCCCAUGCGACGUUCCCCAACAACAUACUCUCCAGUAAUGAGUGGGACCACUUCCCGAUAUCUUAUAUCUUUGGCAGUGAAAAAUUGUCUAUCCAUGCAGUUGAUGGACGUCGUGACCACAUAUCUUUACGGGUCACUAGAUUUGGACAUAUAUAUGAAGGUUCCUGAGGGAAUCUCUUUCUCGAAUAAAAGAGAAAAUCGCAACAUGUAUUGUAUAAAUCUGAAUAAGUCGUUAUAUGGCUUAAGGCAGUCGGUACGAAUGUGGUACAACCGACUAAGUGAGUUCCUUCUUCAGAAAGGUUACUCCAAUAGUGAUGAUUGCCCAUGUGUCUUCAUCGAGAAGUCCUUUAUAGGAUUUUGCAUCAUUUUUGUGUAUGUUGAUGAUCUCAACAUCAUUGGCAACACACCAGAUAUUGAUGAAGCACACAAUCACCUAAAGAUGGAAUUUGAGAUGAAGGAUUUUGGGACCUUAAAAACCUAAAGUUUUUUUUUAGGGAUCCCUAACUUGAGCCACCUUCCCUCAAGAAUCAUAGUACCAACCAAGCUNNNNNNNNNNNNNNNNNNNNNNNNNNNNNNNNNNNNNNNNNNNNNNNNNNNNNNNNNNNNNNNNNNNNNNNNNNNNNNNNNNNNNNNNNNNNNNNNNNNNUUUGCUAGUUAACUGAUAUCCCAAAUCUUUUUCUGUACUUCGAUUAUCCGAAUAAGAUGAUGUUACUUUGGUGACGUGGCUUUAUUUUUGCAUGGCUGAAGCGAGAGCUGCGACUGCAGAUCCUGGUUCGGAGAUUGCAACCUAGCAUUUCUAUACUUACUGUCGUUUGUAAACUUGAUGCAGGGCACCGGUUCCUUCAUUAUCAUGCUUUUCUCGACGAGUUUUCAACACAGCUGAAGCAUCUUGCAUAUCUCUCUACCAUACUAUGCUUUUUUGAAUCCCGUUCUUGCCAACACAACCUUUGUAACCUUACAGGAUCUAUACGCCAGCUGAAUCAUGUCGAAGUCACUCNCUAUUCUCCGUAGUUCGUUUUUCGUUUACCGUUUAACCGUUACCCCCUUCCCCUUUACGUUAAGUUACUUACUACGUUUACGUUUUUAAGUUUUAAGUUAAACUUUUACCAACGACGACUUUUAGGUUUUUAGGGGGACGGGACCUACGUUCCGUACCCAACUUUAAGUUUAGUAGUCGACGUUUACGUUUACAGUCCGUACCCCGUACCCGUUCGUUUUUACGUUUAACUUAGUUUUAGUUUUUAGUUUUUUGGUAAGUUUAAAAAGUUUAAAAAAGGAAAGGAGGUAGUAGGUAGUAGUUAAACUUUAAACGGUCGGGUUAACGGUUAAACUUUUAACGUUUUAACGNNNNNNNNNNNNNNNNNNNNNNNNNNNNNNNNNNNNNNNNNNNNNNNNNNNNNNNNNNNNNNNNNNNNNNNNNNNNNNNNNNNNNNNNNNNNNNNNNNNNCUUAGAUGUUGCUCAAAUAAGUUUGAUCAUGAUAACCUCUUUUUUUUCAAGGAUACGGAUCAUGAUAACCUUUUAUACAAACAAGUAUGCAGCACGGAAUCAACAAAGUGACCUAGAUGGACCCAAACCUGUAAGGGUUUCAGUUUUUGUUUGUCUUUUCUUGUUUAUCAUGUUAGUAUUUUCAUUGUUUUCUUCUUACUUUUUUUGGGUUUUCCCUUUUCUUUUUCUCCCCACCCCCGCCCCUCUUUUCUCCCUUUCUCCAUUUUCUGCCUCUACAUAUUUUUUGUGUAAAAUAUAUAUACGUAUUUAUUGAGAAAUGCAUGAAUCUUUUCUUAAAUAUGUGAUCAUGAUUACAUGAACAUUUUUCUGAAGGACAUGAACACUCGUUGAAAUUGAAAGAACAUCCUGUUUGAACAAGUCAACAUUCUAAAAGUAGAUUGUUUUAAAAAGGGAUGAACUACUUUUGCUAAAUUAUAACAAUUAUUUUUUAGUAUACAUGAACAUUUGUUUCGAUUGCUAUUAAGUUUUAUAUAAAAUAAGAACUAUUUUUAAAGUAAAUUACUUUUUAUUGUAUUUUUUAACAGUGAAUACUUUUACUUCCUUUCUAUUAUAGNNNNNNNNNNNNNNNNNNNNNNNNNNNNNNNNNNNNNNNNNNNNNNNNNNNNNNNNNNNNNNNNNNNNNNNNNNNNNNNNNNNNNNNNNNNNNNNNNNNNAUUUUAUUAAACAUUUUUAAAGUGAGAAAURKUUUUUAAAUCCAAAACAAUUUUCAAACAUUUCUCAAUUUUUUUAAAAUCCAGAACACAUUUUGAAAAGUGCAGAACAUUUUAUUAAAAUCCAGAACAUAUUUUGAAAAGGGAAAAAUAUUUUCCAACUUGUAGAACAAUUUUUGAAAAUUACGAACAUUUUCUAAAAUCUAGAAAAAAUAUAUUAAAAUCCAGAACACUUUUUUAAAAUCCAAAAUAUUUUUCCAGAAUCCAACACAUAUUUUUUUACAGCAAGAACGUUUUGGAAUAUGAAAAAUAUUUACUAAAAUCCGGAGAAUUUUUUGAAACAGAAAAAGGAAAUAAGAAAAACAGAAAAGUGUAAAAAAAAGAAACAAGAAAAGUGUCAUUCGCCUGUGCAAAACGCUGACACCUCGCAAGCAAGAGAGGCCAGAAUAUCCUGUUUACAUAUUUUCUAUUUUCCUUUUUCUUGUUUUACUUUUUAUUCAUAUACUUCAAACAACUUUAAAUGUAUAUAUAAGAAAAGUAAAUAGAUUAAAWAUUAAAANNNNNNNNNNNNNNNNNNNNNNNNNNNNNNNNNNNNNNNNNNNNNNNNNNNNNNNNNNNNNNNNNNNNNNNNNNNNNNNNNNNNNNNNNNNNNNNNNNNNUCUCUCUAGUCAUUUGAGUGGUUCAUGAUCCACUUACACUAGCUCAAGUCCGAUCAUCACGUGAGUUGAGUAUAGUUUCAGUGGUAAGCAUCCCUAUGCUAAUCAUAUCAUCUAUAUGAUUCAUGAUCGACCUUUCGGUCUCAUGUGUUCCGAGGCCAUGUCUGCACAUGCUAGGCUCGUCAAGCUUAACCAGAGUGUUCCGCGUGCGCAACUAUUUUGCACCCGUUGUAUGUGAACGUUGAGUCUAUCACACCCGAUCAUCACGUGGUGUCUCGAAACGACGAACUGUAACAACAGUGCACAGUUGGGGAGAACACAAUUUCGUCUUGAAAUUUUAGUGAGAGAUCACCUCAUAAUGCUACCGUCGUUCUAAGCAAAAUAAGGUGCAUAAAAGGAUUAACAUCACAUGCAAUUCAUAAGUGACAUGAUAUGGCCAUCAUCACAUGCUUCUUGAUCUCCAUCACCAAAGCACCGGCACGAUCUUCUUGUCACCGGCGCCACACCAUGAUCUCCAUCAACGUGUUGCCAUCGGGGUUGUCGUGCUACUCAUGCUAUUACUACUAAAGCUACAUUCUAGCAAAAUAGUAAACGCAUCUGCAAGCACAAACAUUAGUAUAAAGACAACCCUAUGGCUCCUGCCGGUUGCCGUACCAUCGACGUGCAAGUCGAUAUUAUCUAUUACAACAUGAUCAUCUCAUACAUCCAAUAUAUCACAUCACAUCAUUGGCCAUAUCACAUCACAAGCAUACCCUGCAAAAACAAGUUAGACGUUCUCUAAUUUUGUUGUUGCAUGUUUUACGUGGUGACCAUGGGUAUCUAGUAGGAUCGCAUCUUACUUAUGCAAACACCACAACGGAGAUAUAUGAGUUGCUAUUUAACCUCAUCCAAGGACCUCCUCGGUCAAAUACGAUUCAACUAAAGUUGGAGAAACCGACACUUGCCAGUCAUCUUUGAGCAACGGGGUUACUCGUAGCGAUGAAAGGUUACUCGUAGCGAUGAAACCAGUCUCUCGUAAGCGUACGAGCAAUGUCGGUCCAAGCCGCUUCAAUCCAACAAUACCGCGGAAUCAAGAAAAGACUAAGGAGGGCAGCAAAACGCACACCGCCCACAAAAACUUUUGUGUUCUACUCGAGAAGACAUCUACGCAUGAACCUAGCUCAUGAUGCCACUGUUGGGGAACGUCGCAUGGGAAACAAAAAAUUUCCUACGCGCACGAAGACCUAUCAUGGUGAUGUCCAUCUACGAGAGGGGAUGAGUGAUCUACGUACCAUUGUAGACCAUACAGCAGAAGCGUUCGUGAACGCGGUUGAUGUAGUGGAACGUCCUCACGUCCCUCGAUCCGCCCCGCGAACUAUCCCGCGAUCAGUCCCGCGAUCUAGUGCCGAACGGACGGCACCUCCGCGUUCAGCACACGUACAGCUCGACGAUGAUCUCGGCCUUCUUGAUCCAGCAAGAGAGACGGAGAGGUAGAAGAGUUCUCCGGCAGCGUGACGGCACUCCGGAGGUUGGUGAUGAUCUCGUCUCAUCAGGGCUCCGCCCGAGCUCCGCAGAAACGCGAUCUAGAGGAAAAACCGUGGAGGUAUGUGGUCGGGCUGCCAUGGAAAAGUCGUCUCAAAUCAGCCCUAAAACCUCCGUAUAUAUAGGUGGGAGAGGGGGGACCUUGCCUUGGGGCUCAAGGAGCCCCAAGGGGGUCGGCCGAGCCAAAGGGGGGAAGGACUCCCCCCCAAACCGAGUCCUACUUGGUUUGGUGGGUGGAGUCCUUCUUUCCUUUCCCACCUCCUCCUUUUUUUUUCUUUUCUCUUUGAUUUUUCUUCCAAUGCGCAUAGGGCCCUUUUGGGCUGUCCCACCAGCCCACUAAGGGCUGGUGCACCACCCUCAAGGCCUAUGGGCUUCCCCGGAGUGGGUUGCCCCCCCGGUGAACUCCCGGAACCCAUUCAUCAUUCCCGGCACAUUCCCGGUAACUCCGAAAACCUUCCGGUAAUCAAAUGAGGUCAUCCUAUAUAUCAAUCUUCGUUUCCGGACCAUUCCGGAAACCCUCAUGACGUCCGUGAUCUCAUCCAGGACUCCGAGCAACAUUCGGUAACCAACCAUAUAACUCAAAUACGCAUAAAACAACGUCGAACCUUAAGUGUGCAGACCCUGCGGGUUCGAGAACUAUGUAGACAUGACCCGAGAGACUCCUCGGUCAAUAUCCAAUAGCGGGACCUGGAUGCCCAUAUUGGAUCCUACAUAUUCUACGAAGAUCUUAUCGUUUGAACCUCAGUGCCAAGGACUCAUAUAAUGCCGGAUGUCAUUCCCUUUGUCCUUCGGUAUGUUACUUGCCCGAGAUUCGAUCGUCAGUAUCCACAUACCUAUUUCAAUCUCGUUCACCGGCAAGUCUGUUUACUCGUUCCGUAAUACAAGAUCCCGCAACUUACAAUAAGUCACAUUGCUUGCAAGGUUUGUGUGUGAUGUUGUAUUACCGAGUGGGCCCCGAGAUACCUCUCCGUCACAUGGAGUGACAAAUCCCAGUCUCGAUCCAUACUAACUCAACGAACACCUUUGGAGAUACCUGUAGAGCAUCUUUAUAGUCACCCAGUUACGUUGCGACGUUUGAUACACACAAAGCAUUCCUCCGGUGUCCGUGAGUUAUAUGAUCUCAUGGUCAUAGGAACAAAUACUUGACACGCAGAAAACAGUAGCAACAAAAUGACACGAUCAACAUGCUACGUCUAUUAGUUUGGGUCUAGUCCAUCACAUGAUUCUCCUAAUGAUGUGAUCCCGUUAUCAAGUGACAACACUUGCCUAUCGCCAGGAAACCUUGACCAUCUUUGAUCAACGAGCUAGUCAACUAGAGGCUUACUAGGGACAGUGUUUUAUCUAUGUAUCCACACAAGUAUUGUGUUUCCAAUCAAUACAAUUAUAGCAUGGAUAAUAAACGAUUAUCAUGAACUAAGAAAUAUAAUAAUAACUAAUUUAUUAUUGCCUCUAGGGCAUAUUUCCUACAAAUAAUUGUUAUUUAGUACCAGCUUUGAGCAUGAAUAUUGUAUCAGGGUCUUGCUUAAUGCGAGACGGCUACUCAUUUAAGUCAGAGAAUAAUGGUUGUUCUAUUUAUAUGAGUGAUAUGUUUUAUGGUCAUGCUCCGCUGGUGAAUGGUUUAUUCUUGAUGAAUCUCGAUCGUGAUGUUACACAUAUUCAUAGUGUCAGUACCAAAAGAUGUAAAGUUGAUAAUGAUGGUCCCACAUACCUGUGGCACUGCCGCCUUGGUCAUAUCGGCGUUAAGCGCAUGAAGAAGCUCCAUACCGAUGGACUAUUAGAGUCUCUUGACUUUGAAUCAUUUGACACAUGCGAACCGUGCCUCAUGGGCAAGAUGACCGAGACUCCAUUCUCAGGAAUAAUGGAGAGAGCUACCGACUUAUUGGAAAUAAUACAUACUGAUGUGUGUGGUCCAAUGAAUGUUGAAGCUCGCGGUGGCUAUUGUUAUGUUCUCACUCUCACCGAUGAUUUGAGUAGGUAUGGGUAUAUCUACUUGAUGAAGCACAAAUCUGAGAGAUUUGAAAAGUUCAAGGAAUUUCAGAGUGAAGUCGCGAAUCAACGUGACAGAAAAAUUAAGUGUCUACGAUCUGAUCGUGGAGGAGAGUAUUUGAGUCACGAGUUUGGCACACACCUAAGAAAGUGUGGAAUCGUUUCACAACUGACGCCCCCUGGCACACCGCAACGCAACGGAGUGUAUGAACGUCGUAAUCGCACUUUAUUAGAUAUGGUACGAUCUAUGAUGUCUCUUACCAACCUACCGCUAUCAUUUUGGGGAUACGCAUUAGAAACUGCAGCAUUCACUUUAAAUAGGGCACCGUCUAAAUCUGUUGAGACGACACCGUAUGAAAUAUGGUUUGGCAAGAAACCUAAGUUGUCGUUUCUUAAAGUUUGGGGCUGCGAUGCUUAUGUGAAGAAACUUCAACCAAAAAAGCUCGAACCCAAAGCGGAUAAAUGCGUAUUCAUAGGAUACCCUAAAGAAACUAUUGGGUAUACCCUCUAUCUUAGAUCCGAAGGUAAAACCUUUGUUGCCAAGAACGGAUCCUUUCUAGAGAAAGAGUUUCUCUCGAAAGAAGUAAGUGGGAGGAAGGUAGAACUUGAUGAGGUAAUUACACCCCCUCUCGAACAGGAUAGUAGCACAACGCGGGAAGUUGUUCCUGUGGCGCCUACACCAACUGAAGAGGAAGUUAAUUAUGAUGAUCAUGAAGCUUCGGAUCAAGUUACUACUGAACCGCGAAGGUCCACAAGGGCACGCUCCGCACCAGAGUGGUACGGCAACCCUGUGAUGGAAAUCAUGUUGUUAGACAACGGUGAACCUUCGAACAAUGAAGAAGCGAUGGCGGGCCCGGAUUCCAACAAAUGGCUUGAAGCUAUGAAAUCCAAGAUAGGAUCCAUGUAUGAGAACAAAGUAUGGACUUUGGUGGACUUGCCCGAUGACCGGCGAGCCAUAUAAAAUAAAUGGAUCUUCAAGAAGAAGACUGAUGCAAACGGUAAUCGUUUACAAAGCUCGACUUGUCGCAAAGGGUUUUCGAAAAAUUCAAGGAGUUGACUACGAAGAGACUUUCUCUCCCAUAUCAAAGCUAAAAUUAGUCCGAAUCAUGUUAGCAACUGCCGCCUUUUAUGAUUAUGAAAUUUGGCAAAUGGACGUCAAAACAGCGUUCCUUAACGGGAACCUUAAGGAAGAGUUGUAUAUGAUGCAACCAGAAGGUUUUGUCGACCCUAAGGGUGCUAAAAAAGUGUGCAAGCUCCAGCGCUCCAUCUAUGGGCUGGUGCAAGCAUCUCGGAGUUGGAACAUUCGCUUUAAUGAGGUGAUUGAAGCGUUUGGGUUCAUACAGGUUUACGGAGAAGCCUGUCUGUACAAGAAAGUGAGUGGGAGCUCUGUAGCUUUCCUCAUACUGUAUGUGGAUGACAUAUUAUUGACGGGGAACAAUACAGAAAUGUUGGAGAGCAUAAAGGCUUAUUUGAACAAGAGUUUUUCAAUGAAGGACCUUGGAGAAGCUGCAUACAUAUUAGGCAUCAAGAUCUAUAGAGAUAGAUCAAGACGCCUCAUAGGUCUUUCGCAAAGUACAUACCUUGAAAAGAUAUUGAAGAAGUUCAAUAUGGAAAACUCAAAGAAAGGGUUCUUGCCAGUGUUGCAAGGUAUGAGAUUGACUAAGACUCAGUCGCCGACCACGGCAGUAGAAAAAGAGAAGAUGAGUUCUGUCCCCUACGCUUCAGCCUUGGGCUCUCUAAUGUAUGCCAUGCUGUGUACCAGACCUGAUAUAAACCUUGCCAUAAGUUUGGUAGGGAGGCACCAAAGUGAUCCCGGUAUGGAACACUGGACAUCGGUCAAGAAUAUCCUUAAGUACCUGAAAAGGACUAAGGAAAUGUUUCUCAUUUAUGAAGGUGGCGAAGAGCUCGUCGUAAAGGGUUACGUCGACGCUAGCUUCACAAAGAUCCGGAUGACUCUAAGUCACAGACCGGACACGUAUAUGUGUUGAAUGGUGGGGCAGUGAGCUGGUGCAGCAGCAAGCAAGAAGUCAUGGCAGCAUCUACAUGUGAAGCGGAGUACAUAGCUGCUUCAGAAGCAGCUCAUGAAGGAAUUUGGAUGAAGGAGCUCAUCACCGACCUUGGAGUGGUUCCAAGCAGGUUGGGUCCAAUGACACUCUUCUGUGAUAACACUGGGGCCAUUGCCAUAGCCAAGGAGCCCAGGUUUCACCGGAAGACGAAGCACAUCAAACGCCGCUACAACUCCAUCCAGGACCAUGUCCAGAGUGGAGUGAUAGAUAUUUGUAAAGUACACACGGAUCUGAAUGUUGCAGACCAGUUGACUAAACCUCUUCCACGAGCAAAACAUGAUCAACACCAUAAUGCUAUGGGUGUUCGAUACAUCACAAUGUAACUAGAUUAUUGACUCUAGUGCAAGUGGGAGACUGUUGGAAAUAUGCCCUAGAGGCAAUAAUAAAAUGGUUAUUAUCAUAUUUCCUUGUUCAUGAUAAUCGUCUAUUGUUCAUGCUAUAAUUGUAUUAACAGGAAACAGUAAUACAUGUGUGAAUAAAUAGAUCACAAAGUGUCCCUAGCAAGCCUCUAGUUGGCUAGCUCGUUAGUCAAUAGAUGAUCAUGGUUUCCUGUUCAUGAGCAUUAGAUGUCAUUGAUAACGGGAUCACAUCAUUAGGAGAAUGAUGUGAUGGACAAGACCCAAUCCUAAGCAUAGCACUAGAUCGUAUUGUUCGCAUGCUAAAGCUUUUCUAAUGUCAAGUAUCUUUUCCUUCGACCGUGAGAUUGUGCAACUCCCGGAUACCGUAGGAGUGCUUUGGGUGUAUCAAACGUCACAACGUAACUGGGUGACUAUAAAGGUGCACUACGGAUACCUCCGAAAGUGUCUGUUGGGUUGGUACGAAUCGAGAUCGGGAUUUGUCACUCCGUGUGACGGAGAGGUAUCUCUGGGCCCACUCGGUAGAACAUCAUCAUGAGCUCAAUGUGACUAAGGAGUUAGUCACACGAUGACGUGCUACGGAACGAAUAAAGAGACUUACCGGUAACGAGAUUGAACAAGGUAUUGGUAUACCGAUGAUCGAAUCUCGGGCAAGUUCUAUACCGACAGACAAAGGGAAUUGUAUACGGGAUUGAUUGAAUCCUUGACAUUGUGGUUCAUCCGAUGAGAUCAUCGUGGAUCAAGUGGGAGCCACCAUGGGUAUCCAGACCCCGCUGAUGGUUAUUGGCCAGAGAGGCGUCUCGGUCAUGUCUGUCUAUCUCCCGAACCCGUAGGGUCUACACACUUAAGGUUCGGUGACGCUAGGGUUAUAGGGAAUUGUUUUACGAGGUUACCGAAAGUUGUUCGGGGUCCCCGAUGAGAUCCCGGACGUCACGAGGAGCUCCGGAAUGGUCCGGAGGUAAAGAUUGAUACAUAGGACGGAUGGUUUCGGAUACCGGAAGUGUUUCGGGCAUCACCGGUAACGUACCGGGACCACCGGGACCACCAGGGGUGGCCCCGGGGGUCCACCGAAGGUGGGCAACAACCCCGGGAGGUAAGAUGGGCCAAGUGGGGGAGGGAACCAGCCCCUAGGUGGGCUGGUGCGCCUCCCCACUCAGCCCAAUGCAUAGGGGAGAGAAAAGGGGGGCAAACCCUAAGCCAGGUGGGCCUAAGGCCCACCAGGUGUGCGCCAUACCCCUCCUCCCCCCCUUGGCCGCCGCACCAGCCCCCAUCUAGGGCUGCCCCCCCCCCAGGAGGGGGAAACCCUUAAGGGGGCGCAGCCCCUCCCUUCCCCUAUAUAUACCGGGCACUUUUGGCCAUUGGGAGAUAGACUUCUCCCUCUCCCUCGGUGCAGCCCUGCCCUUCUUCCUCCUCCUCUUUGCCGGUGCUUGGCGAAGCCCUGCCAGGAGACCUCGUCUCUCCAUCGACACCACGCCGUCGUGCUGUUGGAGUUCUUCCUCAACCUCUCCCUCCUCCUUGCUGGAUCAAGGUGCGGGAGACGUCACCGGGCUGCACGUGUGUUGAACACGGAGGUGUCGUAGUUCGACACUAGAUCGGAAUCGCUGCGAAUACGACUCCAUCAACCGCGUUCUAGCAACGCUUCCACUUAGCGAUCUUCAAAGGUAUGAAGAUGCUCUUACCCCUCUCUCGUUGCUGGUCUCUCCAUAGGAAGAUCUGAAUAUGCAUAGGAAAAUUUUGAAUUUAUGCUACGUUACCCUACACUAUAACACGGAGAGAUAUGUGGCUAGCUCCCGUUCGUCAAUCUAAUGUAGGCAUGUAUUCCGUAUGUAGUCAUACGUGCUUAGGGAAAUAAACUUGCAUGCCAUCUAUUGUCCAUCCCUCCCGUGGCAGCGGGGUCCUAAUGGAAACUAUGGGAUAUUAAGGUUCUCCUUUUAAUAAAGAACCGGACCAACGCAUUAACACGCGGUGAAUACAUGAACUCCUCAUACUAUGGUCAUCUCCGGGAGUGGUUCCGGCUAUUAUCACUCGGGGUUGCCUGGUCAUAACUCAUAGUAGGUGACUACAACUUGCAAGAUAGGAUCUAAAACACACAUAUAUUGGCAACAACAUAAUAGGUUCAGAUCUGAACUCAUGGCACUCGGGCCCUAGUGACAAGCAUUAAGCAUAGCCAAGUAGUAGCAACAUCAAUUUAGAACAUAGUGGACACUAGGGAUCAAUCCCCGUCAAGAACUAACUCGAUUACAUGAUGGAUCUCAUCCAACUCAUCACCGUCCAGCAAGCCUACGAUGAGAUUACUCACGAACAAUGAAGAGCAUCAUGGAAUUGUCGAUGGAGAAAGGUUGAUGAUGACGAUGGCGACGAUUUCCCCUCUCCGGAGCCCGAAACGGACUCCAGAUCUGCCAUCCAGAUGAAGAACAGGAUGUGGCGGUGCCUCUGUAUCGCAAAACGCGAUGAAACCUUCUCUUUGAUUUUUUUCAGGCGAAACGGAAGAUAUAGGACUGAGAUUGGGGGCGGUGGUGCCACGCGGGCCCCACAAGCCCUCAUGGCGCGGCCAUAGGGGGUGGCCGCGGCCCAGGGGCUUGUGGCUCACUGGCACGCCCCCUCACGUGGAUCUUUGCGCAGGUAUUUUUCUUUGAUUCCAGAAAAAAUCUCCGUAAAUUUUCAGGACGUUCCGAGAACUUUCAUUUGUGCACAAAAACAACACCAUGGCAAUUCUGCUGAAAACAGCAUCAGUCCGGGUUAGUUCCAUUCAAAUCAUGCAAAUUAGAGUCCAAAACAAGGGCAAAAGAGUUCGGAAAAGUAGAUACGGCGGAGACGUAUCAACUCCCCCAAGCUUAAAGCCUUGCUUGUCCUCAAGCAACUCAAUUGACAAACUGAGAGAGACAAAAGAAAAACUUUGACGAACUCUGUUUGAUCUUGUUGUUGCAACUAUGUCUAACUCACAACCAGAAUUUUAGCAACAUCACAAGCAAACCACAUAAGCAAAUGACAUCUAGGUCUCACGGUAAACUCAUAUCAAUGGCAUAAUCAACUAGCGAGCAAAUAAUAAUAAGCCUCAAGUGUCAACACUUCAAUCAAAACAACAUGAAGCAGUACGAAUAGAUGGUAUCUCGCUAUCUCUUUCUGAGACCGCAAAACAUAAACGCAGAGCACCUUAAAAGACGAAGGGCUGACUAAACAUUGUAAUUCAUGGUAAUGAAGAUCCAGUCAUAGUCACACUCAACACAGUUAAAAGCAAAGCAUAAAAAUGACAGAGGUGCUCUCUAAUUGGUGCUUUUGUAAGAGGAGGAAGACUCAACAGGAACAUAAAUAGACAUGCCCUUCGCAGAGGGAAGCAUUGAUUUGCAGAGGUGCCAGAGCUCAAGCUUUGAAAAUAGAGAUAAUAAUUUUGGGUGGCAUGCUUUCAUUGUCAAUGCAAUGACUAAGAGUUCUCAAUAUCUUCCACGCUACACAUGCUAUAGGCGGUUCCCAAACAGAAAAGUAAAGUUUUGACUACCCCACCACCAAUCAAUCACACUCCACGGCUAAACAAAUCCUCGGGUACCGUCCAAACCAACAUCAAUCCUGGGGGAGUUUUGUUUUCAAUUAUGUUUUCGAUUUGAGCAUGGAACUGGGAAUUCCAAUUACUGGCCCCUUUCUCAUGAAUGAUAGUGAAUAAACACAUAUCGAGGAUAACACGCCUAGCAUGGAAGAUACCAAUAGCCCCUUGUCACCACAUGAGCGGUUCGGGCAUGCAAAACAGAUUAUUUCUUGAAGAUUUAGAGAGUGGAACAUGCAAAUUUACUUGGAACGGCAGGUAGAUACCGCACAUAGGUAGGUAUGGUGGACUCAUAUGGCGCAACUUUGGGUUUAUGUAAGUGGACGCACAAGCAGUAUUCCCGCUUAGUACAAGUGAAGGCUAGCAAAAGACUAAGAAGCGGCCAACUAGAGAGCGACAACAGUCAUCAAAAUGCAUUGAGAUUAACUAACAUUGAGUGCAAGCAUGAGUAGGACAUAAAUCACCAUGAACAUGAACAUCAUAGGGGCUAUGUUGAUUUUGUUUCAACUACACGCGUGAACAUGCGCCAAGUCAAGCCACUUGAAACAUUCAAAGGAGGAUACCAUCCUAUCAUACUACAUCAUAGUCAUCUCAACAUUCAUGUUGGCAACCAAGACAAACCAUUAUAAGCUCCUAGCUAAAUAAGCAUGGCAUAAGAAACUAUGAUCUCUAAGUUGUCAUUGCAAACAUGUUUCUCUCACAACAAAGCUGAAUCAGGCAUGAUGAGCUAGUCAUAUUUACAAAAACAAAAUAGAUCGAGUUCAUACCAGCUUUUCCAGGCUCAGUCACUUCAUCAUAUAUCGUCAUUAUUGCCUUUCACUUGCACGACCGAACGAUGUGAACAAUAAUAAGCGUGCUCGUGCAUUGGACUAAAGCUGGAAUCUACAGACAGACACAAAGGAGAAGACAAAGUAAUAUGGCUCUUUGAAAGCUAAACAGGUAUGCAUGCAAGAGCCACUAAACAUUGUAACCAAUAUCUUCUACGUUGACCCAAAGAAAAAGAAAACUAUUUACACGGGACAGCUCCCAACAAGCAAAAUAAGAAAAAGAAAAUCUUUUUGCUUUUUCUCAAACUAGACAGACACACGAAAAGAAAACGAGAAAAAGAAAAUAUACUAACAUGGAUGAUACAGUGGCAAAGUGUGAACACCGGCUAACAAAGUGAAAGCAUAAGCAAGAAUGUAAAGUUGGUGAGAACACGUACUCCCCCAAGCUUAGGCUUUUGGCCUAACUUGGUCUACUCCCAAGGAGGGAAAUAACCAGCUCCUGGGUACUCCGGAGUGGACUGUGGAUGCCACUGUUGUGUGAGCUCCUCUGGCUCCCACUGAUAAACUGGCGUGUGGUACUCGACUGGCCGCUCGGGCACGGGCACCUAUGGUUGGGCCAAGCCCCGAUAUGCGUAGAUGUCCGAGGGCAUAAUAGUGUACCUGCAUGCAUGAAGAUUGAACAAAGAAGGAGUAGGCAAAGUAAUAGUCUCACGAGUACCCUGACUAAAUACCAGGUUAUAAAUCAUCCUUCCACCUAUAUCUCUAUCAAGAAAGUCAUGGCGAACCAUGCUAUCGUAAUCUAGAUAUCUCUCGGGAAGAAGCAUCUCUUCUUCUUCCUCCAGUCUAAUAGGUAUCUCAAAGUGUAUGACGUUAGCUGUGCUUCCCCGGCAAUGGCGCCAGAAAAGUGCUGAUCCUGCAAUCUCUAGUGUUUGUUAGACGAAUGCUUAUGACAACGAACCUUCUCCUGCAACGGCACCAAAAGAAUGCUGCUAGCACUCCCCGGCAAUGGAACUAGAAGAAUGUUGUUGAUGGCCCACCAGCGCGUCGGUUCGCAGCAGUUUUCAAGGGUAGAGUAUUCGACCCAAAUUUGUUGAUAAGCCAGUCAGGAGGUGCGAGUAUACUCUCGAGUAUUAGCAGCUGAAUUUGUCGGAUUCAACCACACCUGAAAGAUUAGUAUCUGCAAGCACAGUAGUAACAUCAAAGUAGUAUGAUAACAACGGUGUCAGAAAAGAUCUGUUGACGGCAGACUAUUCCUAACGAUUGUAUCAAUGGCGCCUUCGUUGCCGCGUUGACAGAAGUUGUGAGUUCCCGUCAACGUCCGGUGAACCAGCACUGUAGCAGGUAGUAGCAACAAUAGUAGCAGCAGAGCAAGACAAGUAACAGCAGUAGCAACAGUAGGACAAACUCGUAGGCAAUGGGUCGGUGAUUUGUUCGGAUGAUAUUCAUCAUGCAACAGCUAUAACACGGAGAGAUAAGUGGCUAGCUCCCGUUCGUCAAUGUGAUGUAGGCAUGCAUUUCGUGUGUCGUCAUACGUGCUUAGGGAAAAGAACUUGCAUGACAUCUAUUGUCCAUCCUUCCCAUGGCAGCGGGGUCCAAAAGGAAACUACGGGAUAUUAAGGUUCUCCUUUUAAUAAAGAACCAGACCAACGCAUUAGCACUUGGUGAACACAUGAACUCCUCAAACUAUGGUCAUCACCGGGAGUGGUUUCGGUUAUUGUCACCUCGGGGUUGCCGGAUCAUAACACACAGUAGGCAACUACAACUUGCAAGAUCGGAUCUAAAACACACAUAUAUUGGUAACAACAUAAUAAUUUCAUAUAUGAAAUCAUGGCACUCGGGCCCUAGUGACAAGCAUUAAGCAUGGCAAAGUAGUAGCAACAUCAAUCUCAGAACAUAGUGGAUACUAGGGAUCAAUCCCCAUCAAAACUAACUCGAUUACAUGAUAGAUCUCAUCCUACUCAUCACCGCCCAGCGAGCCUACGAAUAGAUUACUCAUGAACGACGAAGAGCUUCAUGGAAUUGGAGAGGGAAGAAGGUUGAUGAUGACGAUGGCGACGAUUUCCCCUCUACGGAGCCCAGGACGGACUCCAGAUCUGCUCUCCAGAUGAAGAACAGGAGGUGGCGGUGCCUCCGUAUCGAAAACGCGACAAAAACUUCUCUUUUUAUUUUUUCUAGGACGAAAGGCAACUUAUAGAGCUGGAGUUGGGGGCGGCAGGUGCCUGUGGGCCCCACAAGCCUGCCCACCGCCACCAGGGGGUGGUGGCGGAGCAGGGGCUUGUGGCCCAGUGGCCCACCCCCUGAGGUGGAACUUGGCGUAGAUAAUUUUGAUAUUUUCCAAAACUGCUCCCCGUAAAUUUUCAGGACGUUUGGAGAACUUUGAUUUCUGCACAAAAAUAACACCAAGGCAAUUCUGCUGAAAACAGCGUCAGUCCAGGUUAGUUCCAUUCAAAUCAUGCAAAUUAUAGUCCAAAACAAGGGCAAAAGAGUUUGGAAAAGUAGAUACGUUGGAGACGUAUCAGUGUCUAGCAAGACGAGUAGCAUAGAUACCUCCAUAGAUAACACCUUUAGAACGGUUCAGGUUCAUCCGUUGAGCUAAUAUAGCGCCCAAGUUAUAAGUUUUAUCAUUAUAAAGGGCUUCGCGCAAGACCGCAAGAUCUGGGGAACUAAGUGACCCAGCUUUCCCACGGCCAAUCAAACAUUGUCCCACAAAUAAUGAGAAGUACCGAAGCACGGGAAAAUGAAUGCUAGUAGCUCUAGCGCAAGACACUCCUCUCUCCUCUCCUAAAGCAAUAGUACCGAUGAAAGCUUCCAAGUCCCGUGGACGAGGUUCAUGAAUAUCCCCAACAAAAGGCAAUUUGCAAACAUUGCAAAAAUCCUAGAGUGACAUGCGCUGGGGGAUAUCAUAAAGUUUGAACUCAACCCUGGAAGGAUUCUUCCUCGGAUAGAAGUUAAAGCUUUGUACGAAGAUAUUAGUGAGGAGGAGGUAUUGCGGACACUUAUCUUCAACUAAGGCGGUAAGGCCUGCGUUAUCCACCAAGUGAUAAAAGUCCUCAUAAAUUCCAGUGACGCGUAAGAACACGUCGCUUGGCCACUCGCACGCUCGAACUUCUGCGACUCUAGGGACCAGAUACUUGGGCUUCUUCUCACUCCCAUCAUCCUUGGGGUCACGGCUUGAUGAGCCUCUUAAGAACCUCCUCAUCUUUUCCCUUUUCUAUCUCUGAAAAUUUCUGAAAUUUGUAGUGAUUCUAAGGAAAAGUGAAUAAGGCUCAACAAAACUCGUAGCAACUACUCCCACAAGUGCCUAGAGGUCAUAUUACGCAUCAAAACUACUUGGGACCAGCUAAAAUUAGCAUGCAAAGCUCAAGAACAUGGUCACCAAGGCAGCAAAAAUACGCGGAGUAUAAGGCACUAGAGCAAAAACUAAUUGGACCAAUGGAGGAGUCACUUACCAAGGAGUAAUUUCCCCAAAACAGUUCGGAGAAUGGUGAUUUGAGCAAAGAGAUCGAAAAUCCCAGCAAGAGGAGCAAGAACACGGGUUUGAGCUGCAAAACGAUUUUUUCUGGAGGUAGGAGAACCAGAUGAGAGCAAGAGUGAGUGGAGGGGGUGCCUGUGGGCCCCACAAGCCUGGGUGGCGCGGCUAGGGGGGUGCCCGCGCCCCAAGGGCUUGUGGCCCACUGGUGCAGCCCCCAGACAAGCUCUUCGUCCCAGUAUUUUUCAAAAAAUCCAGAAAAAAUCAUACUUUAUUUUUAGGACGUUCGGAGAACUUUUAUUUUCGAGGUACUUUUUCCACGGGACGCUAAAACAGAAAACAGGGAAAACUAAACUAAAUCUAUCAUUUUUCUUCUAAGCAACCUAAGGUGAAAGCUGAAAACAAAGGUUUGUGACUCCUUGAUUCAUCCAUCUCAUGGUCAUGGAAAGAAAUCCGUCAAUGGGAUUGAUCAAAUCCCCUCGACAAAACUUUCUCGAAUCGCAAAAGAAGACGGAGAAUUUUUGAAUAGUCACUAAGUCACCUCAAUGGGGAUGUGUAUCUCCCCAACAAGCAAAUCAUACUUCAUCUUGACACGAGGAAUAGGGCAUUCAAAGCUCCUGAUAAGAAUCGAUGAAGUUUUUUCGAUAGCAUUGAGGCAAUGUACUCGAUAUUAUUUCUUCGGAAAGUGCACCGUAUGCUCAUUACCGUUGACAUGGAAAGUGACAUUGCCUUUGUUGCAAUUUAUAACAGCCCCUGCAGUGUUUAAAAAGGGUCUUCCGAGGAUGACAGCCAUGGCAUUGUCCUCGGGAAUAUCCAAGAUAACAAAGUCUGUUAAGAUAGUGGUGUUAGCAACCACAACAGGCACGUCCUUGCAAAUGUCGAUAGGGAAAGCAGUUGAUUUGUCGGCCAUUUGCAGAGAGAUUUGAGUGGGUGUCAACUUAUCCAAUUCAAGUCUACGAUAAAGAGAGAGAGGCAUAACACUAACACCGGCUCCAAGGUCGCAUAACGCAGUUGUAACGUAGUUGCCUUUAAUGGAGCAAGGUAUAGUGGGCACAUCAGGAUCACCUAGUUUCUUUGGAGUUCCACCCCUAAAAGUGUAAUUAGCAAGCAUGGAGGAGAUCUCAACCUCAAGUAUCCUCCUCUUAUUAGUCACAAUAUAUUUCAUGUACUUAGCAUACAGAGACAUCUUGAGCAUAUCCGUCAAACACAUUUGCAGAAAGACAGGUCUGAUCAUCUCAACGAAUCGCUCAAAAUCCUCAUCACCCUUUUUCUUGGAUGGUUUGGGAGGAAAGGGCAUAGGUUUAUGAACCCAUGGCUCCCUUUCUUUACCAUGCUUCCUAGCAGUGAAGUCAUUCUUAUCGUAUCUCUUAGUCUUAGGCUGUGGGUUAUCAAGAUCAACACUAGGUUCAAUCUCCACAUCCUUUUCAUUGCUAGGUUGAGCAUCUUCAUGAACAUCACUAUUGAUAUUAUCAUUAGGCUCAUGUUCAUCACCAGAUUGUGUAUCAGCAUCAGAGAUAGAGGCAUCGUUUGGACUCUCAGGGGUAGCAGCAUCUGGGUUGCUAGGGUGCAAAUUCCUGUCAUCUUUCUUCUUCUUUCGAGGAUGACUAGGUGCAUCAGUGCUAACUCCUUGAGACUCUUGUUCAACUCAAUUCGGAUGACCCUUAGGAUACAAAGGUUCCUGGGUCAUUCUACCGCCUCUAGUGACGACUCUGGCGGAAUUGUCAUUCAACUCGUUGAGCAAGUCAUUUUGAGCUUUAAGUACUUGUUCUACCUGAGUAGUAACCAUAGAGGCAUAUUUACUCAGAAGCUUAAGAUCAUUGACGUUUCUAUCCACACAAGCACUUAAAUGACUAAGCAUACGAGCAUUCUAUACCAAUUGUCUGCUAACAUAAUCAUUGAAACUUUGUCGUUUGGCGACAAAGUUAUCAAAUUCAUCCAGGCAUAAGCUAGCAGGUUUAUCAAAAGAAAUAUCACUCUCAUCAAACCUAUGCAGAGAAUUUACUUCUACAACCUCUAUCGGGUUAUCAAGACCAUGGUUCUCUUCGAUAGGUGGUAGAUUUUUGACAUCUUCAGAUUUAAUGCCUUUCUCUCGCAUAGAUUUCUUAGCUUCUUGCAUAUCUCUAGGACUGAGGAAUAGAAUACCUCUUUUCUUCGAAGUUGGCUUAGGAGGUGGUUCGGGAAUAGUCAAGCAUUCUCAUUGCACAAGAUGUUAUUCAGUAGAAUCUCAGCUUCUUCUAUGGUUCGUUCCCUAAAAACACAACCGGCACAACUAUCUAUGUGGUCUUUAGAAGCAUCGGUAAGUCCAUUAUAGAAGAUAUCAAGUAUUUCGUUCUUCUCAAGAGGGUGAUCAGGCAAGGCAUUCAGUAGAUGGAUAAGCCUCCCCCAAGCUUGUGGGAGACUCUCUUCUUCAGCUUGAGCAAAGUUGUAUAUUUCCUGCAAGGCAGCUUGCUUCUUAUGGGCAGGGAAAUAUUUCUCACAGAAGUAAUAGACCAUAUCCUCGGGGCUACGCACACAACCAGGAGCAAGAGAACUGAACCAGGUCUUAGCAUCAUCCUUUAGCGAGAAAGCAAACAUCUUGAGCAUGUAGUAGUGGCGGAUCUUUUCCUCACUAGUGAAUAGGGUGGCUAUAUCGUGCAGUUUGGUAAGAUGGGCUACAACCGUUUCAGACUCAUAACUAUGAAAAGGAUAAGAUUCGACUAGAGUGAUUAACUUAGGGUCGACAGAGAAUUCAUAAUCCUUAUCGGUCACAAAGAUAGGCGAAGUGGCAAACUUCGGGUCGUAUUUCAUCCUAGCGUUCAAAUAUUUUUCUUUCCACUUGAGCAGUAGUUUCUCAACAUCAUAGCUAUCCUUACACGCAAGAAAGUCCUCAGCUAUCUCUCCCUCCAUGACAUAGCACAUAUCAGGCAUAGCAGGCAAUUCAGGCAUAGUAGCAGGUUCUACUUUAAUAGUAUCAGCAGUUUCAGAAGUAUCAUCACAUCUAGCAGCAGCUCUAGUAAUAUGUGCAUCAAGGGCACCAAGUGGCAAAGCAGUAUCAGGCAUAACAUCAUCAGGCAUAGUAUCUAGCAUAGCAUCAUCAAGCAUAGCAUCAUCAGACAUAGUAUCAAGCAUAGCAUCAUAAGCAUCAUGGGCAACAGAAGUAGCAUUAUCAAGCACAAGCGACAUAUCAAGAUUUCUAGCAGGAGGCGAAGUCGCAAACUUACUCAAAACUGAAGGUGAAUCAAGUGCAAAGCUAGAUGGCAAUUCCUUACCUCUCCUCGUAGUGGAAGGCAAGAUUUUAGUUCUUGGAUCUUUCGGAUUCCUCAUAGUGAUCAGCAGACGUCAAUCCCAAGUGGCUCAGAGAAUAUAGUUGUGCCUCCCCGGCAACGGCGCCAGAAAAAGCCUUGAUGUCCCACAAGCGUAUGGGAUCGCAGCAGUUUUCGAGGGUAGAGUAUUCAACCCAAAUUUAUUGAUUCGCUCACAAGGGGAAGCUAAAGGAUAUUCUCAAGUAUUAGCAGCUGAGUUGUCAAUUCAACCACACCUGAAAGAUUAGUGUCUGCAAGCAAAGUAUCAGUAGCAAGGUAGUACGAUAGCAACGGCACCAGAAAAAGCUUUGAUAAUCCCCGGCAACGGCGCCAGAAAAAGCCUUGUUGACGGGAUGUUAGCGCCAACAAAGUCUUGUAAUAAGUAACAACGGAGUAGCAAGUAACAGUAGUAGUAGCAGCAGCAAAGUAACAAGUAACGGCAGUAGUAGCAGCAGCAAAGUAACAACAGUAGUGACAGCAACAAAGUGGCCCAAUCCCUCUUGUAGCAAGGGACAAGCCUAGGCAAAGUAACGUAGGGAGGACCAGUAGUAAACGACUCGUAGGCAGUGGAUCGGUGAUGGAUGAGUGUGACGGAUGUGAUUCAUCAUGUAACAGCUAUAACACAGAGAGAUAUGUGGCUAGCUCCCAUUCGUCAAUCUAAUGUAGGCAUGUAUUCCGUAUGUAGUCAUACGUGCUUAGGGAAAAAAACUUGCAUGACAUCUAUUGUCCAUCCCUCCCGUGGCAGCGGGGUCCUAAUGGAAACUACGAGAUAUUAAGGUUCUCCUUUUAAUAAAGAACCGGACCAACGCAUUAACACGCGGUGAAUACAUGAACUCCUCAUACUAUGGUCAUCUCCGGGAGUGGUUCCGGCUAUUGUCACUCCGGGGUUGCCGGGUCAUAACACAUAGUAGGUGACUACAACUUGCAAGAUAGGAUCUAAAACACACAUAUAUUGGCGACAACAUAAUAGGUUCAGAUCUGAAAUCAUGGCACUCGGGCCCUAGUGACAAGCAUUAAGCAUAGCCAAGUAGUAGCAACAUCAAUCUAGAACAUAGUGGAUACUAGGGAUCAAUCCCCGUCAAGACCUAACUCGAUUACAUGAUAGAUCUCAUCCAACUCAUGACCGUCCAGCAAGCCUACGAUGAGAUUACUCACGAACGAUGAAGAGCAUCAUGGAAUUGUCGAUGGAGAAAGGUUGAUGAUGACGAUGGCGACGAUUUCCCCUCUCCGGAGCCCAAAACGGACUCCAGAUCUGCCCUCCCGAUGAAGAACAGGAUAUGGCGGCGCCUCUGUAUCGCAAAACGCGAUGAAACCUUCUCUCUGAUUUUUUUUCCACGCGAAACGGAAGAUAUAGGACUGAUAUUGGGGGCGGUGGUGCCACGUGGGCCCCACAAGCCCUCAUGGCGCGGCCAUAGGGGGUGGCGGCGGCCCAGGGGCUUGUGGCUCACUGCCACGCCCCCUCACGUGGAUCUUUGCGCAGGUAUUUUUCUUUUAUUCCAAAAAAAAUCUCCGUAAAUUUUCAGGACGUUCCGAGAACUUUCAUUUCUGCACAAAAACAACACCAUGGCAAUUCUGCUGAAAACAGCGUCAGUCCGGGUUAGUUCCAUUCAAAUCAUGCAAAUUAGAGUCCAAAACAAGGGCAAAAGAGUUUGGAAAAGUAGAUACGACGGAGACGUAUCACUAUGUUAGUAGGGUGUUGUGAAUCUAGAAAUACUUGUGUUGAAGUGAGUGAUUCCCGUAACAUGCACGUAUGGUGAACCGUCAUGUUAGGAAGUCGGAGCAUAAUUGAUCUAUUGAUUGUCAUCCUUUUUGUUGCGGUCGAGAUCGCGCGAUGGUUAACACCUACCAACCCUUCCCCUAGGAGUAUGCGUUUAGCACUUUGUUUCGAUUACUAAUAAAAACUUCCGCAACAAGUAUGUGAGUUCUUCAUGACUAACGUGAGUCCAUGGUAUAGAUGCACUUUCACCUUACACCAUUGCUAGCCUCUCUAGUGUCGCGCAAGUUUCGCCAGUACACAAACCCACCAUAUGCCUUCCUCAAAACAGCCACCAUACCUACCUACUAUGGCAUUUUCAUAGCCAUUCCGAGAUAUAUUGCCAUGCAACUCCCACUGUUCUGUCUCAUGACUUGUGUCGUCACUCUCAUAUUGCCAUUGCAUGAUCGUAAGAUAGCUAGCGAGAUGUUUCAACGUCAUACACCAAGCUAGAUCGUUGCACAUCCCGGUACACUGCCGGAGGCAUUUCCUAUAGCAUCAUCGUUCUAAGCUUUGAGCCGUGAGUAAAUAAAAGUGUGAUGAUCAUCAUUAUUAGAGCAUUGUCCCAUGUGAGGAAAUAAAAGAAAAGAGGCCAAAGUUGCCCACAUAAAAAAAUAGGCCAAAGAGCCCAAAUAAAAAGAGAGAGAGAGAAAAAGAGAGAAGGGACAAUGCUACUAUCUUUUUCCACACUUAUGCUUCAUAAUAGCACCAUGUUCUUCAUGAUUGAGAGCCUCUCGUUUUGUCACCACCAUAUGCUAGUGGGAAUCUUUAUUAUAUAACUUGGCUUGUAUAUUCCAAUGAUGGGCUUCCUCAAAACUGCCCUAGGUCUUCGUGAGCAAGCAAGUUGGAUGCACACCCACUAGUACUCCUUUUGAGCUUUCACAUACUUAUAGCUCUAGUGCAUCCUUUGAAUGGCAAUCCCUACUCAUUCACAUUGAUAUCUAUUAAUGGGCAUCUCCAUAGCCCUUUGAUACGCCAAGUCAAUGUGACCAUCUCUUCCUUUUUGUCUCACAACCACCACCACACUCUAUUCCACCUAUAGUGCUAUAUCCAUGGCUCACGCUCAUGUAUUUCAUGAUAGUUGAAAAAUGUUUGAGAAAGUAAGAGUACGAAAACAAUUACUAGGCCAAUACCGGGGUUGUGCAUGAUUUAAAUUAGUUGUGUGAGGAUGAUGGAGCAUAGCCAGACUAUAUGAUUUUGUAGGGAUAACUUUCUUUGGCCUUGUUAUUUCGAAAGUUCAUGAUUACCUUGCUAGUUUGCUUGAAGUAUUAUUGUUUUCAUGUCAAUAGCAAACUAUUGUUUUGAAUCUUGCGGAUCUGAACGUUCAUGUCACAUGAAAGAAGUUACAAAGGACAACUAUGCUAGGUAGCAUUCCACAUCAAAAAUUCAGUCUUUAUCACUUCCCUUCUGGAGGACGAGCAGGAGUUAAGCUUGGGGAUGCUUGAUAUGUCUCCAACGUAUCUAUAAUUUUUGAUGGUUCCAUGCUAUUAUCUUUUCAAACAUUGGAUGUUUUGUAUGCCUUUUAUAUCUUUUUUGGGACUAACUUAUUAACUCAAUGCCAAGUGCCAGUUCCUGUUUUUUCCGUGUUUUUGACCCUUUUCAGAGGAGGAUUUUAAACGGUGUCCAAACGGAAUAAAACUUCCGAAAAGAUUUUUUCCCGGAACAGAAGAUACGCACCAGACUUGAGAACCAAGGCAGGGGCCUGCAGGGGACCCCACAAGCCCCCUAGGCGCGGCCAGGGGGCGCCUAGCAGGCUUGUGGGCCCCCUGUGGCACGUCUGCCCUACCUCUUCCGCCUACAAAUCUAGAAAAAUUCAAAAACUGAAAGAGAGAUCCACGAAAAUACUUUUUCGCCGCCACAAGCUUCUGUCUCCGCAAGAUCCCAUCUGGGGCAUGUUCUGGUGCCCUGCCGGAGAGGGGAUUCGGAUACGGAGGGCUUCUUCAUCAACACCAUGACCUCUCCGAUGAUGCGUGAGUAGUUCACCAUAGAAUUUCGGGUCCAUAGCAAGUAGCUAGAUGGCUUCUUCUCUCUCUUAGAUCUUCAAUACAAUGUUCUCCAUGAUCUUCAUGGAGAUCUAUCCGAUGUAAUCUUCUUUUGCGGUGUGUUUGUCGAGAUCCGAUGAAUUGUGGAUUUAUGAUUAGAUUAUCUAUGAAUCUUAUUUGAGUUUCUUCUGAUCUCUUAUAUGCAUGAUUUCAUAUCCUUGUAAUUCUCUUCGAGUUGUGGGUUUUGUUUGGCCAACUUGAUCUAUGAUUCUUGCAAUGGGAGAAGUGGUUGGUUUUGGGUUCAUACCCUGCGGUGACCUCACCCAGUGACAGAAGGGGUAGCGAGGCACGCAUCAUGUUGUUGCCAUCAAGGGUAAAAAGAUGGGGUUUUCAUCAUUGGUUUGAGUUUAUCCCUCUACAUCAUGUCAUCUUGCUUAAGGCAUUACUCUGUUCGUCAUAGACUCAAUACACUAGAUGCAUGCUGGAUAACGGUCGAUGUGUGGAGUAAUAGUAGUAGAUGCAGAAAGUAUCGGUCUACUUGUCUCGGACGUGAUGCCUAUAUGUAUGAUCAUUGCCUUAGAUAUCGUCAUGACCUUGCGCGGUUCUAUCAAUUGCUCGAUAGUAAUUUGUUCACCCAUCGUAUUAUUUUCUAUUUUGAGAGAAGCCUCUAGUGAACACUAUGGCCCCCGGGUCUACUUCACACCAUAUUUUCAGCCUUCACUUUUACUUCGUUGCACUUUCCGCCUUCAUAUCUCACUUUGCAAUCAAUCUUGAAGGGAUUGACAACCCCUUUAUAGCGUUGGGUGCAAGCUCUUUUGUGUUUGUGCAGGUACUCUGGACUUGACGCGAUUCUCCUACUGGAUUGAUACCUUGGUUCUCAAACUGAGGGAAAUACUUACUGCUCCUGUGAUGCAUCGCCCUUUCCUCUUCAAGUAAAAAACCAACGCAAGCUCAAGGGGCGACAGGAAGAUUUCUGUCGCCGUAGCAAUAUCUUGUUUGUUCCUUCUUGUAACCAUUUCGUGUCCACAUCCUUCUUUGUGGAUAUAUAUCAUAAUGAUUGUCUUCUACUUAGAAUCUUUUACACAUGAGAUAAGUUACAUCUCUAAUUGAUAUCCUCUUUUCUUUCACGUCCACCGUUGCAUUUCCUUUUUCAGUUUUUGGUGGCUUCGUGAAAGGAUUUGUCUUGAGUGCGUAUCUUAUAUUCCUACAUCUUGAUGCACUCUUCGGUCGUAAAGAUUAUUUUUCUUCAUGCUUAUCUUGAUGAGGGUUUUGCCAUUUCGAUUGGUAUCCCUCCUCUUGACAAGGUUCUUAUUUCCUAUCUUCACCAUGGGUUGUCACAGGCGUUGGUUCUUAUUUUGUUUAUUAGUAAGCUUGUGAACCCAUUUUCUAGUGUGUGUGUGGGAAUGAUAUGUCUUGCACUUUGUUUCUCAUUUCAUCAAGACUAUGUUGAUGAGUAAUUCUCAUCCUUAUCUUAGUCUUCUCAAGUGCUUUGCCAUGACUCACACACAUUAUUUUGGUUGAGCCUAUUCUUAAGUUGCUUCUUUUACAUGUUGCUCAAUCAUUCGUUUUGUGCAAGUGAUAUGCUUAUUGUCUCAUCUAUCUUCUUGCACUCACUGUGUGUUUUUAUUAAUUUUGGGGGAGCAACGAUCCUAUUUUGUGCACUUGUAUCAAAUACAAAAAUCUCUUAUUAGAGCACAAAUCAUGGGGAGCUUCUCUAGUUUUGAUAAAACACUCCGUUGCCUUUAUCAUAAUACCUUUUAUUCAUGUGGUUCGAAGGACCAUAUGAUUGUUUGUUCCAUCUGGUAUCUUUUGAUUGUUUGCCUCCAUUUUUGUAUGUCUUUGUGGCAUACGAUCCUUUUAUUAGCAAUCUUUGGGUCCUCGAUAUAGUUUGUUUUCCUCUAACUUCUUAUCAUUAUAUAUGUGUAUUUAUCUGCACUCAUUUGUUGAGAAGUACACACUUUUUGGAGGACCACCUACUAUAUUGGCUUUCUAAACUUUUUGUCCAUUUUGGCAAUCGAUGCCAAUGGGGAGAAGUUUAGAGAGUUUAGUUUGGUUAUGCUUAGAGGGUUUUGCUUUUAUUGCAUAAGCAUUUACAUGUUGUACGCAUGCAUUACUGCUUUGCAUGUGUGUGCUUGGUUAUGCUUAUUUCCUUAUAUAAACUCUCUUUAAGUGGUUUUCAUCAAUUACCAAAAUGGGGGAGAUUGUUAGAGCAUAUUUCUCCAUAUGUGGUUUUGGUAAUUGAUGACAAUUCCUAUGGACUAAUGUUUGCCUUAAGUUAUAUUUAUAUGAUUUGUUCAUAGGCACUUCUUGAAGUCCAUCUGUUGGCUUCAAGGAGUUUAUAUGAAGACCAAGGUGUUAUUCGAGGUAUUAUUGAAAGAAUGGUCAUAGAGACACAAGGUUGAUCAAGAUCGUCAGACAUAGAGUAAAUCAAGAUGAUCAACACACAAAGCGUACAAGAUGUACCGAGAGGGAUCAAGUGAUCCCAUGGUAUGGUAAGCAUUGUCCAUUACGUAUUUUUGUACUAACCCAUGGUCUUCGUGAGCGUUCUAUGUGGGGUUAGGUGUGUUUCCAUGGGAUUGAGUCAAGAGGAAGAUCUCAUACAACCCAUGGAGGAUGAUGUCAAGUGGUGGAGGAUGGUGGCAAUGGACUUGUGAAGAUAUGCUGAAGAGCGGCUCACCCAUAGUGUGUAUGGGGGAGCAAUCAACUAGUUUUCAUCAAGCCAACGCAAUCAAGAAAGGUGGUCCAUCUUGAGGAAGCCAAGAUCAUCGUCAUCUAGCUCAAGAGGACUAGGUGCAAGGUAUAGGUUUUCCCUUGAUAGGUUUCCUGUUUUAGGAUAGAUUGUCGUACUGUCAAGCGGGGCUCUCAAGUGAGUAGCUUGAUCGUAUCGUUCGUUGAGAGCUCAAAUCAUUUGCAUCCUUGCAUCAUACUUCUUGGUUCUUGUUUGGUGUUUCUCUUUGUGAGUUUUAGAGCUUAUGGUCAUCUUCAUGACAAGCUUGAGUUCAUCGAAAACGGAGUCCAUAUGCAUCUUCUAUGAUGUUUUUGAUGUUGGGAGCUUUUACCGGUCUUAUUCGAGGAAGGGUUCUCACCAUUUUCUUAUGGGCCUUUUCUCACUUGCUUCUUAUUUAUAUUUCUAUCAAGAUUGUGUUAUCCCAUAUCGUUAGCUUUCCAACAAACUUGGUUUUGUUGAAUUCGGAGUCCGUAUGCGAAAGUUAAGGUUGUUUUAGUGGCGAGCGGUAGUACCGCUCCAGUCCUAGCGGUAGUACCGCCAGGGGAAGCGGUAGUACCGCUCUGGGUGGGCGGUAGUACCGCUUCGGGACAGUAGUACCUCUCUUUGAGCAGUUGUUCUCCGUCAGACUUUCUACGAAGACUUUCUCUAGCGGUAGUACCGCAAGGGGCUAGCGGUAGUACCGCCAGGGCUAGCAGUAGUACCACUCCUCCCUGAGCGGUAGUACCGCUCGGGGCAGCGGUAGUACUUCUGUGCUCGGGCUGUAAGUGGGGGUAACGGUAUGAUUCGUUCCCCCACUAUAUAAAGGGGGUCUUCUUCCCCCUUGGCCUCAUCUAUCCGUUAAGCUCAUGUUCUACCCCCAUUGUUGACCUUCUUAGAGCUUGCUUACUCUCAAUCCCUCCAAUGAUUCUUGCUUGUUCUUGAGGGAAAAGAGAGAGGAGAUCUAGAACCACAUCUCCACCAAUCACUUUCUCCUCUAUGUGAGGGGAGCCCCUUGGAUCUAGACCUUGUAGUUCUUUGUGAGCUCCUUGUUCUUCCUCUUAUAUUUCUCCAUAGCUUUUGUUGUUGUGGAGGGAUUUGAGUGUGAGGGACUUGUCCACUUCGUGUGUUCUUGCCAUUGCAUUAGUUGCAUCAGUUGAGUUUUCCACGGUGAUACGUGGAAAUGAAGUUUGAGAAGCUUAUUACCUUUGGUACUUAGUGUUGGAAAUAUGCCCUAGAGGCAAUAAUAAAUUAGUUAUUAUUAUAUUUCUUUGUUCAUGAUAAUCGUUUAUUAUCCAUGCUAUAAUUGCAUUGAUUGGAAACACAAUACUUGUGUGGAUACAUAGACAAAACACUAUCCCUAGUAAGCCUCUAGUUGACUAGCUCGUUGAUCAAAGAUGGCCAAGGUUUCCUGGCCAUAGGCAAGUGUUGUUACUUGAUAACGGGAUCACAUCAUUAGGAGAAUCAUGUGAUGGACUAGACCCAAACUAAUAGACGUAGCAUGUUGAUCGUGUCAUUUUGUUGCUACUGUUUUCUGCGUGUCAAGUAUUUGUUCCUAUGACCAUGAGAUCAUAUAACUCACUGACACCGGACCAAUACUUUGUGUGUAUCAAACGUCGCAACGUAACUGGGUGACUAUAAAGAUGCUCUACAGGUAUCUCCGAAGGUGUUCGUUGAGUUAGUAUGGAUCAAGACUGGGAUUUGUCACUCCGUGUGACGGAGAGGUAUCUCGGGGCCCACUCGGUAAUACAACAUCACACACAAGCCUUGCAAGCAAUGUGACUUAGUGUAAGUUGCGGGAUCUUGUAUUACGGAACGAGUAAAGAGACUUGCCGGCAAACGAGAUUGAAAUAGGUAUGCGGAUACUGACGAUCGAAUCUCGGGCAAGUAACAUACCGAAGGACAAAGGGAAUGACAUACGGGAUUAUAUGAAUCCUUGGUACUGAGGUUCAAACGAUAAGAUCUUCGUAGAAUAUGUAGGAUCCAAUAUGGGCAUCCAGGUCCCGCUAUUGGAUAUUGACCGAGGAGUCUCUCGGGUCAUGUCUACAUAGUUCUCGAACCCGUAGGGUCUGCACACUUAAGGUUCGACGUUGUUUUAUGCGUAUUUGAGUUAUAUGGUUGGUUACCGAAUGUUGUUCGGAGUCCCGGAUGAGAUCACGGACGUCGCGAGGGUUUCCGGAAUGGUCCGGAAACGAAGAUUGUUAUAUAGGAUGACCUCAUUUGAUUACCGGAAGGUUUUCGGAGUUACCGGGAAUGUACCGGGAAUGACGAAUGGGUUCCGGGAGUUCACCGGGGGGGCAACCCACCCCGGGGAAGCCCAUAGGCCUUGAGGGUGGCGCACCAGCCCUUAGUGGGCUGGUGGGACAGCCCAAAAGGGGCCUAUGCGCAUUGGAAGAAAAAUCAAAGAGAAAAUAAAAAAAAGGAGGAGGUGGGAAAGGAAAGAAGGACUCCACCUACCAAACCAAGUAGGACUCGGUUUGGGGGGGAGUCCUUCCCCCCUUUGGCUCGGCCGACCCCCUUGGGGCUCCUUGAGCCCCAAGGCAAGGUCCCCCCUCUCCCAGAUAUAUAUACGGAGGUUUUAGGGCUGAUUUGAGACGACUUUUCCACGGCAGCCCGACCACAUACCUCCACGAUUUUUCCUCUAGAUUGCGUUUCUGCGGAGCUCGGGCGGAGCCCUGCUGAGACAAGAUCAUCACCAACCUCCGGCGCGCCGUCACGCUGCCGGAGAACUCUUCUACCUCUCCGUCUCUCUUCCUGGAUCAAGAAGGCCGAGAUCAUCGUCGAGUUGUACGUGUGCUGAACGCGGAGGUGCCGUCCGUUCGGCACUAGAUCGUGGGACUGAUCGCGGGAUAGUUCGCGGGGCGGAUCGAGGGACGUGAGGACGUUCCACUACAUCAACCGCGUUCACUAACGCUUCUGCUGUACGGUCUACAAGGGUACGUAGAUCACUCAUCCCCUCUCGUAGAUGGACAUCACCAUGAUAGGUCUUCGUGCGCGUAGGAAAUUUUUUGUUUCCCAUGCGUUCCCCAACAGUGGCAUCAUGAGCUAGGUUCAUGCGUAGAUGUCUUCUCGAGUAGAACACAAAAGUUUUUGUGGGCGGUGAUGUGCAUUUUGCUGCCCUCCUUAGUCUUUUCUUGAUUCCGCGGUAUUGUUGGAUUGAAGCGGCUUGGACCGACAUUACUCGUACGCUUACGAGAGACUGGUUUCAUCGCUACGAGUAACCCCAUUGCUCAAAGAUGACUGGCAAGUGUCGGUUUGUCCAACUUUAGUUGAAUCGGAUUUGACCGAGGAGGUCCUUGGAUGAGGUUAAAUAGCAACUCAUAUAUCUCCGUUGUGGUGUUUGCGUAAGUAAGAUGCAAUCCUACUAGAUACCCAUGGUCACCACGUAAAACCGGCAACAACAAAAUUAGAGGACGUCUAACUUGUUUUUGCAGGGUAUGCUUGUGAUGUGAUAUGGCCAACGAUGUGAUGUGAUAUAUUGGAUGUAUGAGAUGAUCAUGUUGUAAUAGAUAAUAUCGACUUGCACGUCGAUGGUACGGCAACCGGCAGGAGCCAUAGGGUUGUCUUUAUACUAAUAUUUGUGCUUGCAGAUGCGUUUACUAUUUUUGCUAGGAUGUAGCUUUAGUAGUAAUAGCAUGAGUAGCACGACAACCCCGAUGGCGACACGUUGAUGGAGAUCAUGGUGUGGCGCCGGUGACAAGAAGAUCGUGCCGGUGCUUUGGUGAUGGAGAUCAAGGAGCACGUGAUGAUGGCCAUAUCAUGUCACUUAUGAAUUGCAUGUGAUGUUAAUCCUUUUAUGCACCUUAUUUUGCUUAGAACGACGGCAGCAUUAUGAGGUGAUCUCUCACUAAAAUUUCAAGACGAAAUUGUGUUCUCCCCGACUGUGCACCGUUGCUACAGUUCGUCGUUUCGAGACACCACGUGAUGAUCGGGUGUGAUAGACUCAACGUUCACAUACAACGGGUGCAAAACAGUUGCGCACGCAGAACACUCGGGUUAAGCUUGACGAGCCUAGCAUGUGCAGACAUGGCCUCGGAACACAUGAGACCGAAAGGUCGAUCAUGAAUCAUAUAGAUGAUAUGAUUAGCAUAGGGAUGCUUACCACUGAAACUAUGCUCAACUCACGUGAUGAUCGGACUUGAGCUAGUGUAAGUGGAUCAUGAACCACUCAAAUGACUAGAGAGAUGUACUUUUUGAGUGGGAUUUUAGCGAAUAAUUUGAUUAAGUUAAACUCUAAUUAUCUUGAACAGAGUCUAAGUCCACUUUGAAUAUAUUUGUGUUGUAGAUCAUGGCUCACGCGACAGUCACCCUGAAUUUUAAUACGUUCCUAGAGAAAGCUAAGUUGAAAGAUGAUGGAAGCAACUUUGUAGACUGGGCUCGUAAUCUUAAGCUAAUCUUACAAGCUUUGAAGAAGGAUUAUGUCCUUAAUGCUGCGCUAGGAGAUGAACCACCCGCUACGGCUGAUCAGGAUGUUAAGAACGCUUGGUUAGCACGUAAGGAGGACUACUCAGUAGUUCAAUGUGCAGUCUUGUAUGGCUUAGAACCGGGACUUCAACGUCGCUUUGAGCGUCAUGGAGCAUUUGAGAUGUUCCAGGAGUUGAAGUUUAUGUUUCAGAAGAACGCCCGGAUCGAGAGGUAUGAGACCUCCGAUAAAUUAUAUGCUUGCAAGAUGGAGGAGAACUCGUCUGUCAGUGAACAUGUGCUCAAAAUGUCUGGGUACUCAAACCGUCUAGCUGAGCUGGGGAUUGAACUCCCGCAAGAGGCUAUCACUGACAGAAUCCUUCAAUCAGUGCCGCCAAGCUAUAAAGGCUUUGUGUUGAACUGCAACAUACAAGGGAUGAACAAGUCACCCGGCGAGUUGUUUGCAAUGCUGAAAGUCGCAGAGUCUGAACUCCGUAAAGAGCAUCAAGUGUUGAUGGUGAAUAAGACCACUAGUUUCAAGAGAAAUGGCAAAGGCAAGAAGGGUAAUUCAAAGAAGAGCGGCAAGCCUGUUGCCAAUCCGAAGAAGAAACCCAAAGCUGGACCUAAGCCUGAAACAGAGUGUUACUAUUGCAAGGGUAUGGGUCACUGGAAGCGCAAUUGCCCCAAGUAUCUGGCUGAUAAGAAGGCGGCCAAAGAAAAAUUAGGUAUAUUUGAUAUACAUGUUAUUGAUGUGUACUUAACCGGAUCUCGUAGUAGUGCCUGGGUAUUCGAUACCGGUUCUGUUGCUCAUAUUUGCAACUCGAAACAGAAACUGCGGAAUAGACGAAGGCUGGCGAAAGAUGAAGUGACGAUGCGCGUAGGAAAUGGUUCCAAGGUUGAUGCAAUCGCUGUCGGCACAGUUUCACUUCAAUUACCAUCAGGAUUAGUUAUGAACUUGAAUCAUUGUUAUUUAGUGCCUGCAUUGAGCAUGAACAUUAUAUCUGGAUCUUGUUUAUUGCGAGACGGUUACUCUUUUAAGUCAGAGAAUAAUGUUUGUUCUAUUUCUAUGAGUAACAUCUUUUAUGGUCAUGCACCCAAUGUGAGAGGAUUGUUCAUAUUGAAUCUUGAUAGCGAUACACACAUACAUAACAUUGAGACCAAAAGAGUUAGAGUUAACAAUGAUAGCGCCAUAUUUUUGUGGCACUGCCGUUUAUGUCAUAUUGGUGUAAAGCGCAUGAAGAAACUCCAUGCCGAUGGACUUUUGGAGUCACUUGACUUUGAUUCACUUGACACGUGCGAACCAUGCCUCAUGGGCAAGAUGACUAAAACUCCGUUCUCCGGAACAAUGGAGCGUGCAAGUGACUUGUUGGAAAUCAUACAUACCGAUGUGUGUGGUCCGAUGAGCGUAGAGGCACGCGGCGGAUAUCGUUAUUUUCUCACCUUCACUAACGAUUUGAGUAGAUAUGGUUAUGUAUACUUAAUGAAGCACAAGUCUGAAACAUUUGAAAAGUUCAAGCAAUUUCAGAGUGAAGUUGAAAAUCAUCGUAACAAGAAUAUCAAGUUCCUACGGUCUGAUCGUGGGGGUGAAUAUCUGAGUUUCGAGUUUGUGCUCACUUAAGACAAUGUGGAAUUGUUUCACAGUUAACACCUCCUGGAACACCACAGCGUAAUGGUGUGUUCGAACGUCGUAAUCGUACUUUAUUAGAGAUGGUGCGAUCUAUGAUGUCUCUUACCGAUUUGCCGUUAUCGUUUUGGGGUUGCAUUAGAAACAGCUGCAUUCACUUUAAAUAGGGCACCAUCAAAAUCCGUUGAGACGACACCAUACGAACUGUGGUAUGGCAAAAGGCCAAAGUUGUCGUUUCUUAAAGAUUGGGGAUGUGAUGCUUAUGACAAAAAGCUUCAGCCUGAAAAGCUGGAACCCAAAGCGGAAAAGUGCGUCUUCAUAGGUUACCAAAAGAGACAGUUGGGUACACCUUCUAUCUAAAAUCCGAGGGCAAAGUGUUUCUUGCUAAAAACGGAGCUUUUCUCGAGAAGGAGUUUCUCUCGAGAGAAUUGAGUGGGAGGAAGAUAGAACUUGACGAGGUUGUCGAACCUCUCAUCCCUCUGGAUGGUGGCACAGGGCAAGGGGAAACCUCUGUCGUUGCGACAACGGUUGAGGAGGAAGUUAAUGAUGAAGAUCAUGAAACUCCGGUUCAAGUUUCUGUCGAACCACGCAGGUCGACGAGACCACGUGCUGCUCCAGAGUGGUACGGUAAUCCCGUCUUAUCAAUCAUGUUGUUGGACAACAAUGAACCUGCAAAUUAUGAAGAAGCAAUGGUGGGCCCAGAUUCCAACAAAUGGCUAGAAGCCAUGAAGUCCGAGAUAGGAUCCAUGUAUGAGAACAAAGUGUGGACUUUGGAGGUACUGCCUGAGGGCCGCAAGGCCAUUCAGAACAAAUGGAUCUUUAAGAGGAAGACGGACGCUGACGGCAAUGUGACCGUUUAUAAAGCUCGACUUGUGGCAAAGGGUUUUUCACAAGUUCAAGGAGUUGACUACGAUGAGACAUUCUCACCCGUAGCGAUGCUUAAGUCCGUCAGAAUCAUGUUAGCAAUAGCUGCAUUUUUCGAUUAUGAAAUCUGGCAGAUGGAUGUCAAAACGGCGUUCCUUAACGGUUUCCUUAAGGAAGAAUUGUAUAUGAUGCAACCCGAAGGUUUGUCGAUCCUAAGAAUGCUAACAAGGUGUGCAAGCUCCACGAUCCAUUUAUGGAUUGGUGCAAGCAUCUCGGAGUUGGAACAAACGCUUUGAUGAGGUGAUCAAAGCAUUUGGGUUUAUACAAGUGGUUGGAGAAUCUUGUAUUUACAAGAAAGUGAGUGGGAGCUCUGUGGCGUUUCUAAUAUUAUAUGUGGAUGACAUAUUGUUGAUUGGAAACAACGUAGAGUUUUUGGAGAGCAUAAAGGAUUACUUGAAUAAAAGUUUCUCUAUGAAGGACCUAGGAGAAGCUGCUUACAUUCUAGGCAUUAAGAUCUAUAGGGAUAGAUCAAAACGCCUGAUAGGACUUUCACAAAGCACAUACCUUGAUAAAGUUUUGAAGAGGUUCAAAAUGGAACAGUCCAAGAAGGGGUUCUUGCCAGUUUUACAAGGUACGAGAUUGAGUAAGACUCAGUGCCCAGCAACUGAUGAAGAUAGAGAGCAUAUGCGCUCCGUCCCCUAUGCUUCAGCCAUAGGCUCUAUCAUGUAUGCAAUGUUGUGCACUAGACCGGACGUUAGCCUGGCCAUAAGUAUGGCAGGUAGGUUCCAGAGUAAUCCAGGAGUGGAUCACUGGACGGCGGUCAAGAAUAUCCUAAAGUACCUGAAAAGGACUAAGGAGAUGUUUCUCGUGUAUGGAGGUGACGAAGAGCUCGCCGUAAAAGGUUACGUCGAUGCAAGCUUUGACACAGAUCCGGACGACUCUAAGUCGCAAACCGGAUACGUAUUUAUUCUUAAUGGGGGUGUGGUAAGCUGGUGCAGUUCCAAGCAAAGCGUCGUAGCAGAUUCUACAUGUGAAGCGGAGUACAUGGCUGCCUCGGAGGCGGCUAAGGAGGGUGUCUGGAUGAAGCAGUUCAUGACGGAUCUUGGAGUGGUGCCAAGCGCACUGAAUCCAAUAACCUUGUUCUGUGACAACACGGGUGCCAUUGCCUUAGCAAAGGAACCACGGUUUCACAAGAAGUCCACACACAUCAAACGACGCUUCAACCUCAUCCGCGACUAUGUCGAAGGAGAGGACGUAAAUAUAUGCAAAGUGCACACGGAUCUGAAUGUAGCAGACCCGCUGACUAAACCUCUUCCAGGCCAAAGCAUGAUCAACACCAGAACUGUAUGGGUGUUAGAUUUAUUACAAUGUAAUUCGCAUGAUGAUGUGAGGGCUAGAUUAUUGACUCUAGUGCAAGUGGGAGACUGUUGGAAUUAUGCCCUAGAGGCAAUAAUAAAUAUAGUUAUUAUUAUAAUUCCUGUAUCAAGAUAAUUGUUUAUUAUCCAUGCUAUAAUUGUAUUGAAUGAAGACUCAUUUACAUGUGUGGAUACAUAGACAAAACACUGUCCCUAGCAAGCCUCUAGUUGGCUAGCCAGUUGAUCAAAGAUAGUCAGUGUCUUCUGAUUAUGAACAAGGUGUUGUUGCUUGAUAACUGGAUCACGUCAUUAGGAGAAUCACGUGAUGGACUAGACCCAAACUAAUAGACGUAGCAUGUUGAUCGUGUCAUUUUGUUGCUACUGUUUUCUGCGUGUCAAGUAUUUGUUCCUCUGACCAUGAGAUCAUAUAACUCACUGACACCGGAGGAAUGCUUUGUGUGUAUCAAACGUCGCAACGUAACUGGGUGACUAUAAAGAUGCUCUACAGGUAUCUCCGAAGGUGUUCGUUGAGUUAGUAUGGAUCAAGACUGGGAUUUGUCACUCCGUNNNNNNNNNNNNNNNNNNNNNNNNNNNNNNNNNNNNNNNNNNNNNNNNNNNNNNNNNNNNNNNNNNNNNNNNNNNNNNNNNNNNNNNNNNNNNNNNNNNNCCUUGAUAUGUCAUUUUAAUUCAAAAUCACUUGCAAAUCUAUUGUCAAAUGCUGGGAAUGGGCAUACAAGAUAACUUUCUACGGCAUGUGUUUUGAGGUGCGCACUUAAGUUAAAAUCCAAAGAGAAAACCUGAAAUUCAGAGGGGGGGGGGGGUUAAUUAGAAGCUACAACAUGUACCAGAGCGGAAGGAUUCAUCAAUAAGAAGUCAUAAGCAUUUACAGUACUUCAGUUUCCAAACCAGUCACUUGUAGAUAUGCAGACAGGACUAUAUUACAUUGUGGAAAUUAGGAAGAUCUAAAAUUAGCAAUAGGUUAGGAUAAAAGUGUAAUUUACAAACAUAAUAUUAGUUUGAGGUAUCAGGUGAAGGUUAAUUGAGCUCAACUAAUCAAACAAGCUAAAAACGUUAAGUGAGAUAAAAUUAGCAUGCCACUACUUAGUUCUGCACCAUUAAACAGAAGAACACUGACAAAAUUGUGAACUGUAUGGUGAGAACUAAAAACAUAAAAUGCUGUCAUGCAAUACAAACUCUGUGAAGCCAUACCUUACGGCAAUCUGGAUGUGGGCAAAUAUAAUCCUUUUGUCAUGUGUGAGUAAGAUAUUGCAGCUUCAAAUUUCUACAAAACAAACAGAACAAGAUUCACCAUAUAUAUAUUCACCACCAAACUCAAGUGUCAAACUCUGCCAACUAUAUCACCAUAUGUGCCACGACAUAAUACCUUACCAUGUAAUUAAGCUUCUUGGCACAGGCGACCUGUAUAAACCACCUCUUGUAUAGGUAGAAAAGAAGGAAAUAUCUAGCUACUUCAUCACCGUCCAGAAACGAUUAACUACCACAAGGUGGAGUGCAGAUAUAUAUUACAUAAUGGACCAUCUCAACAAAAUGACCAAACAACAUCAGUAAGUGUCUGCUCAUAUGCGCGCAAUCUAAUUCUACCAUAACUAUAACACCCACUUAGUUUCAUUCAUUGCUAGUUUUCAGCAUACACGAAACUUACUAAAAGGAAGCAGACAACCACAUCUAAACAACCUAGGGCACACGCUCCAGCGGAAUGUCAGUAAACAGGAAAGGCGGAAUGUCCAGCUAAUCUUCAUCUUCUUCUGUUUCCUCAUCAUCGGCGUUCUGGUUACCGUAUCUCCAGCCAUCUUGUACGUUGUUACCACCAGGAUCUUCCUCGGUCUCUUCGCUGUCAUCGUCAUACAUACCCUUGCCUGGCCACUGGUUCUUCACACCACUGGUAUCAACGCCCAUCCUGCUGGAAACCUUGACAUUGUAGGCGUUAGAUGGAGGGGCCCUGUGUGCUUGGUUUGUCUUGCUCCUUUUCGGGUUUGGCGCGAUGUCACCGGCGUCAGCAUAGUUAUACUCCGCUGCAGGUGUGGCGAUCCUACCAUUGCCUUCCUGAUUGUGUUCAGGGUGCUGAGUCUUGAAAUGGAGAUUGAGUUUGUAACCGUGGAUGUAGGCUUUCCCACAGCCUUCGUAGGGGCAGACAUAAGGGCGCUCAGAGGAAAAGCUUGGUGGUGUGGGUGCAGAAGGCUUUGGGGUUGCUUGUAUGGAAGGCUUUAUGGUGUUUUGUGGUUUUUCUGCUGGUGGUGUAUGCUGCACUGCAAUAGGAGAUCCAGUCUGCAUCAUGGUCACAAAAGAUACGGUAAGUAAAACAUAAGACUGACAAGAUUCAUAUACAUAACUGCAAACUGCGUCAUGCAGGUGUGGCACCAUGGGCAUUUUAAUAAAUGAUUAUGUAGUUGGGAUAGUAGGACACUAAUCUGAUAAACUAGAUCACGCUCCAACUUAAUGUAUUUGCGUCAUCCAUAGUUCCAAUCGGAAAACAGUUAACAAAGUUCCCUCAGUGGAUCAAAUAUGUCAGGGAUAAAACUGAACAUGUACCGCAGAACUUCAUGGAACUAGCAUGAAU
rnacentral:lncRNA from 1 species